rnacentral:lncRNA from 1 species
UGGCACGCCUGGUGGGACAUUGAAAUCAAGAUCAAGAUCAACAUGUCGAAUACCGAGUUUGACUUGGAGAAUGUCAUCCCCGUGACGGAAGCCAGUCUCAAGGAUGAGCAGAAGCAAGCCAUUGCAAAAGCUAUGAAGGACUACAAGCAGCAAUGUUUGAAGUCUUUCAGCAUCAACAGGAGUGGUGAGGUGAUCUAGAAAGAAGCACUGCUGGCCCCUCGGCAGGUUACUUUUGAAGCCAAUCCUGGUAAACUCCAAGACAUGAUCGAUAAUGCUAUCAACCGUGCCUUGAUCAACCAAGCUGGUGUGCUGUCCAAUACGGUUUUCAACGCCGUGGCUAGAACUUUCAAAGAAGGACAAUUGCCACCGAAUUAUGUGGGCCCUGUCUAUCAUCAGCCAGGAUCGCCAGUGGUUACAGCUCCAUCGGCUGCUACGACCGCCGCAGGCGUAGAAACUACUGUUCCUCCGAGCACGCUAGGAGUCUCUAAUACGCAGUCCACGCCGAUGCCGUCCAAUCCAUCAACAUCAGAUGAGUCGAUCAAGCUUACUACAGAUCUAUUGGCAUCGGCAAUGCCGAUGCCGUUCCUCCUAAUUGGUGGGUUUUGGUAUGCCCCCAGAAUACUUGUUGAAGACACCUGGCACAUCUCAAGCAGCUGACAUGAGAGGCAAGGCUCCUAUGGCAUCGGCAGCUCCAAAUUUGCCGAUGAAUCAGAGUCCCCAGUAUACUACAACCACUACUGCAAGGCCUUACACUGGGAAUUCUCAAGCUCCAACUUUCCAGAUGUCUAAUGCAUCGGCAGAUUCAAUGCCGACGCAGCAGAGGUUUAUGGCUCAGCAAGGGUAUGUCAACUCAAUGAUGAUGCCCAAUUACCAGUCAUCGGCAGGACCUAUGCCGAUGAAUGUUAAUAGUGGAUGGUCUGGGCAGCAAGUCUUUCCACAGAUAUCUCAACAGAAUCAUCGGGCUACAGGUUUUCAACAAGGCCAGAUUUACCCUAGGUUUCAGAACCAAGGAUUGGUCAACCAGCCGAUGAAUCUCGGCCAGUAGAUUGGUGGUCAGCAGAUCGGUGGUCAGCACUUUGGUGGUCAACAGAUCGGCGGUCAUCAGAUUGGUGGCCAGAUGAUUAACCCAAUGUUCCAUACAGACCGGGCACCGCACAGACACGUGGAAGCGUACCAGCAGGUGCCAGAUCCGCAACCACCUCAUCGGCAAGAUGUCGAUGCUUAUUGGGCCGAUAAGAUUGCUGAAGUAAUGAGAGACCAAUUUGGGAUAAAACCCAAAGUCAACACUUACUCUUAUCGGACACUGUAUCCUCCUGCAUAUGAUUUAAUCCCGCUUCCAAAUCGGUACAAAGUGCCAGAUUUUACUAAGUUUUCUGGGCAGGAUGAUACAUCGACCAUGGAGCACGUCAACAGGUUCAUCAUUCAGUGUGGAGAAGCUGCUAACAGAGACGAGUUAAGGGUUCGCUUGUUCUCGUCAUCAUUAUCUGGAUCGGCUUUCACUUUGUUUAUAUCAUUACCUCCUAACUCAGUGAUUACUUGGGCCGAUCUAGAGAAGCAAUUCCACAAAUACUUCUUUUCUGGAGUCCAUGAGAAGAAGAUCACCGAUUUGGUCAUAUUGAAGCAACGCAAUGAUGAAUCGGUUGAAAGUUUUGUGCAAAGAAUAUGGGAGGUCAAGAACAAAUGCUAUAGUCUGGUUUUAGAUGAUCGGCAGCUAGUCGAUUUGGCUUUCCAGGGUUUGUUGCCACAUAUCAGGGACAAAUAUGCUUCUCAAGAGUUCGAGAGCCUAAGUCACUUAGUCUAGAGGAUUUCCGACCAGGAUAUUAAGCCCUUUGAACCUAAGAAGGCUUGGAACAAAAAAGUAUCAUUUGUGGAUGAAGCAGCAAGCUCGGAAUCUGAUGAGGAACCAAUCAUCGGCUUGGCAGAGUGGGUAAAGAAUAAGAAGCCGAUGUCUUGCCCUUUUGGGCACAAGGAGCCGGAGAAGUUCGUGUUUGACAUCACCAAAGCCGAUAGGAUAUUUGACUUUCUACUUCAGGAAGGUCAGAUAUUGUCACCUAAUUAUGUAAUCCCAUCGGCUGAGGAAUUAAAGAAGAUGAAGUACUGCAAAUGGCACAAUGCAACUUCUCACAGCACCAAUGAGUGCAAAGUUUUUAGGCAAUAGCUGCAAUCAGCUAUAGAAUCUGGGAGGAUCAAAUUUGACAGCUCCAAAACUCAAAAGCCGAUGAAGAUUGAUCAACAUCCUUUCCCAACAAAUAUGCUGGACGCUAAGGGAAAGGCCAAGGUCUUGACAUCGGAAGCAGCUGAAAGAAGUGCAUCGAUGGAUCCUUAGCAUCAGAUCACUACUGCCGAUGCAAAAGGAAAAGGCUUAAUCCAGGAAGGAAAUAGCUCAGGAAGGCCUCCCCGAUCUGGUAUUGUCAUAACACAUAGAAGGCCUCGGGAGACUUGGGCAGCAACGUGAGGAUCGGUAUCGGCGCCAGCAAGAAGACUAUCAUCGGGAAGAAGAAAGACGCUGACAAGAGUGGAAUCGGCAUAGGGAUCACUGGAAUUGUCCGUUCUUCAUCCAUUGUUGGGAGGAAAAUAUUAAGCUUCCUACUGUCAGAGACUGCCCGGAAUGUAAUGGUUAUGAUUGGUACGACAGAUCAAAUCGGCAGUAUCAGAACAAUAGCCGCCGGUUUGAUGGGCCGAUUAGGGGGAGAGCGUCGGUUCUUGAUCGGCUGGGGGGCAGGCUCAGCAUGCACGAUAGGCUUGGGGACCGUGUUGAAUAUUUUCCCAGGAACCAAGAAGAACUUGAGGAGAUGGCUAAUGCACGGGUUCCCGAUGAGUUCAUAUUUUGCAGGGAUGCCAAUACUUAUCGGAUUGAGUCAAGGGAAAAUCGUCGCCCAUCGGUAAAGCAGCAACAGCUUCCUCCAUGGUGUCCAGAUGGGUUGACUAGGACACAGAAAAGGAGGCUGCAGCGCGAAAGACGAGAAGAGUUGAACAAGGGCGAGAACUCUGGCCAGUUUGGGGAUCAGCAACAAUCAGAUCCAAAGGGAAAAGGUCCAUCGGUAGAUGUCAACAUGGUAUUUAUGUUGCCGAUGGAAUUCCUUGCGCCGUCAAGUGAUGAUGAGUUGGAGUUUUCCGACCAAAUAGCUCAGUUGGCUCUGGAUCCGAUGACAGCCAUCUUUGAAAAGCCUGCCGAUGAUGAAAGGCAACAUCUUAAGGCUCUGUUUGUCAAAGGAAGAGUGGAUGGUCAGCCGAUGACCAAGAUUUUGAUUGAUGGUGGAGCUGCUAUCAAUAUCAUGCCAUAUACAGUGUAUCGAAAGCUUGGAAAAGGAGACCAGGAUUUGACCAAGACCGAUAUGACGCUCAAAGACUUUGAAGUGAAUGUGUCUCCGGUUAAGGGAGCCAUCUGUGUUGAAUUGACUAUCAGCAGCAAAACCUUGCCGACAACCUUCUUCGUGAUCAGUGGAAAAGGUGCUUAUAACUUGCUAUUGGGAAGAGAUUGGAUUCAUGCCAAUUGUUGCAUCUCGUCUACAAUGCACCAUGUCAUCGCAUCGGCAGAGGCAGACACCUAUGAAAGAACUAGGUGCAUCUCGGAAGAAAUUUGGGAGAAGGAUUUCCUCAAAGUUGCCGAUUAUGAAAUUCCACCGAUCCAAGCAGUCGGUUCUGAUGAAGGUUUUUAAUGGAUAGGUUCACCGAUGAUGGAAAGUUAGGCCAGGGAUUCACAUCGGCCGAUGAUUUGGUAGAAGUAGAUAUAGGUAGUGGUGACAAGCCUAGACAUACUUUUAUCAGUGCUAAGUUAAAUUUUGAGUGUAAGCAACAGUUGACUGAUUUGUUAAAGGAAUAUAAAGAUUGCUUUGCUUGGGAUUAUACUAAGAUGCCUGGUUUAGACCGAUCAAUUGUUGAACAUCGGUUACCUAUCAAGUCUGGAUUUCGGCCACAUCAGCAACCAACUCGCCGAUGUAAUCCUAAUAUCCUUCCUGAUAUCAAGGCUGAAAUAACCAAACUUAUUGAAGCUAAAUUUAUUCGGCAGUGUUGGUAUGCCAAGUGGAUUUCCAAUGUGGUUCCAGUCUAUAAGAAAAAUGGGAAGCUUCGGGUUUGCAUUGAUUUCAGGAAUCUCAAUAAAGCUACGCCGAUGGAUGGCUACCCAAUGCCGGUUGCCGAUCUACUAGUUGAUGCUGCGGCUGGGCAUCGGAUCAUCAGCUUUAUGGAUGGUAAUGCAGGAUACAAUCAAAUAUUCAUGGCUAAAGAAGAUAUUCCAAAGACUGCAUUUAGAUGUCCUGGUCAUGUUGGGUUGUUUGAAUGGAUAGUCAUGACCUUUGGCUUGAAAAAUGCUGGUGCUACUUAUCAGAGGGCUAUGAAUUUUAUAUUUCAUGAGUUCAUCGGCAAGCUGGUGGAAAUUUAUAUUGAUGAUGUGGUGGUUAAAUCUGGAGAUUUCACAAAGCAUCUUGCCGAUUUGCGAAAGGUGUUGGAAUGUACAAGGAAGCAUGGGUUAAAGAUGAAUCCCAAUAAGUGUGCAUUUGGUGUAUCGGCAGGACAAUUUCUUGGCUUCAUGGUGCAUCAAAGGGGGAUUGAAAUUAGUCGGAGAUCCAUUGAUGCCAUCAACAAGAUAGUUGCCCCUACCAACAAGACUGAGCUCCAAUCCUUGAUCGGCAAGGUAAAUUUUAUCAGGAGGUUUAUAUCUAAUUUAUCUGGUAAAAUUAGUGCUUUCAGUCCUUUACUUAAGUUGAAAGCCGAUCAAGAGUUCAUCUGGGGGAAAGAGCAACAAUUGGCCUUGGAUGAAAUCAAGAAUUAUUUGGUAAAUCCUCCAGUUCUGAUUCCACCUCAGCAAGGGAAGCCCUUCAGAUUGUAUUUGUCUACCGAUGGGAUGGUCAUCGGUUCGGCUUUAAUUCAAGAAUUUGAAGGGAAGGAACGUGUGAUUUACUAUUUAAGCAGGAGAUUGGUUGGUGCUGAGACCAGGUAUUCGGACAUUGAAAAGCUAUGUUUGUGUCUUUAUUUCUCAUGUAUUAAGUUGAGACACUAUUUGUUAUCAGCUGAAUGCACUGUCAUAAGCAAAGAUGAUGUGGUCCGAUAUAUGCUGUCUAUGCCGAUUAUGAGUGGUAGGAUCGGUAAGUGGAUUUUGGUACUGUCGGAAUUCGAUUUGCGUUACGAAUCGGCUAAAGCGGUUAAGGGACAGAUUAUGGCCGAUUUUGUAACUCAACAUUGCGGUACAGUGGAAACUUUGGAAAUUGUGCCUUGGACGCUCUUCUUUGAUGGAUCCACGUGUGACCGCGGCAUAGUGCUAAUUUCCCCUCGAGGAAGGAAGUAUGAGUUCUCCUUGCCGAUUGUUGCCACGUCAACAAAUAAUCAAGCUGAGUAUCAAGCUUUGAUAAAGGGGUUGGAAUUACUAAGGGAAGUUCAUGCUGAUGCCGUUGAAAUCUUUGGGGAUUCUAUGCUGGUUAUAAAUCAAUUGGCUGGAAGCUAUGAAUGCUGAAGCGAGGUCCUGAUAACUUAUCACGAAAGGAGUAUGCAACUGUUAAAGGAGUUCAAGGACUUCUGAUUGGAGCAUGUUCCUCGAUUGCAUAAUGAAGAGGCCAAUCGGUUGGCUCAGCAUGCCUCGGGAUAUCAGCCCAUGAUUAAUGCAAUAUCGGCAAUCGGUGUCGAUGAUUGGAGAAAAGAAAUCAUUGAUUAUUUGAAGGAUCCAUCCAAGAAAGUUGAGAGACGUGUUCGGUUUCAAGCCACCAAGUAUGUGCUCCUCGAAGAUGAAUUAUAUUAUCGAACUAUUGAUGGGAUUCUUCUCAAGUGUCUAGGUGAUGAUGAGGCUAGAAGUUUGAUGGGAGAAAUCCAUGAGGGAGUGUGUGGAGCACAUCAGUCGGCGUUUAAGAUGAAGUGGAUGAUCAGAAGAAACGGGUAUUAUUGGCCGACAAUACUUGAGGAUUGCUUUAAGUAUUUCAAAGGGUGUCAAGGAUGUCAGAAGUUUGGCAAUGUUCAAAGGGCACCCGCAUCGGCCGUGAAUCCUAUCAUCAAGCCUUGGCCGUUCCGAGGAUGGGCUAUUGAUUUAAUCGGCCAGAUUUAUCCACCAUCCAGCAAAGGACAUAAGUUUAUCUUGGUUGCCACUGAUUAUUUCACUAAAUGGGUUGAAGCUAUUCCUUUGAAGAAAAUUACAUCGGCCGAUAUGAUCGAUUUUGUGAAAGAGCAUAUUAUUUACCGAUUCGGAAUUCCUCAAACGAUUACUACAGAUCAGGGUACUAUGUUCACAUCGGGGAGUUUGAUGAAUUUGCAAUCGGUAUGGGAAUUAAAGUAUUAAAUUCUUCUCCUUAUUAUGCUCAAGCUAAUGGGCAGGCCGAGGCAUCUAACAAAGAAAUUAUCAAGCUUAUUAAACGGAAGAUUGAAGAAAAUCCUAGGAGGUGGCAUACAUUGUUAAAUGAAGCUUUAUGGUCAUAUCGGAUGGCUUGUCAUGGGUCGACCAAAGUUUCGCCUUAUCAGUUGGUAUAUGGACAUGAUGCAGUGUUACCUUGGGAAAUUAAGACUGGAUCUAGGCGACUAUCUUUUCAAGAUCAAUUGGCUGCCGAUGAUUAUACUACUUUGAUGACAGAUGAGUUGGAUGAUCUAGCAGGGCAUCGGCUAAGGGCUUUGAUGAGUAUAGAAGAGAAUAAGAAGAGAGUUGCCAGAUGGUAUGAUAAGAAGGUAAAAGCUAAGGAGUUUGCCGAUGGAGACUUAGUAUGGAAGCUAAUCUUACCGAUCGGGACUAAAAGUUCAAAAUUUGGGAAGUGGUCUCCCAAUUGGGAGGGUCCCUAUCAGAUAAGUCGAUCGGCUCCUGGUAACGCUUAUAUUUUAGAAACUCUUGAAGGAGUUGAAUUUCCCAGAGCAUUAAAUGACAAAUAUCUAAAGAAGUAUUACCCAAGCAUAUGGGUCGAUGCAUAAAAGUUUAAAUGCCGAUAACAUUCCUAUCGGCUGGACCAAAAUGACUAGAAGAAAGAAAUAAAGCGCGCCGCCGAUGAAGAAUUCACAUGUUUAACAGCGCCUGGAUCACCGAUAUAGCACGCAGACGGAUCUGGUUGGCUUCCUCUAUCUCUUUCACAUCAUCAUCGGCAGAGCCCUCCACUGGCUUCAGCUUCUUCUUCAUCUGCAACGCUUUACGGCCAUGGACAUUUCGCUCCUGUUCAAGGAGUUUGAUCGCCUCAGGCAGCUGGUUUUCCUCUUGUUGAGCUUGGGACAAGGCUUCUUCUACUUGCUCGAGUUCUGCCAAUAGGGCUUCUCUUUUUGCCGAUAGAUCAGAGAUCUUGUGCUUCAACGCAUCUCCUGAGGACUUCAAGAUGCCGAUGUUCUUGUGCUUCUCAUCGGCAAGGAGCUUUACUUUCAUCAUCUCCUCAGAAAGCUGAGCCUGAGUAGCUCUGUCGGCAAGACGCUGGGUAGCCUUUUGAUAUUGCAGCUGACGGCUCUCUAGAUGUGCAGCUUGCAAAAGGAUUUCUUCAACAUCGGCAGGAAUUUGACCUCUGAGGGUCUUGAACAAAGCCUUGGCCGGGUCGGAGUCAUCAACCAGUUGGGCUGUGUCUUGAUGAAGGAGGGCUGAUAAUUUUUCUAACUUUGCCCUGAUCUCUGCCGAUGUAAUUCCGACUGCUCGGGAAGAACUUGCCUCCUCGCCUUCAUCCUCAGAAAUGUCGAUGACAAAGGAGAAUAAGCUAUCAGGAGAGUCCUGUUCCUGAAAAAGAAAUAAAAUGAGUCAUUCUAUGGUCAAGUAUUGACAAAUAAUACAGAUAGAGAUUGGGUGACUUACUUGUUUCGGGGCAAUCUCUCGCCUCUGACUAGAAGAUGCUGAUGGGACCACGGGCUGAUCGGCUGGGGUUGCCGAUGGGACUAUGUCAGCUGAAAGAAUAACAAAAAUAAUUGUAGGACAGGAAAAGUAGGUUCAUCGGCAAUGAUUUCACAGAAAGUAUGUUACCUUGAGGGGAAGCAGUGCUUGUCUGGAUCGAGGAGACUACCGAUGCUAUGAUUAAGCUUGCUGGAUCGGUAGUCUGCUCGUACACAUCAGCCGAUGUUUCUUCCGGCUGAGGUACUUCUGGCUGGGGUUCUUCUGGUUGGAGUUCUUCCACUUGGGGUGCUUCUUGUGGCUGAGAAGGAGGUGUUACCUGCUGUGUCUGGGUUUCUGGAGAAGAGGGAGAAGAUUCCACCGGGAUCGGAGAUCUUGGAGGAGGAGAAGGUGUUGCCAUCCUCUGGCGCUUUGCUUGUGAUCUGGUGCUCUUGGAGCUUUUCCUCUUCACUUGACUGGACUGGGGGGGCAUCGGUAGUCGUGCUUCUGGUCUUUGCCGAUGUACUAGUGUGCUGGUGCAACAAUAAGAAGUUUGUGAGUACAAGUGUGAUAGGUAUGAGGAUGGAGUCAUUAUGAAUAAAGAAGUUUGAAGAUUUACCUUUAAGGCUUGUGCCAAAGCAGAGGCAGCUACCGAUGGAGAUGUCUUUGUAUGCUUGGUGGUGACUUUCUUGAGGCGCACACCUCGAUGCAUUAUGGCAGCCAAAGUGGGAGCGUUGUUGCCGAUUGAAGAGAUCGGACCUGAUGGAAAAAGCUCAAUCAGCUUGCCACUCCUGCUGACCGACCGGGAAUGUUAUCAACCUGUAAUAUAAUACAGAAAGUAAGUUACCGAUGGAAAUAAAAGUGAAAGAAUUGAGACAUCAGUUUGGAAAUACUUACAGUGUUAUCAGGAACUUUGUACUGGGGGUCGAUCAUGUCGCGGUACGUAAGAGCCGAUUUGCAGAAAAAAUGCUCCUUCCAUUCUUCCCACCAUUGUUUGUACGCCUGAGUAAUGAAGAGGGCCGGGAUCCACUCUGAUAAAUCUGCAUUUGUAUCGGCACUCGGUGGCAGUUGGGCUAUCCUGGUCCACUCGAGAAGACUGGUGAUGGUUUCCCUGGGUUUUAUCACAUCGCAUAACAAAGUGCAAUCGGCAGCUGACCGAAAGCUAGUUGACGGGCUACUGCCGAUGAGUUGUAAAAUUCAUAGGUCUGGUUGGAAGCUUUUCCACUGCCGAAGAAGUUUACUGGUAUGGCUCUUGGAGUGAUAAGUGCCAUCAUCACAUCAUGAUCUUUAUUAAGAGCAUCGUUGAAUGGAUGGAAGACGAAAGGAAACAUGGUGUCUAGAUCCUCAUAAGGCAUCCAUGCUCGCUGUUCUCUGGUCAGGCCUUCGUACAGGGUCUGGAAGAAUCGGCUAACCUGGUCUGCGUUACCACUUGUACCAGGUAGAACUAUGGUAGCCUCGCCAAAGUUCAGAGGAGGUCGAGUUGCCGAUUCUUCUUCAUCUAGUUCAUAGUCCUCGGCUAUGUCCCUGGGGAAGCGUUGUGCGAAGAGGUUGAACUCAAGACGCUUGUGCAUAUGGAGGUUAAGCACAUAUUGAUGAACCACCAGGGGCCCCCUAAGUUGCCGAUGGAUUGGCCGAGUAGGAGUUUUCUGGCUACUUGAUGGAGGAGAUGGUAAGCUGAGCCAAGCAGGUAUCGGCCGAGGGGAAAUCGGCCACCAUUAGCUAAUCUCUCUGCUGCCGAUAGGUAAACAGAGGUUGGUCCUGCCGAUCGACCGCAGAACAUAAAUUUGUCCAACCACAUGUUCAGGAAGGUGGUUUGUUCCUUUAUGUUGACAGACCCCGUUCUACGGUACUUCUGAAUGUACCCAGACCACCCGCCGAUAGAGCGGGUUUCCACCUUGGCACUAGGUGUGGUGUCAAAUAUGUGACUACUAUCGCCUGUGGAUACAUCUAAGCCGGUGAGCAUAAGCACAUCGGCAAGAGUGGAAGAAGAAGGGCCAUGACCGAAGACAAAGGCAUUAAGUGUGUCUGACCAGAAGUAUGAUGCAGCAAUCAGCAGUGAUUCAUUCCUAUGCAUAUCGGCAAGAGAUAACCUAAUGCACUGGUCUAGCUUUCGUUCGCCCCACUGAACCUCAUUCGAAUGGCUGACUCUCAAGAACCAAUCCUUCCAUCCCACGGUAGGACUGGGCCAGGAACGGAAGGUAUCUUUCCACAGAUCUAGAGAAAAAUUCUCGGCUCUAAAGGGGAUUCUGUUUGUUUCUGCGUUGAUCAGAUCGGUGGGAUCUGGGUUCCCUAGCGGACCGAGACAUUGGAGGUGUGGCUGAUCGGUAGGGAUGACAAUUUUAUUGGACAAAUCCUAGAAGUUUUUAAGGAUAAAAAGAAGAACAAAAGAAAAAAGGAGAAGAGUGUUCAGUAAAAUAAGUUGCAGAUGAACAAGGGUAUGGUAAAAGUACAAGAGGUGGGGUGAUGAACUGACCUCAGGAACAGCAAAGUUGAUGGCCAUCUCCUCGCAAGGAAGAUGAUCGAAGACUUUGAGGUUGGUGGAGAAAAGCCUUCGUUGGAUUUCUUGGAGCUCUCGAGCAGCGCCGCCGCCAGAAAAGUAGAGUUGGAGCUGUAGAAUGAUGCGAUGGGGAAGGAGUACCCGAGAAGGAACUAUUUAUAGGACAAAACAGGCAAGGGCAAAUCCGACUUAUCUCUUCGCCGUAUCCGUGAAAUCCGAGGGUACUCAGGUGGAUAUGGUAACUGUUCGCGCGGUAAUCGAGGGAUUGCGCAGGUGAUUUGACAGGAAGCGGUAAUAAUCUAGAGAUAUUUUACUGUGCGGGAUUUCCUGGUCAGUCCAUCGGCAGCUCCUUCUAACGGUUAUAUUGCCGAUGGGCGAAUAUGGUGGAGAUGUCCAGUUUGGGAGGUUGAGGAAUUCGAGGAAUCUGCGGAAGAAUCGGGAUAGAGUUGUUCGGCUUCAACGGUCGGUUACCAAAUUGAGAGGAUUAAUUGCGGAAAGGCAUCAUUACUGCAGAGAAUUUCGGAGCAUUAAUGAUUUUAUACUCCGAAAUUGGGGUGCAUGUGUUGACACCAUUUUUGGACAUGUACCCAGGAUCGGUAGAGUGUAGAUCGGCAAGAUAGGGUAACAAUAACUGGUCUGCAGGAGAGUUGCCGAUGAGGGUGGUUGCCGAUGAAGGGACAGCUGAAUGAGACUGAGUCCAUGGGUGGUGACGCGUUCAUGCCGAUGGUCAAGCAUUAGCUUUUGCCGAUGGCUACGAUGAGGAGUCUGCCGAUGAUUCGGAAGGAGAACCUGAAGGUUGUCGAUUGGUCCAUGGUGGUGUCCCAGUUUGUCACGGGAGGAUAGUUUUGUGUUUUUCUUAGUUAUUUAAAUCGUUUUGUAUACGGAUUCUGUUUAAUUUGGAAUUCGAGUCUUAGUCGUGUCUAAUUGUAGCUCUUUGAGCAGGGUAUAAAUGUAGACCCUGGGGCUUUGUAAUGAAUAUAUAUCAAUCAAUCAAACACAAGUUUUUACUCAUAUUCCAGCAUCUACUUUUUCGACGACUUCGUCAUACUUUUCGUUUUCAUUACGAGUUCUUAGGAGUUCGUCGACUUAAGCUCGGCAUAUUCUCGAGUUUCGCGUGAAUACCUCUUGGCCGUGGCAUCCGGGCGCAUCGCUGUUGUCGGGACCAAAGUAUUCGAGUUAUCACCUUUGCCGAUAGUAAGGUCAAAUCGGCUAGCACGCCUUAACGUUUGAAUCGGGUAUUAGCCCUUUGUGUUUGCAGAUCCAGCUUUUGCAUCAAUACACAGUUUAUUUGCCUGUAAAUCGCGAGACGGAUCUUUUGACCUUAGUUAGUCUAUGAUUGGACAAUAUUUGCCACAAACAAACGAAAAUGCUACAGUAGCGGAAUCUAAAAAAUUUCGCGAACUGAACGAGGCCUAAGGCACAGUGCUCCGAUCCGACCGUUGGGGCCAGAUGAUUUCUGGUGGAAUACGGUGGCGGCGGUUAGGAGACGACGGCGGUGGGUUGUUUGUGUCCCUGAACUGGGGACUAGAAUUUUUUUUUUGCCGGUGGAGAGGCUUCGAGGGUUUUUGCAAGCCUAAAAAAUUUUGGCGUCCAGCGCACGAAGGGCAGCUGUGCACGCCAUUUUUGCCGCCACGUUAGCGAAAACCAGUUCCCCAAGGCCCGCCUGCAUAAGACACUCGGGAGUCUCCUGACGCCGUUCACAUUUGCUAUGUCUUCCUAAAUUUCUCGGUAUAAAAUAGAAGGAUCCCGAAUGCAAAUAUAAACACAUGGGGAAAGUAAAAUCUCCCAAGUGCUUUGCGAUAUCCCAAGUGCAAUAUUAUACACUCGGAGAUAAUCUUGAGUACGUGUUUUUGUAAAACACUGGGCAAACUACUAGGCACUAGGGAACUACACAAAAUCUGGUAGUGCCCUCUCCUCCCGUGUUCACAUUAGGACAUUAGGACAAAAUCUUGAGUGUUCACAGUAAGACUAGGCAGGUUUCUAGAGUGUAGUUGCCACAUAUGUUAGACCAUCAUGUGUUCCUCGGUGUCAAUCUGGUGUCUUCGGCAUGCAAAUGCUAUACAACAUUCUAUUUGCUUCACUGCUGAAGUGGAUUCCUAUGUCAUUAUCCACACCAUUAUUAAGUGAUGUUGGCUCCAACUAGUUCUUUUGGGUGCUAUGCAUUCUUAUUACUUCUGUGGCUAUUUUCUAUUUUGUUUGAUCAUACUAGACUGUAUGGCAGCCAACCUAGUCCACCACCGUCAAAUGAAGUUGACUCCAUCCACAAGAAGUAGCUUUGGUACAAGGUGAUGUGCUUUAUGUCUCAUCUUAUCAUCAGUUCAUGGAGAAGUGGUAGUUUUAUUAUUUGUCAUUUGAUGUGGUAGAUGUUAAUAAGACUUAGGAUAAAACCUAGAUCAAUUGUACGUCAGGUUGGAGAGAUUACACAGCAUAGAAGGCCCCUAAAUUGUGGAAUAUAAAGGAGAAAAUGGUGUAAUGCAUUCAAAUUAAAUCUUGUCCCCACCGCAUCAGUCGCAUUGAUCAUUCAGAUAUGAUUAUUAAAUCCUUCCAGGCCAAAGUGCUCUGUAUUCAUAGGAAGAAACCAUUUUAAAUCACAUCUUAAAUGUGUUUCUUGUAACUGGUGGGAACCAAGUGCAUUCUCAAGAUGCUGUGGAGUUUAUCUGGAAAUCGAUAUUAGGAUGGUUCCCUGCCCUCCACCAAAGGAAAGACAAGAGACCCAACACGAAUUACUGGCAUCCGGUCGCACACAUAUUUGUUCACCAAGAGCCACCGCCGCUGCCACCCUAUCUCCCACCACCGCUGGUCCUCCUCCCUUCCCCUCCGGCUUCUCGCCAGAGGCUGAAGGGAGUGGGGAUCCAUCGUUUUCAAAAAGUUCUCUACUAGAUUGAGUCCUUAGGGUUACAGUUUCUCCAUACCAAAUUUCUUGGUAUUAGAGAUUUAUUUCCUCGUCUCCAGCAAGGACAUGCAAAGGGAAAGGGUGGAAUCGUUUUCUCCAUGGCGACUAUGUUGAAGAUGAGGGCGACAACUACAGUUUCAGCAACUUUACCGGCAUGACGACAUAGAGACAUUUCUUUCCGGACGACGACAUCAAGGUGGAGAUGAUAUCGCCGCCAUGGAAUAAUUUGCUCCAGUCUCUUCUUCGUUUUGUCGUGGUUACAUCUGGCCACGAUGAAAGGGAGAAUAAUUUUUAGAUCAGUUUUUCUCAUUCUUUGGUGGCAGAAAGAAGAUGAAGGAUAACAAAACAAAAGAAGAAGUUUCUCAAUUCCGCCUACAGGAAUGUUGGCCGUCGUUUGUUGGGCAUAUGUUGCCUUUUGCCGAAUGUUUGCUUGUGCGGUCAUCCAUAUGAAGCAUCAUAUAGGUUUGGUUUUGAGAUUUGGAGCUAUUUACAGUGUGGGUAUAAUUUAGAUGAAAAUCAAUUCCUGGAUAUAUGUAUUUGUAUUCCAGACUACUUGUAACGUACUGAUGUACCCAACUAUAUAGUUCUUCUUUGGACUAAAAAAAAAAGAAUUACAGGCAUCCAAGCGUCUGCUCAAGCUUCUCAUUGCUUCAUGACCAGCGUUCAUGGCCCUAGUAAAACAAGAUGACAUAUCUUGGUUCCCAACGCAGAUAAUGAGCAUAUUCAUGUUCGCAAAUUGCAAUGCAUCCAGUGUUUUUUUAUUAAUAGGAGUACAGUUUAGAAAGAGAGAUUACUAGCUAACCAACAAAUAUCACUACUGGAAACUUGAAUAGGCUUGUGUGUGCAAACCAGUAGUGUACGCUACAUUACCACAACCUGAACAAGCUAACAACGUAGCAAGUAAACUGUUCCUUUUUCACUCUCUUCUAGGCAUCUUGCCUGAAUAACAUCGCAUCCCAUUCGCAACGGUAUUCCGCCUGAAUGCAAAGUGUACAAGGUGGAGAGAAGCCAUUUUAGACUUUUUUUUUGCUAGUAAUGAAAUCAACUUGCACGCUUAGUAGCAACUAGUGAAAUAACAGAAGUGCAGAACUUAUUUAACUUCCCAUGGCAGGGAAUUAUUUAUAUAUAAAAAAGAAAUAGAAGAGUUCUGGCAUAGCAGCCAUCAAAUUUUUGAUUUGCGGUGUCUGAGGUCUUUGUACUCUAUAAUGUACAUGUAUGUCCAUAUAUAAACAUGUUAAGUGUGUUAGUUGAUAUCUAGAUCGACCUAAUCAACAAAAGUUAGACGGGUGGAAGUCUUGCAUAGAGGCCACAUGCAUGCCACCUAGCUUUACUAGCUAGGUAUUAAUUGCCAUCUCCAUGGUCGCAUGUAUAUGCAACAUAUUGGUUGCCAUGUUUUGUUCCCAUAUGGCUAGACUAAUUAUAUGGUGAUUUGAAGCUUGAACGCCACAGAAAACAAGUUUAGUGAUUCAUUUGUUAAUUUUGGAGCACAGAUAGUGGCCUAGAUGACACCUAAACGAAUUUUAAGGACUAUAAUUGGGCACUAGUCAUCUUCUCGUCUCCCUUUCUGCGCAACACAAUAUAGACACAAAUGGUUCCAAAGCAUGCAUUAUCACCCCUACAAAUGCAUGAAUAAUCCAUACCCCUAUGAAGCCAAAUGAUUUGAAAUAUUUCAAGUACUCGGGUUGUGCAUAUAUAUUGACUAGAUAUAUAUGCAUGAACAAAAUGAGCCAAGUCGUGGAGCAACAUGCAUUUGAAACUUGGACCUACCAUACCAUUAAAUUUUAUAGGACAAAAGUGAUCUAGACUUUGUAAAGCCAAAUGUGACCACGGUAAGGCUAUGUCUAAGUGAGUAACUGCAUUCAUUCAGUUUAUUACUAUAUAAAUGCAUUCUACUGAGCCAGGAAAUAAAAACGCCACAUAGAGCAUGUGAUAGUGCCAUCAUCAUAGUAGUCUGAUAUUCUAGAUAGAAGACAAAGCAUGGGGGACAUUAUUAUCCUAUAGAGUUCUUUGUGAGUUUGAGAGGUAUCGGGAACAAAACCAUGCCUUGAGUAUAGGCGAUCAGUGGCGGAGAUGGCUGAGAUCGCUAUUUCUUGCCAAGCCAUAUUUUUACUUUGAUCUCACUUGGUACAUCAGCGGAGAGAUGCCACCUGACCUUGUCACAGUUGCAGCCCUACAACAGUAGUAGAGAUAGCUGCCGCCCUACAACGAGCAGUAGAGUGGUUUGCUCCAGUUUGCGGCACUGCCUGUGCAUGGCCUCCACUAUAUAUGCGGCAGUCAGGCAAUGCCACACCCCAUAUUUGUCUCUGUCCGCCAAGGCUGACCAAGACCUCAAGAAGAAACCAGUACGAAGCAAAAGACAUGUUCUCGAGUUGAUAACGACAUGACGUUCAAGCCCAGAACAUUGUGUGUCUCUGAUUUUGAGUUGGCCCUUUGGCCCAUGUGCCACACUAUACAAGUGCCUGUCUGUAACAGUUGGGACAAGCUUUAAGAGAACCAUCCUCUUCCUCUGAAUAAACACCCACAGAGAUCCUUCUUCACAAAAAAAAUCAUCCCAAAAUUCUGUUUCAAGUUCAUUAGACUUAUUUCAGCAGCCCGAUGGACAUCGUCACGUUCAAAUUUUAUGAGCACAAGUGGUCAGCUUGCUGAAGGAUCGGAGCCAAGAGUAUAUGUAAGCAAGUGGUGUAGACAUGAAAGCAAAUACACAAACAUGAUGGAGCUCCCGAUCAAUGUACUACAAUACAGCCUACAGGGCUGCCUCUAAAUCCCGAACAACGUGGCUGGCGAAACCGAAAGCACCCAGCUGUAGCAUCUGCAUUAUUAUUGUUUUAUUUAUGAAACAGGAAGUUGCUGCCCGAACUCACACUUGUUUAUGAAGCUCAAGAUACAAAGAAGGAAAAGGAAAAAGAAGAAAGCCAAAAUUACAUGUAGAAAUCGAGCCAUUGCUCAAAGCUAGGAAAAUAACUCAUCAUUGCUCGGUGGAACACCAAAGCAACUUGCUUCCUGAACUUAUACUUGCAUCUGCCGAAAGAAGGUUCGUUAAUUGAAGAUGUAAUCAUUAUGCAUUGUCCACAUACUCCACCACAUAAAGUUAAUCUCCUCCCAAAGGGGAUUGGAGAGGAUGGGAAGAAUUUAACUUGUAAGGCCUACUUUGGCAGCACAGGGGAGUUUUCCCUGGGAAUCUAGUCCUACGCGUGGAAAUAUUUUGAACACCUCAUUCCCCCAUCUUCCUAGGGCAGACUUCCACAGGUGCGGGGUUUUCCCUGACGUUGUUUGGCAAUAGAUUGCCCUGAGCAAGGAAAACGUGAACUGUCUGCACAGCAACACUUGUAUGAAAGUAUGCACUGUUUCUUUUAAAAAAACUGAGAACUUCUGCCAAAGUACGGCAAUAAAACUGAAAACAAUGUCUUGAAAAUAAAGAAAAAACUGAAAUUUUUUAAUAAUAUAGAGAAAUAACCUCAUAUCAAUGCCGAGCACUUUUCAUGAGCAUAAUGCAUGGAAAAUCACAAUACUAAUUAUUUGACGUAGUCCAAUACAUAUAAAAUUAGUUCCAAGUGGCAAACUUAACUCAGCCAAUCCAUUCUUCACCAGAUCACAGAUGGUCACCAUCUAGAUAUCUAAGACAUAAUUAAAAAAUAUAUGGUUUAACUCUUUUUCAUGGGUAGUGUUUGAGAAAAAAAAAACUCCUUUCCAUGAGCUUCUCACAUAGGCACUACAGCUAGCAAAACAUUUUUCUUCUCAAAUCAUACAACACUUCCUCCACAAAGAGCACUGCAAAUAAACAAAGGACAAACAUUAGCAGCUAAGACACACAAAACAAAACCAACAUAAUUUUCUAACUGAAAGAUAGCAUAUAUCUAACUGAAAGAGACUUUUUCUGAAUGAAAGACUAGACAAAAAUAAACUCGUCAUCUACUGUGAAGAGCAUCACUAGUAUUAUUUUGCAUGAACAACAGUAAGUGGCAGUAGCUGGGCAUGUCUCAACUAGUUUGGCCUUUUUUACAAAAAAUCCUAAUGACAACAUCUUUCCUUGAAAAUAGAAGCAGAGGCAAAAACAAUAUCCAUGAGAUUUUGGGACUUCUAAAACCUAUGUCUGCUGCUGCAUCUGGGACUGACUAAUACCAUCGAUGAAAGACACAAGUAUUAUAAAAACUUAGACCACUUGUUGGUUUUGAAUGGUUCACAAGGUUCAGAUUUCGAACAGUUGAACUAGUAGCAAUUUCAGAACAGCAGCAAGCAUACAUGGGACAAGAGUCUGAAUCUUGGAGGGUAGCAAGUAGCUUAUGUGUAUCCAUGCAUUCAUUCAUCAAAAAAGAAAGACAACAGGCAUGUUUACUUGAUUGCAAGAAUAUCAGGGCUAGAGUCUCUGUCUAGAAAUAAGAAAGGGUUUCUAAUACACGCCUUUUUACAUAAACUAGAUAUAUACUUCUCAGUGUAUCCCUUUCUUUUGAUUUCAUUCGAGAUAGCUCGGAACUAAUCCCAACCUAGAGCAUAGCAUAUAGCAUAGACAGAUACAGAAGAAGCUGGGUUACCUUGCUGCCCUGGAUGGAGUAGCCUCCGAUCCUUUGCUUCACUGGUGAUACAGAGGAAGGCCUGACUGAAAAGGAGAAAGGAGAGGGUCAGGUAAGGAGGGUCUGAGCUGCCGUCGGGGAAGACAAACAAAGCAGCGGCAAGGUGGCGUAGAUCCGGCCAUGAUGAGAUUCAAAUCGCAUCCGCCGAUUGACUGGCGCGGGACCAACCAAAAUGGAUGGCGGAUCCGGCCGGAAAUGGAUCCGGUGCGGUGCGUGUAGACUACUCACCCGAGACGGAACGGACGGAAGGAUGGAGGGAGGGAGGUCGCCGGCGGAGAACGGACGGAAGGAGGAAAUGGGAUGUCGGGGCGUCGUUGAAGGGAUGAUGGGGUGGAUGCGACUCGACGUGAAGCUCUCCCGGAUGGAGACCGGCGGCGGAGCUUGGGCGAGCCGCGGCGGAGCCUGGGCAAGCCGCGGUGGAGCCUGGGCGAGCGGCGGCGGUGUUGCGAGAGGAAGGAGUCGGGCGGCUCGCGAGUGCACGGGGAAACUCUCCCGGACAAAAGGGUCGUGGAUUUGUUCCCCGAGUAAAAUACAGGGAAGCGGGCCGCAUUCCUCGACUUCGUGGGCUGCCAAAUGGUGCAUAAUUUUGGCCCGGGGGAGGCUGGCACGGGCCUGAUUAGCCCAUGGAAAAGGCCGGGAUCCCUGCGGGAUUCUGGGCUGCCAAAGAAGGCCUAAGGGAUUUAAUCCCGGCCCCCUUGGUCCCUUUCAAUCCUACACGAAUCAUUUACAGGAAAUAUAAAUAAUUGAGUUGCACUAAGGUUGCAGUUAUCCACCACCCCAGAUCAUUUUUCUCCCGUCGGCUGAGAGCUCUCCCGUCAGUAGCGCACAAACUUUCCCCACGUUACAGCUAAACCCGUCCGGAGAGUUCUCUCCCGUCGGUACCUACCGUCACGAAGAGUUUUUCGGGCCUUCCCCCAGGAUGUCGCGCGCUCCUUGGCGCGCAGAAACAGCCUCGCGCGCGCUCUCGCCAAACGCGCGCCAAGGAGUCGAGCGAAAUUAUUUGGCCGCGCUCUCGCUCCUCCAAAACAGCCUCAGAGCCUAUCUUUUCGACCUUAUCCGUUACUUCUCCCACCCGCGUCCAGCUCGGGUCGUCGCUCAAGCGCGUAGCGGCGGCGCGCAUCCACCAGCAGCGGCGCCACCCCAGCCACGGUUGCUGCUUGCCGCGAACAGCCCCCUCCCCAUCCACCACUGCUUCCUGUUGCGACGCCGCCGGCCGCAAUGUCGCUGGCCACCAGGGCUCCGCCAACCACCAGAGCGCCGGCGGCUGCAGUGCCUGCACCCAGUCACCAGCAACCCCACCCGCCGCCCUGUGGUGCUGCACGCCGACCUGAAGGGCAGCAGCCCCCUCCACUGUCGUACGUGUUCCAUCUUUUCUUGAUUUAUUUCCCAUCUUUAGAUCUCCAAUCAAUUUUGCAUCUUGUAGUUCUCUUUUUGCCCUUGUUAAUUGAUGCGCAUCUGACCUGAUUUUGCCUGCCGUGACAUUUGAGAUGCAGUGGGAGCUUCUUUGUUGUUGCAGCACCAGACGAGGCAUCUGGACCACCAAAUCUCUGGCAUCUGUCUGGAAAUAUUUGGCUCCCACUGACGGACAGCAAGGUCAGAACUUGUAGAAUAUAUAAUCUUGAUUUGCACUGGACUAGCUGUGGUGAAUUAACUGCUAUCUGCUAGCUACUGUGAUCCCUGCACCAAUAUUGCAAUAUCAAAGUUUGGUUGUAGUACUGACCGGAAGAUUUUGCUUCCAGUUCUUUCAAAGUUUGCAUCUAGAUGUACUAUUGAUUGAUGUCCGUUGACUAUUUUUGCUGCUCUAAAUAUACAGAUUAAGUCACCUGUCAAUAAAUUUUGUUGCUCUAGUUUGCACAAAUUUUGCUAGCUAUAUAGGAAAUCUGUUAUUAUGUCUUUUAAUGUUAUAUUAUUAGUUGUAUAUGAAUUUUAUUUUGUUUGAUUGGAGCAAUUUGUGAUAUGUCUAAAUUUCUAACAAGUUUCUCACUCUAGUGGGCUGUUGCUGCUUCACUUGGUUCUCUGUGUGAUUUCUGAACUGACCUCGAAGUCUUGGACAACUACUGUGACUCGGCUAGCCGCUGGUUAGUUCUCAUCUUCUUAUACAAGCUGGCAGAUAAGAUAUGGCAGAUCGUGAGUGGAUGUAUAGUGGUUGGAAGCGUGGUAGGCUAUCAAAUGAAUGGGUUGAUAAAACAAAAGAGUUUUUGGAUCAUGCCUUCUCAAUCCCUGAAUUAGUUGAGUCUGAUACAAUUAGGUGCCCUUGUUCCAUGUGCCGGAAUUAUUUCAGGCAUAAAAGGCCUAGGAUAGAGCUACAUUUGUGCCACAAUGGGUUCAAGGAAAAUUACUAAACUUGGACGGCACAUGGGGAGAGGCAGGGAAAUCACAACCUUGAGAUUGGUUCUGGGGUAGAACGUGAGGGAUUUGGUGAGACAGAUCGGAUGGAUGCUAUGCUAGUUGACUUAGCUGGUGAGCAACCACCAUUAGCUGAUGAAACACCUACUGGUUUUGCAGAAGCCUUCUAUAGAAUGGUUGUUAGUGCAGAUGAGCAAGUACAUGAGCAAACCUUGCACUCUAGGCUCUCUGCUGUUGCUCGUCUAUUGGCCAUUAAAUCACAGUACAUGUUAUGUGGCAGGAGAUGCAGUCCUUCAAUCAUCGGACAGAUAGGCGACCGAGAUCAAGUGAUGUCUCAUAUGACGUCGAGAGUCAGCCCCCUGCAGUAAAGAGGAUAAGGGGCCGCAAUAAACCGCAUAAGCCUCGCAAUGGUCGGAUAGCCAUACUACCUGAGGGUGACAAGUAUGUGCAUGCUGAUUUUUUUUCUCUUUAUGGACACUGCUAGUGUUGGAACUUACUAAUCCUUUUAUGUUGUACUUCAUUUUUCUUAUUGAGCAGCCAAUUCCGCUAUGCUAAUUACUCAAUUGAUGAUAAAAUGAAGAAAGGCCCCAUCCUUGGAGUGCUUUUAAAGCAAGAGUAUCCUCCGAUCAUUCAAGGGACAACUAGAGAUGGUCGUCCAUUCAAAUAUCAUGCAAGCAAGUGGGAACACUACUCACACAUUCUAAGGGAGGAUGAUGCACAGACCCCAGCUGACCGUGUGAAACAAGAGUUCUGGGUGAGCAUAUAAGAUAUGUCAUUGUAUUUCUUUCAACUGUAGGCAUGUAUGAGUAGUUGUCAAGUUACUAUCAGCCUGUUCAUUAGCUGCUGCACUUUCUAACAAUAUGAAAGUGGUGUUCAGCCUAUUUACAAUAAUGCUUGAUUAUUGUUUCUUUUCCAGAGCAUAUAUUCAGUUCCUGAAGAACUUGAAGAUGAAGCUGACCGUGUAUUUGAGAAAUAUGCACGCACCCAAUGCAAGAAUAUGAUGUACCAAGCUCGUCCAGAUGCUGUCAAGCACUACUAUCGCGAAAUCAUAAAGAGCCCAAAGAAUGAUGCAUUUGCUUGUGCCAAACUACUCACUUUUGAAGAGUACAUGCAAUGCAAGCCUGAAUGGUUCACUGAAGAAGCCUGGGAGUCCCUUUGUAGGUAUUGGUGCUCUGCUGAAUACUUAAAGAAAAGGAGUCUUGGGCAAGAAUCUCGGAAGAAAAAUCCUGAUGGUGCUCAAAACAGGGGUGGUUCUAGGCCACUAGUUGAGACUCAACAAUAUCUGGUAAUCUCCUUUAUCACCAUCCAUUUCUGAAUAACUUGAAAUUUUCAUACGCUUUAACAUUGGUCACUUCUUUUAUGCCUUGAAGGAAGCUAAGCAUGGACCUGGGAAGGGCACUAUAAUAAAUGCUUUUGCCUGCAUGCAAGCUGGCCUUAAGAAUUGUGAUGCUAAUGGGAAUGCUGGCCCAAUUCCAGAACGGGCAAAGAAACUUCUUGUAUGUAGAACUUUCUAUCUAGUUGCAUGCUUUUCCAUUUGUAGUUUGUGACAAAUAAUUUUUAUUAUUUCUAGGAUGACUACAAUGAAGCAUUGCAAGAGAAGUAUCCAGAGAAUUGGCAAGAGCAACCUUUUGAUGGUCAAAUUGCAUACAAUAUUGGUCGUGGCUUGCCGCAUGGUCGUCUUGCAAUAGGAAAUGGUGCUGUCAACAAGGCUACGAUAAUUGAUGCUGCCAAGGCAAGUGGAACAAGGCCAGCAACCUCAAGGGCUUUUCAAAAUCUGUUGGCAAGAUAUGAAGAAUCAGUCGCCAAUGUUGAUCGCUUAACUGAACAAAACAAUGCCUUGGUUCAACAGAAUGCUGCAUUGACUCGAGAUGUGAAGCGUAAUGGUCGUGUACUUGAGGUACAAUUCUGUUUUUGUGCACUAUCUGUCUACAGUUCAAGGUUCAUAAACUUAGUGAUUAUGUAUCUUCACUUGCAGCUCAUUUUAAACAAAGUACAAAUAGAGAUACCACCAGACCUGCUUCAACAAGAAGAAAAUGACAUGGUAAGAUUAACAUUAUCUUCACCUGCAGCUAUAUUUAUACUUGUUCUCUUGCAGCUGCUUGUGUACCAACUGCUGGUGCAAAAUAGACCAGCUGCUGUUGUCCAAGUGAUCCUAUUCAAAGUGUCUCCUGGAAUGAUCCUAUUUAUUUGUUUUGGUUGUAGGGAGAUACUAUAGAUGGAUCAUCUCGCGCUUCAGCCAACAUGGACAGGGACAACAGCGAUGGCCAUUGAGUUGUGUGGUGGCAGAAAGUAUUUUGUGAAGCAGUAGCCUUUUGUUUAUCUACUAUGCUGAUGGCAACAACCAGCAAGUUUGAAGGCCAUGCAUGUGUCAUGCAGGGUAUUUUGUGCAAGUGAGGUAUUUUGGUUGUGCAUGAGCCGCUGCAUAUAUAGUUUAUGAAGCAACAUAUGCAGAUUCCAUCAUGCUUCAAGGCAUGCGUGCUGGUUGUGGAGUAGCAGCUACUUGUUGCCUAUUUGCUGCACGAGUGCUUGUGCAGAAGUGGGUGCAUACUGCCGUCAAAGAGCAACUUGCUACUACUUGCAUACUUCCUGGGUCAAGGAAUGUCGUUUUUUGGCUAUCUUGUGCAGAACUGGCUGCGUACUGUCAUGAGAUAGCAGCUAGCUACCUAUAGUUGUGUUGGAGCAUAGAUACCACCUAGUUGUGAGUUAGCACUUUUAACUUGUGCUCCCUGUUAGGUACCUAACUAGAAGGCUGAUUAGGAGGCACCAAUUAUAUAUAUGUAAUCAUGAACAAUUUGAAUGAUGUUCUAAGAUUAUGAAAUGUAAUAUUUAUUACUUCAGUGUGGAUGAAUGGUUACAUCAGAUGACAAUGGUCUUCUAAUGGCUAAAUAAUCAAUGAAUUUGGACAGCCAAUUGAGUGAAAAAAAAAUUCCGUGGCGGAGGUGAACCGUCAGGAAUUAUCUCAAGCCUGACGGCUGGGUAGGUGACCGACGGGAAAGUUGAAAGUAUCCCUGACGGUAUAGUAACCGACGGUGAAAGUUCAAAUGUUCGCUGACGGUCACGGCCGUCAGGAAACACUUCCCUGACGGGAGGCUUAGGAACCGACGCUGUUAACCUUCCCUGAUGGUAGCAGCCGUCAGGAAAUAGUCCGUGACGGUUGUCCGUCAGGAAAACAUGACUUUCCCUGUCGUUUUUCCCUGACGGCUUAUCCCUGACGGUAACCGUCACGGAUGACCUUUCCUGACAGUUUUCGGCACUUUUCCUGACGGGCGUGGCCGUCAGGAAAAAACUUGUCUGGGGUGGUGAUCAUAUUAUUUUUCACUGCUAAAGAAUCGUGCUUCACUCCUGUGCAUCACUAUCCAUUAGGUGUAGGAAUUGAUAUUAAAUUAUAUGCAUCACUAGUCAUUGGUGGCUCCAACUCCAACCAAUGUGAUGCCUUGGGGAAACAUCAGUAACCAACUGGUGGUUUAAUCUAAUUGGUAAUAGAAUUUAAAUAGGACCUGUUCAGGGCAGUUAUGCAUUGUUUUUUACCAAAUGGGUGAAGAAUUAACAACUCCUCACGUGAAGCUGUGGACAACCCGGUCUCACAAAACAUGAGGUCAUGAAUGGAGCUGGAAAAAAAAGCUUCCCCACCGGUCCGUCAUCCUUGCUUGUGGGCCAACCCUGAAGUAUGCCUCUUUCGUGCUCGUGGGACGAGGCGCAACAGCAGGAGGACAUAGUCACAAGUGCAAGGUGGAGUAGCCGGGGCAAGGUGGGGUGCGACGGAAGUAGCUGGGGCGCUAGGCAGGACGAUGUCCGAGGUGGGCAGCAGGAUGAGCUGCAACAAAGAAAUGGACCGUGGUUGGAAGAAGAGGAGGAUAAGAUACUGAGUGGAAAAGAGCAAAUAAAGGAAGAAAAAAGAAUGAAAAAAGAUAGAAAAGUACUAUGAACAUUUCAUCAUUUUUAUCUAUCGUAAGAAAUUGUCCACCGAAACACUAGAACUGUUUCAGCUCCACUAAUGGAACUGCUCGUGCCUCAUGGAACCGAUGCCAAAAUAAAAUACUCCACCAAUGGGACAAAGUUGUCUUGGUGCACUAUCACAACCAGCCGGUUGCCCAACAACACUAUUAGCUAGAUUACUUUUGUUUCAUAUAAGAUUUCACCAAUGUUAUUAAAAACAAAAACUAUCUUUAUCCAUGUCAUCCUAUUAGGAGCCUCAACUAAAAUUCUGAGAAGAGUUCCUAAGUGUUAAUAUUGUUAUGCAAUGAAUAGCUUUUGUAGUUAUUUAGACAGGGUACUACUUUUUUGCCAUAUAAAACAUACCACCAACGUCUUCAAAAUGCAAUUUAGCAUAGUAUCAAGUUAAAUAAGUUUCAGUUUCACCAAUUUUUUAAAAAAAUGUAUCAAUAUUUAUGAUACAAAAUAAGUGUCAUAAGAUUCAUUAUAAAUACAUUUUGAUACAAUAUCCUUUUGGUGCCACAAUUAUUAAUAUUUUUUCCAAUAACCUUGUUCAAACUUUAGAUGGGUCCUGACUAAAUGCAGAACUAGAAUUGCAUUCAUUUUAGGAAGGAUGCAGUAUUAUUUUUUUUCAUCAAACGAGUAUAGGAAUUCAACAACAGUUUAAAACGAGUCAAUCAAGAACGCUGGAUAGAGAUGCUUUGAAAGACUUCAAUAAUAUGUGAACUGUGUGUACAUUUUUAUAAGAAAUGCAUGAAAAAAAAAAGAACAGAGGAGUAACAUACACUUCAAACAUGGACCUACCACAUCGUCUUUAUCUUGAGCUUAUAAAUCUCUAGUGGGACACUCUGAAGUAUAUCUCUAUAUGGAAAUAAAAAAAUAAAUAUAAUGAGGUCUUCUUCUGGUUUUUCUUAAAGGAUCAUUUAAUACAAGAAAACUCCUAUCGUUGAAGACUAGAAACUUUUAAUACAAGACAACUCCUAUAUGACUGUGUUUUAUGCUUGAAAGCUUGGAUAAUCUAUCCCUUCACUGUUGGUUUCUUCGCGAUUAUUGUUGGGCAUCAAUAUUCCUUUCCUCUUUUUCAAAGUUUCCUCCAACUGGCAAUUUGUUUUCUUCUAGGAAAUAGUUAUCACUGUCAUGUGUUAGUGCAUUUUGUUAAUUCGUAAUAACCUGAUUUUUACUCAAGUUCAGCAUCUCUUGGCAGGACAGAAGCAUGCAAGCACGCUUUCAGAGACAUCACUGGUUUUUCAUCGACAUCCCGUCGGUUAAGCAAUGGAUAGAGUCUUCUCCAUAUAUAAUUUUGUGUUGUUUUUUCUUUGUCUCUUUCUUGGUUUCUCGAGUUUCCUUGUAAGUCUAAACUCCUAUAUAUAAAAAAAAUAUACAGUAGGAGGGUACCCCUCUUGAUUCAUAAAAGAAAAGUGAUUGGGUGCUUUACAAUCGUAUAUCUGAUUGGUCAUGUUAGGUGUAUGUAUAACUGCACUCAUUGAGUUCAAUACUAUAUAAAUGCAUCCCAGAGAACAGCAAAAUAAAAAGGUGGUGUAGAGCAUAUUGGAGUGCCAUUGUUGUUAGGUGCAGGGAAAGAAGUGAAAUAACCUUAAGACAGUUUCCGUAGUCUGACAUUGUCAAUAGAAAAUAAAGCAUGGGAGGGCAUUAUAUGUUAUCCUAGAGGAUUUGCCGCCGUGGGUAUGAGAGGUUCUGGGAACACAAACUUAGCUUGAGCAAUGAAGAUGAGCGGCACCAGAGAAGGCUGUGGUCACCCAAUGUUGGAUCCGUGUGGAGCAGGUGCAGUAGUUAGCGGAGAUGCCCCUGGCCUCGUGGGAGCUGCAGCACUACUGCCCGUGGCUGCGUUGCCUGGGCCUGGGCAUUCCCCAGCAAAGCAGCCUUUUUGUGUUGUUUUCGUCUCAUCCGUUAGGUGUACUUUGGUUUUUUGACUUUUUUAGUGCAUGCUCCAUGUCACAUAACAAAUACGGUUUUGUUUAGUAAAAAGGAUCAAAUCAGCGAGCAAUGUUCAACAACAAAUUACAUAUUCAGUGGGAGAAGGACAAAUAUUCAAAAAAUGUGCAGGAUGCCAUUGCUCAGCUGUCAGCCAGUCACCACAUUGUCGGGCUUGCUGGCGGUAAACAAGUACUCUACACAGGAACGCGUAUGCCAGCAUGUGUGUAGUAUUACUAAUCAAGUGAAAUGAUGCUAAGAUGGCGUGGAGCUUGUUUCACGUGGUACAUCUGGAGAAAUAAUAGAUACCUUCCAAGACAAGAGAAACUGGCACAAAUGCCAUCUGCCUGGCGGCUUCAGCUUAGCAUCGCACUAGCAUGACACAGUUUUUAAUUUUGUAGCACCAAUAAUGCAAGACAAGCAUCUUCCGCCUGUUCUCAGUGCAUUCUGCACAUUUUUUAUUAACAGUAAUAAGAGAAAUAUUACAAAGCGACUAUAUUACCAGCGAAUAGAUACAUGACAAGCUAUACGGACGUGCUCCAUACCCCCACAAUCAGAAUCUGCAACUUCUCCUAGUAAUGUGGGGGAUCUCGUAGUGUUUUGAGCAUUCAAUAUUUAGUAUAAACUUUUUCUAUUAGAUAUAUUAUGGGCAUAGCUCAUACAAUAUAUUUAAUAUAUCAAAUAAUUCUAUGGUAGUACAAAUAAUGUGCAUGUGAUGGUUUAAUACCAUAAUGGAAUUGUGAUGGGAGAUGAGGCGAACAUGCAUGCAUGACGUGCUUUUGCCAUUUAAGUCGAGUAAGUGCAGGAGUUUUGAUUAUUAAUGUUGGUUGAAUGAGAAGUCUUGAAAGGUGGAGUUUCCAAUUCUAAUGACAAAAGUUAUUGCAUGGAAGUUUUUUUCUAAUGACAUGAGUUACUAGAUGGGAGUUUUCCUAUCAAUGUUAAUUCAGUGACGUCUCUCCCGUCUCUUUAUCUCUUGUGUCUACUUGUCUUGCAUGGCUAAAAUUGCCUAAAAUUUUCUUGAUGGCAUUUUUCCUUUGAUGGGAAGAAUUACAUGAUCUGGCGUGCAAAAAUGGAAUUGUGGUGUACUGCGAUGAACUGCGUUCACGCUAGACUGGGGAAGCCCGAGAACUCCACCAUUUUGGUCUUGCUCUAAGCUCGUAACAAGCUAACAACAACACAGGCAGGUAAGCCUUUCCUUUUUCACUCUAAUAAACAUGUUCUUGCCUCUGAAAUUCCAGUGGUCACCAAAGAAGAAGCACCGGAGAAAUCUGUGGUCACAGAAGAAGAAGCUACUACUUUUAUGAUUGAGCAAUCUGUGGGUUCCAUCAUUUGGGUUUGCCCUUCCUCCUCGAUUUACUUUAGGAUUUGAAAUAUUAUCCAUUUUUUACUUUGGUCCACAAAGAUGAAGGCAAGCUUGUCUUUGCUCUAUCUUACUAGGAAACUAGAAAAUAUACACCCAUAUUAGUUAAAAGCAAACUCGUAUGCCUAAUAUAUAUAAUAUGGAGGGAUGAACCACCUCUUUCUGUUUGAAAGAUUCUAGACCUAACUUGAAUCCCUCCCUCACAAGUCAUUUGGUGGUCAACUAUGACAAAUCCAUCUUUCUUUACGAAGAGUGGAUAGUAUUGUCUACUUGCUAUUGUAUCUCGAUAGCCAUAUCUAAAUGCCUCUUCACUAACUCUACUCUGGUGCAUCACCGAGCAUUUACACAGUAAGAUCUCCAUGACGGACCUCAGUGACCUACCAUGACUUCCUCGGCAUCUCUAUCACAUGCUCCUCUAAUAGCAUGUUCCAAUGUUCCUAUCCAAACAAUAGUACUAUGCCAUGGACACAACAUGUUGCCAUGUCUGAGUGUCACUUUAAUUUAAAGUGAUACUUGUAAACGCUCAUGCCAAGCUACCAUGUGCUAUGUAAACGGAACCUUCUCCUCUAGUGUUCACAUCAGCAUGGCUCAUUUUCAGUCACUAGUUUUUUAGCAUAUUUCAGUCACUAGUUGUGCCCUCUGAUUUAGACUAGGCGGGUUAUCCAGAGCCUAGGCACCACAUGUUAGGCCACUUCAUCGUCCUCAAUAUUAAUUUGGUGUCUUGGUCCACAAAAUGCUGUACAACACCCUUUCACUCUAGUGUUGAAAUGGAGUCCUAUGUCAUUGACCACACCAUUGUUGAGUCAUAUUUGCUCCAACAAGUUCUCCGGAUGCUAUGUGUCCUUGUUAUUUCUACAACUAUUUUCUUUGUGCAAUACUAGAACUAUCUGUAAGAUAGCCACCCUGGUCCACCAUCGUGAAACGAAGCAUAUCCUAAUUUACAUGGACUUCAUCCACAAGAAGUCGCUUUGGUACAAGGUUGUGUGCUUCAGGUCUCAUCUUGCCACUAGUUUAUGGAGAUGCGGUAGUUUUAAUUUAUCUUUUGAUAUAGUACAUGUUAAUAAGACUUAGGAUAAACCAAGAUCGAUCAAUUAUACUUCAGGCCAGAGAAAUUACUGCAGCAUAGAAGGCCCCUAAAUUGUGGAACAUAAAGGAGAAAAUAGUGUCAUGCAUUCAAAUCUUGACCCCACCGCAUUAGUCACAUUGAUCAUUCAGAUAUGAUUAUUAAAUCCUUCUAUGACAAAGUGACUCUGUAUUCAUGGCAACAAAUCAUUUUAAAUCACUUCUUAAAUGUGUUCAUUGUAACUGGUGGGAACCAAGUGAGUUCUCAAGAUGUUGUGGAGUUAAUCUGUUUGAUCUAGAAAUGAGUAUAACUAGGCUGGAUUCCUGCCCACCCAAAGGAAAGACAAGAGACCUAACACAAAUUAAUGUCAUCGAAGUGGCUGCUCAAGCUCCUCAACGCUCCAUGAGAAGCAUUCACAAUGAUAGUAAGGCCUUGUUUAGUUCCAAAUUUUUUUGCAAAAUGGAUACUGUAGCAUUUUCGUUUAUGUUUGACAAAUAUUGUCCAAUCAUGGACUAACUAGGCUCAUUGGUCGUGCUAAAGUGUAUAACUGCACUCGUUCAGUUGAAUACUGUAUAAAUGCGUCCCACAAACCAGUAAUGGCGCAGAGCAUGCAAGACAGCCAUUGUUGUUAUUGAGUUGCAUCCACCGACCAGUUCAACCCAAAAGCUUAAGCUGAUGGGGAGAGGUGGGCAAUUCACUUAUAUUCCAACACUCCCCCUCACGUGGAGGCUCCCUCAUGCCUCAAACGUGGAAUAGGAGCGAGCAACAAUUAUUUUAUUUAAUUGCGCUAACCAGGAUUCGAACUUGAGACCUUUGGCUAUGAUACCAUAUUGAGUUGCAUGCACCGACCAGUUCAACCCAAAAGCUUAAGCUGAUGCGGAGAGGUGGGCAAUUCACUUAUAUUCUAACAUUAGUUCACACGGGCAGGAUAGGAAACGAAAUAACAGUGAUAUGAUAGUUUCCGUUGCCUGAUAUUCUCGACAGAGGACAAGACAAAGCAUGGGUGCACAAGGUAUUAUCCUGGAGGAUUUGCUGUGGGUUUGAGAGGUGUUGGGAACAAAAACAUGGCUUGGAAAAAUCAGAGAAGCACAAGAUCGGCUGUGAUCACUUAGUUUUGGGAAGACUUACCUCUAUGUGGAGCCUCAUAGCUGCAUCACUAUUGCCUCUCACAGCAAGCAGCCUUGCUUGAACUUAGGAUUAUUUCAUCCGCUAGGUGGGCUUGGGGAUGGGGGUAUGUCAAUUUCUCGUGCAUUUUGAGAGCGUCGGGAACUCAAUACCAUUUUGCAGUUUCAGGUUAGCGACCAUGAAUCUGCAAAUUUGCCAACUUCACUGCAUUUGUUUUAAUUCUGUAAAUUUCCUGCAGACUGCCCUGUUUCUCAGUCCUAAUACAUUGCAUUCAUCCUUUUCAACAGUAUAGAUUUGAUAGAUCAGUAUAGUCAGCACCUCAAUGAUCUCAUUUCCCAUGAUCCUGGAAAGAUACUCCCCGUUCAAAAGAUUGUAGAUAUUCAACAUUAUAGAUCAGUAUAGUCCUAUUGAAAAUAUACAUCGUCAGCAUUCAGUAUACGCUGCUGGGAUGAUCUUCAGAUUUUGAUUUCAUGAUGAAUUAAAAUAGGUUUGCCUUCCUGUUCAAAAGAGGGGGAAAAAAGAGGUUCGAUUGAUUUCGUUGGCUUCAUCAAACAUCCAAUUGAAUGUGCCAAAUGCAUGAAUGUAACCUGACCCCUUUGGCAAGUGUAUAUGAAAAUAAAUACAGUUCUAGCAUUAUCCGAGCACUGGGAAAAAUUACCAAGCAAAAAAAAUGUAUUUGUAUCUGAGACAAGUAUAACUUAUUUUCUACUAGUUUUUUUAAUAAAUAUUAUAAGAAUGUACGAAAUGGACAAAACAUAAUUGUGGAAAAGAAAUAGAGAACCUUGUAUUUUCCAGGCACUUCAAUCAAUGUAGGAGUAUUUCGCUUGGAAGUUCUGCAAUGCUGAAAAUUCCACCAUGUUGAACACUCAAACCCUGGAGUCUGGACUAUAUAUAGUACCAAACAACAGAGGAAAGCAAUUCUUCAAGCCUCUACCAAGACUCGAGAGACGAAAAGCACUGAUUGCACUCGCAAACUUCAGUGACCAACAUGUUUUGUUUUUCAGUUUAGGAGCCCUUAGAGCACCUGCCAACAAAAAUUGGACUAUGCACCAACAACAAAAGGUAAUAAAACUAUCAAUCACAUUUCCACUAGCCUGCCGCAAAAACAAAGAAAGAUUGCAAAUCACAUCAGAGCACAACACAACAAAUCAAUGGAUAAAUUUAGAUGUCCAAAUCACUACACACUGCCUUGAUAAGUCUGAAUACAUUGCUAUGAGUGUGCAAUGAGCACAUGAGAAAAUAACUUGACCAAGCAUGGAAAACAUCUGCACCAGACAGUUUGGAGACAAGACAAGAGGAGAUAGGAACACACUACACGGGAGAUAGGAACACAACACCAAUUCAUAAGUUUCAUUAUGAAUACAUUUGCAUAGCAUAUCAACUUGGUCUCAUUAGUAUAAUACUACUCUUUUCUCUAAGCUUGUUCAAACUUUAGAUAGCUCGACUAAAUACAAAACUAGAAUUGCAUCCUUUUUAGGAAGGAUGGAAUUUUUUUGUCAAAUUUGUUUAAGAAUUCAACAACAGUUAAAAGGAGACAAUCAAGAACGCUGGAAAUAGAUGCUUUGGAAGAUUUCAAUGAUUUGUAAAUUGGGUAUAUAUUUUGAAUCAGAUAUGAAUUAAUAAAAAGAGUCGUAAGCCAAGGAGCAACAUACACUUCAAACUUGGACCUACCAUAUUGUCUUUAUCAAUCUUUUGGACACUCUGAAUUUUAUCUUUAUUUGAAGAUCAAAACGACAACUUAAUUGCAAUGUCUUCUUCUAGAUUUUAUUAAAGGCUCGUUUAAUACAACUCCAAGGUUGAAGGCUAUGGAUCUUUUCAUACAAGACAAUCCUAUGACUGUAUUUUAUGCUUGAAAGUUUGGAUACUUUAACCGUUUAUUGUUGGUUUGCUCGCAAUUGUUGGGCAUCAGUACGACUAAUCACUGCAAAAUAUUAAAAUCCUUUCAUAGUCCAACUGGCAAUUACUCUUUUCUUAGAAAUAAUUACCAUUGUCAUGGGCCGGUGCAUUUGAUUAACUAGUAACAAUCUGAUUCUUACUCAAGUUCAGCCUCUCUUGGCAGGACAGAUGAUGCAAGCAUAACUCCAGAGACAUCACUGGUUUUCCGUCGACAUCCCAUUGGUUGAGCAACAGAUAGAGUCUUAUCCAUCUUUUUUCCUGCUCGUUUUUCUCUGUCUCUUUCUUGGUUUCUCUCCUAAACUCCAAUAUAUAAAAUUAUAUACUGUAGGACAGCACCCUCUUGUUUUGUAAAAGAAAAGUGAUCCGGUGCUUUAGAACCAUAUAUAUCUGAUUGGUCUUUUUAGGUAUAUGUACUAUAUCUGUACUUACUGAGUUCAAUACUAUAUAAAUGCAUCCCAGAGAACAGCAAAAUAGAAAGGUGGCGUAGAGCAUAUAUAUGAGAGAGCCAUUGUUGUUCACACGGGAAGGAUAGGAAGUGAAAUAACACAUAACAGAGACACGACAAUUUCCGUUGUCUGACAAGUAUUCUCGAACAGUAGAAGGCAAAGCAUGGGAGGACACAUUAAUUAUCCUAAAGUAGAGGAAGGAUUUGCAGUGGGUUUGAGAGGUGUUGGGAACAAAAAAACAUGCCAGCGAGUGUGGUGCUAGAGAUGCUUUGAUCACUCAUUUUGGGGAAGCCUUGCACGUGGAGCACUGUGCACAUCAGCAGAGAUUCCGCCUGGCCUGGCAUGGCCUCGCCUCAUGUAGCUGCAGCAGCACUAUUGUUCUGGUCCGGCUUCGCCCAGCAAGCAGCCUUUCACUCAUUUUUGACAUUAUAGAUUCGAUAUAGAUCAGUAAAGUCAACACCUCAGUGAUCUCAUUUUUCAUGCUACCGUGAAGGUACUCCCCAUGCUAAUGGGAAGAUAAUCGUUGGCAUCAGUCUAUCCUCGACUGGCUGAUCAUCUUUAGAUUUUGCUUUCACGGUCAAUUAAAGUUACGCUUGCCUUCCUGUUGAAAAGGGGGAAAAAGGUCUGAUUGAGUUCAUUGGCUUCACCAAAUGACCAAUUGAAUGUGCCAAAAAUGCCCAAAUGUAACCUGACCCCUCCGUAACCAUGAAAAUAAAUACAAUAAAAUAUUUAGUUUUUUUCCGGGCAGCGGGAAAUUAAAAAUUCCCAUGAAAAGGAAGUAUGUCUAUCUGACACAUGUAAUAACUCACUUUCAACUUGCUUUUUCAAUAAAAAAUAAGAAUAAAAGAGAGAUAGACAAAUCAAAAUUAUGUGAACAAAAUAGAACCGUAUUUUUCAGUUUAGGAGCAUUUAGAGCACCUGCCAGCACAAAUUGUACUAUGCACCAACAACAAAAGGUAAUAAAACUGUCAAUCACAUUUCCACUAGCUCGCCGCAAAAACAAAGAAAGAUUACACAUCGCAUCAGAGCACAAGACAAGAAAUCAGUGGAUAAAUUUAGGUUCCACAUCACUACAAACUGCCUUGAGAAGUCUGAACACAUCACCAUCAGAUUGCAUUGAGCACAUGAGAAGUAAUCCCUCUACUGUCAAUUUUCUCACGAUUGUUGGGCAUCAAUAGGACUAAUCACCCCAAAAGUUCCAAAUUUAAAACAGGAAGAUCGUUUCCACAUUCUUUGAAGUUUCAUGGUCCAACUGGCAAUUCCAUUUUUUUUCUUGGAAAUUGUCAUUGUAAUAAUGAGCCAGUGCAUUUGGCUAACUCGUAAUGACCUGAUUUUUAAUUUACUCAAGUCCAGCCUCUCUUGGAUAGAUGCAUGCAAGUUUACCAUCAGACAUCACUAGUUUUCCAUGGAGCAAAGAAGUUGUACAUCCUAUCAGUUGAGCAAUGGAUAGUCUUCUCCACAAUUUUGUAUUCGGUUUUCUCUGUUUAUUUGUAGGUUUCUUGAGUUUCCUUGGUAACUUCAAACUCCUAUAUACGAAAAACUAUACAGUAGGGUGGACCCUCUUGAUAAAAGAUCCAGCACUCUAGAACAUGUUAAGGUGUGUAACUGCACUCGUUCAGUUGAAUACUGUAUAAAUGUGUCCCACCAACCAGCAAAAUAAAAAGGUGGCGCAGAGCAUGUGAGACUCCCAUUGUUGUUCACACAGGCAGGAUAGGAAGUGAAGUAACAGCGAUAUGAUAGUUUCUGUUGCUCUAAUAUUCUCCAUAGAAGACAAGACAAAGCAUGGGUGAACACAGCAUUAUAUUAGAGGUUGGGAUUUGCUGUGGGUUUGAGAGGCAUUGGGAAGAAAAACAUGGCUUGCCAAAGGCAGAGCAGCAUAAGAGAUGGCUCUGAUCACUCAGUUUUGAAGACACAUACCUCUCUACCUGGAGCGUCAUAGCUGCAACACUACUGUCUUGGGCCUGGGCCUCUCCCAGCAAGCAGCCUUACUUGAACUUAGAGCAAGUUUAAUAAUACAGCCCACUUACUGGUUGUAAGGUUUUUUGCAGCCUUCUUCCAGCCCACCCAUACAAUAGUUAGUUAUUCACUAUUAAUAUAUGACCCACUUAUCUCUCUCACAAAAUUUUUUGGUUUCUAUGCCUAAGCUGGCUGCCUGCUUCUUCUCUCUCCUCUCUUCUCUCCUCCACCUCAGCAUUUAGCCAGCUUACAGCCUACUAUAAUACUUGCUCUUAGGAGUAUCUCAUCCACUAGAUGGACUUGAUAGGUUGGGGGGUAUGACAAUUUCUCGUGCAUUUUAAGAGCAUCCGGAGCUCAAUACCAUCUAGCAGUUUCAGGUUAGCCUCCAUGAAUCUGCAAAUUUGCCGACUUCACUCCAUUUGUUUUCGUUCUGUAAUUUUCCAGCAGACUACCAUGUUUCUCAAUCCAAGCAAGGCAUCAACCCCUCAAAACCUCUUAGGGAGGAGAUUAACCAAACAUGGCCUCAACUCCCUUCAUACCCUCUCGAAUCCCCACUAAACAACAAUCCCUAAGGUUGAUGAUUUCCAUGUAAAAAGAUACUGCUACUUUUCUUUUAAAACGUUCCAAAUUUCUGAAAAGGGUCGUCAACUGAGAAACUAGAAAUCACAAACACGUCUAGAAGAUAUGAAUUAAAUGGUACAUCAUCAGAGCACAGGAAACAGUUGUAAGAUUGGAAUUCCAUGUUUUAUGAGAAGCUCCCGGGUGUCUAGCUGAUCAUGAAAAAAGAUCUAGAAGAAAACUUGAUGCUUCUUCUAAUAUGAAGAUUUUCAUAGCCAUUCAAAACCUUUAUAAAUUAUUGUAUGCACAAUUAGAGACUGAUAUGUUUUUUGCUCAAGAGAAUAUAGAAGAACCCUGAAUAUAAAACCAAAGCAAGCUGUUUUAUUCCUGGAAAUGUGUUUAUUUUUAUUUUGGAAGGGGGAUAUCCGAGGUUGUCAUGAAGAGAGGGGGAGACCCAGUACUGCUCCCAAAGUCUAGCCACAUGUGCAUUAUUAUUAUUAUUAUUAUUAUUAUUAUUAUUAUUAUUAUUAUUAUUAUUAUUAUUAUUAUUAUUAUUAUUAUUAUUAUUAUUAUUAUUAUUAUUAUUAUUAUUAUUAUUAUUAUUAUUAUUAUUAUUAUUAUUAUUAUUAUUAUUAUUAUUAUUAUUAUUAUUAUUAUUAUUAUUAUUAUUAUUAUUAUUAUUAUUAUUAUUAUUAUUAUUAUUAUUAUUAUUAUUAUUAUUAUUAUUAUUAACCAAGUGCAAUACUAAGAUGGCAUGGAACUUGUUUCACUUGUUACAUCCGGAAAUCAACAGAUACCUUCAGAGACAUCACUGGUUGAGCAAUGGAUAGAGUCUUGUCAAAAAAAAUGCUCUAUUUUCUUUGUCUCUUUCUUGGUUUCUCUCGUAAACUCCAAUAUAUAAAUAAUAUAUUCUUGAUUUAUAAAAGAAAAGUGAUCCAGUGCUUUAUAGAACUAUUAUAUCUGACUGGUCUUCUUAGGUGUAUGUAUAAGUGUAACUGCACUCAUUGAGUUCAAUACUAUAUAAAUCCAUCCCAGAGAACAGCAAAAUAGCUAGAAAGGUGGCGUAGAGCAUAUAUAUGAGAUUGCCAUUGUUGUUCACACGGGCAGGAUAGGAAGUGAAUAACACAUUUCCGUUGUCUGAUAAGUAUUCUCGAUACAGUAGAAGGCAAAGCAUGGGUCAAUUAUCCUAGAGUAGAGGAAGGAUUUGCUGGCCUUGAGUUGUUCUAGUUGGUAUCACGGUGCCGCCGCCGAACCGAUUGCAACGAGACCUCUUGAGCUGUGAGCAGGGGCGCCGCCGCCCCCGCGCGCCCCGGCGCCGAUGGCCCUCCUACCGCUCCUCCAGCCACCCCCCGCCCUCUAGCUCCUCGGAUCCGGAACCUGCUCGCGUCCCCGCCCCUGGAUCUGCUCUCAGCUUUCUCCUUCCAGGCUCCCAAGCGGCUCCGCGCGACUCUUUGCCCCGCUGUCUGUCUACAGCCAUGGAGCGUGGAUCCCCAUCCCGCCGCAGCUGGGCGGAUGAGGUUGAGGAGGCGCUCGAGGCCGGCUCCCCUGAUGGCCUGCUCCAAGCUCUGGGUCGGGGGGAGAGGGUGGAUCUCGACUUCGUCCUCUCCGAUGAUGAGGAGGAUGACUCGCCCCUUGCGACUGCAGCCCCCGCGCGACCGCAUCUCGGUCCGUCCCCCCGGUGCGGGUGACGAGGCUCCCCCGGUGGCUGGCGCCAAGCGCCGACGGGUCCGGCGACGCGCGAGGCGCCGACAUCGCCGGGCGGGCAGGAGGAUUGAGGGCUCCAUGGCUGUAGCCCGCCGACCCAGCAUGCGGUCGCCGCAGGGCUCGCCAGUGCGCGGCCUCUCCCCUGCCUCGCACCCGCCGCGGGCCUUUGGCUCGCCAGAUGCCGAAGGCUUCUUUCAGGUCCAGAGUCGCCGUCUGGGGCGCUCUCGCUCGCCGACUUCUUCGCCCAAGCCGGUCCCCCCAGGCCUUCAUGGCUUGUGCUUCAACUGCCUGGGGACUGGCCAUCUGCGCGCGUCGUGCAGCUUCCCGGCCAAGUGCUACAACUGCCGGGCUGAGGGGCACCACGCCUCCUCAUGCCCCUUCCCCACCACCUCCUUCGCCGUGGGCGCCAAGAGAUCCAGGUCCCCAGAUGAGCGGGGGAUGGAACGCUGGCGACUGAGGCGUGCUCCGGCGGCCAGGACCGUAGGUCGCACGGCCAGCUCGGAGGACACCGUCUCCGGGAGAUCCCGCUCCUCCGGCCGGCCGCCGUCAGUGCCUUUCUGUUGCAGGCCUCCCAGCCCUGGGGAAUGCUCCUCGCAGCGCGUCGCCUCUGUCCCUCCUCGUUCGCCGUCGCCUCCGCCGCCACCUCCACCACCACCGCCGCCGCCCCCUGUGCCGCAGCCGGUUGUUCAGGUGGCUGCAGCAGCCCCGGAUGUGGCGGUUGCUCCUGGACCUGUGGCGAUCUCUGGCGGUGAGCUGCUUCCCUUUCGCCCGCGCGCACCGUUGGUGGUCGUUCCGCGCAGCGCAGGCCUGCAAGCGGCGGAGGAUUCGCUGCGGCUGGUGGCCAACGUAGCUGGGACGCGGCUUCAGGUGUCCACGACCAUGCUGCGCGAACACCUUCAGCAACAUUUCGGGCUGCAGGAGGAAGAAUUCGAUGUUCGCCGCCACUUCCCUGAAGACUUCGUGGUCCGGUUCCGGCACGGUGCUGAUCAAGAUCGUGUUCUGCACUCCAGAAGAGCAUCGGCUCUUCCCCUGGUCUGGUACCCUUGGCGGCGAACCACCCUGGCGCACCAUGGCUCCUUCAAGUUCAGAGUCUUGCUAGCCCUCUCGCGCGUUCCGCUGCACGCGAGGAGCACGGAGUUGGCGCAGCACGUGCUGGGACCGGCGUGCGCCAACAUCGAAGAAUCCCAGCUGCGGGAUCGGGAAGACGAUGAUGACCGGGAAUACUUCAUUACGGCCUGGUGCAAGCACCCGGCAUUCGUCGUUGACCGCAACCUUGUGUUCAUCCCGGAACCGGUGGUCCCUGGAAUUGCGCCUGCCGACGAUCACCUCGAUGGCCUGAUGUACUUGAUCAAGGUCCGCCUCGUCGCUUUCCAGGACUUCAGCUCCCCCCCUGGGUCUCCGGCUGCGCAGCACGUGGCGCUGGACGGUUGGGCCCCUGCUGCUGGGCUCGGCCCCCAUGUCCAGCAAGCGGUGGACGAGAGGCGGGUGGAGACGGUGAGGUCGAAGACGCCCCGGGGCCGGCAGGCGGAGCUGAACACCUCCAUCAAAGGGCUCGUGGUCCCGUCGUCGACUCGGUGCAGGUUGGUGCCCAUUUUUGCCCUCUUGGUUCCAGCGCUUGGCGGCGCAAGAUGGAGCCUGCCCCGUCGUUGGAGGCGCCUUCGUCGCCGAGGGGCGCGCCUUUGUCUGCUACUCCGGCUUUUGCGUCUCCACCACCGUCCGCGCUCUGCCUUCGACAGGAAACCCCUCCAGGGCCGGGGAUUGUGGGCCGCUUCAUCAACAUAGCCCCAAUCCUCCUUGGGGGUGUGAGCACCUCUGUUUUACCGGAGAUGGCCCAUGACGACUGGUUCGCGAGAAGCGUGGAAGCCGAAUUCACGUGCUGGCAGGCCACGUCUGGGCCAGUUGAUCAGGGCUCGUCGCCCGUCCACUCCGACGUUGCCUCCCCCCCCCCCCCAAGCUGUCGGGCGCUGACUUGGCGGCUAUCGACGAUAGGGUGGAGGGGGGCGCUGCUCUCAGUUUGCAGACGACCCAGCCAUCCCCUCACGGUCAUCCGGCCGGGUCAUCGGCAACGGCAGCGGGUGACCCUGGGGGCAGCUCUGGCGAUGCGGAGCUGCAUGUUGCCGAUCGUGUGGACGCUACGGUAUCGGCGUCGCGGGUGAGCUCGCUGCUCGAGUUCACUGCCAAUAUGGCUCCAUAUUUGCUUCAGGCUGGGCGAGGGGUGCAGACGCCGCCUCCGGCGGCUCGAAUAGACUGGGGCGAUCUGCAUGCUGAGGUUGAGCUUCGCUUCCGCAGGAGCUCCCCGGUGCAGUAUAAGCAAGUGCCAGAGGAGGCGAUCCCACUCGCAGAAGUGCAGUUCGAGCCAAACAGCUUCGCCGCCACGGCCUCUCGAGGCCGUACAGGAAGGGGCGAGCACGGAUGUCAUGCCUUCGGCUUCGGACGUUGAUAACAGCGACAACCUGUCGCUGGAAACCGUCCAGGCAAGCCUGGAGGCAGAAGUUUGCAUUCCACUCGCAACGCCAGUACUGAAAACGAGACCACGCCUGAGAAGAUCAAGAACGCCGACUUCUGUGCGCUCCCUGCGGAGAAGCGGCCGCAUUGCUGCGCGCCCUCGCGCGGCCAAUGCCACCAUGCAAGCACAGAAUGUCCUGCUCAGGAAGCUUGGGAUGGGGCUGCCUGAAAGCGCGACGAACGCCGAGAUUAAUAGUCAGUUCAAGGCGGCUUUUGGUGGAAACCUCUCGCAGAGGAAGAAGGAAACGAUGUUAAUUCUGCUCAAUGGAAAUUUCAACUUGCCAGCCAUGGAUUUGGACCUCACUGGCUUAGAGGGUGAGGUGGCACAGUUGCCCUUCCAUGUCUUUUUGAAGCAAAAUUGGUUACCCAAUGUCCACAAACCCAUCUUGUCUUGUAUGGAACGUGCACGGGCUAAAUGAGCGUGCACGGCGGAAUGUGGUCCGUGAGCUGGUGAUUUUGCAUGACCCCUCCCUUGUCUGUCUCCAGGAGACCAAGAUCUCCAACUUUUGUAACAAUCUGGCCAAUGAAACUUUGGGCAACGCCUUUGAUUUUGUGUGCUUGCCAUCGGUGGGAGCGUCCGGGGGAAUCCUCCUUGCGUGGCGGAGAGAGUUCUGGAUGACCCAGGAUGUGGUGCUGGGAUCGUCCUUUGUCUGUGCAACUUUGCUGAAUGUUGGUGUCUUGCCAAGGCCGUGGCGCAUUUCUGUUGUGUAUGGACCACACCAAGACGCAGAUCAGGUGCUGUUCCUCGAUGACCUCCUCAGCUACGGUUCCAACUCGCCGUUGCCAUGGCUUGCAGUUGGUGAUUUCAACAUGAUCUAUAGAGCAGCAGAUAAGAACAAUAGCAGACUGAACCGCAGAUCUAUGCGCCGGUUCCGAUCUUUCAUCAACAGGGCACAGUUGGAAGAGGUGCCUCUUAUUGGGAGGCGUUUCACCUGGUCCAAUGAACGGGAAAACCCAACUCUUGAGCUCCUGGACAGAGUAUUUGGAUCAGCGGAUUGGAUGACAGCCUUCCCUCGCCACUUGCUAAGGCCUCUCUCGACUGAUUGCUCUGACCACUGCCCCCCUUUUGCUGCAGUUCGAUGCCUUCCAUGGUGUCAGGCAGAGAUUCCACUUUGAACCUCACUGGGCAAAGUUCCCUGACUUCAAAGAGGUGGUAGCUGCUGCGUGGACAAUUCACGUCUCCUUUGCUGACCCUUUCCGUAUACUCGACUUCAAGUUCCGGAAUCUGGCCAAGGAACUUAAGAGCUGGAGUAACAAGAAAAUUGGCAGCAUCCGGCUACAGUCGACGCUGACCCGAGAGGCAAUCCUGUGCCUUGAUGAAGAGAUGGAGCGUCGCCAGCUUUCUUCCUGGGAAGCUGAGCUGAGGCGUUCUCUCAAAAUGCGGGUGCUGGGGUUGGCCUCGCUGUCACGCUCCAUUGCCAGGCAGCGGUCCAGGGUGUUAUAUCUGGCGGAGGGGGACGCUAACACCAGAUUCUACCACCUGCAAGCAUGCCACCGCAGGAGAAGAUCUAGGAUCGACUCCCUCAUGGUGGGCGGCAUGCAGGUCGCCCAAGAUCAGCAAAUGGCUGAUGCACUUUUUAAUUUCUACAACAAUCUCCUUGGGACCGACUUCGUGCGCAGCAGGCGUUUCAACCUGCAAGCUAUUGGGCUGCCCUCUCUCGACCUCGCCGCGUUGGAGCGCAUGUUUACUGAGGAGGAGGUCCGGGCUGUCAUCUCCGAGCUCCCAAGCCACAAGGCGCCAGGACCUGAUGGGUUCACUGGACUCUUCUACAAACUUGCUUGGGACAUUAUUAAGUCAGACAUCAUGAACGCUAUGAAUGCGUUCUGGGCACAGGAUGCUCGGAGUCUUUGCCACCUCAAUGGAGCUUACAUGAUUCUGCUCAGGAAGAAGGAAAACCCGGAAGCUAUAGCGGACUAUCGCCCGAUCAGUUUAGUGCACAGCUUUGCCAAGCUGGUCACUAAGUGUUUGGCGCGUCGUCUCUCAACCGUGCUGCCUCAGUUAGUUCAGCCCAACCAAAGUGCUUUCAUUCAAGGGAGAUGUAUUCAUGACAACUUCCGCAGUGUGAGCCUGGCCUGCAAAUCUAUCUAUGCCAAGCGAUCUCCGUGCAUCCUGUUGAAGAUCGAUAUUGCCAAAGCCUUCGACACUGUUGCUUGGACCUUCCUCCUUGAAGUUCUUCAGCAUAUGGGGUUCGGUUUGCGUUGGAGGAACUGGCUCUCUGCCUUAUUGGCUUCGUCCAACACGAGGAUCCUGCUCAAUGGUCGUGUUGGUAGACGGAUUUGCCAUGCGAGAGGGCUGAGGCAAGGUGAUCCCUUAUCGCCUAUGUUGUUUGUCAUUGUAAUGGAGGUGCUCAACCUGUUCCUCCGCUGGUUGGAGUGGCGCGGAUCUUUGACUCCGAUCAGAGGGCUAGAUGGACGCCAAGUGAGCCUGUAUGCAGAUGAUCUGGUCCUGUUCGUGGACCCCCUUGAAGCUGAUCUGCUGGCGAUGAGGGCAGCACUAAAUAUCUUCGGUCUUGCAUCAGGUUUGCUGACCAACCUUGACAAAACGAUGGCAAUUCCCAUUCACUGUUCUGAGUUUCAAGUGGAGCGCACCCUCACUGUCCUAUCCUGUCGCUUGGAAAGCUUUCCAUGCCGAUAUCUUGGAGUACCCCUCUCGGUUUUCAGGCUGAAGAGGUCUGAUGAGCAUCCGCUUAUUGACAGAGUGGCGGCUAGGAUCCCUGGUUGGAAAGGGACUCUGCUGAAUGCGGCUGGCCGCGCGGCGCUCGUCACUGCAACGUUGUCUGCCAUUCCUAUUCAUAUGUCCAUGGUGUUGUGCCUCUCGGCAUGGGCAAUUGAGACCAUCGACAAGUUGAGGAGAGGCUUUAUUUGGGCUGGUGUAGACAAAGUCUCAGGGGGUCGCUGUAAAGUUGCUUGGCCGGUGGUGUGUUUGCCAAAGGAGCUCGGUGGCCUUGGCAUUUCUGACCUGAGGAAGGCUGGGAUGGCUCUCCGGGCAAGAUGGGUCUGGAAGGAGCGGAUUCAGGGCCUCUACCCUUCAACAAAUGAGCGUGCUGUGCUUGCUCUGUUCCAGGCUGCUACCUCCUUCUCAGUGGGGGAUGGUGCUUCCACUUUCUUCUGGACCGACAGAUGGAUACAGGGCUCCAGCCUGCAGUUCCAAGCGCCCACAGUUUUUGCGGCUGUACGACCGCGGAAGUUGAGGAGCACGGUGGCAGAAGCAAUGCGGAACAACAAUUGGGUAAGCCACAUCGGCGGAGCGGUCACAGUGCAAAUGAUGAUUGAGGUGGCUUGGAUCUGUGACCGGCUCGAUGAGGUGCAUCUCUCAACCGAACCUGAUUCCUUCUCCUGGAAGUUGUCCGCCGACCAGUGCUACUCCGCGGCGUCGGCCUACUCGGCCUUGUUCUUCGGCGCUUGCGCUCUGCUGGGGGCAAGGCACGUUUGGAAGACUUCCGCGCCACCUCGGGUGAGAUUCUUCUUUUGGCUCGUCCUCCAUGACCGCUGCUGGACAGCAUACCGAAGGUGGAGGCACGGCCUGCAAGACUCCAGCUCCUGCAUCAUGUGUGAUCAGGCGCCAGAAACUAUCCACCACAUCAUCCUGGGUUGCUCUUUUAGUCGCCAAGUCUGGCAUGCCUGCCUCUCCUUGGUGCAGCUCCAGUCUUUCGUGUCUGUUCGGGAAGAACCUGUCCUUGAGUGGUGGUUGUCACAGCGAAAGUGUGUUCCAAAGCAGCUCAGAAAGGGCUUUGACUCUCUCUUCUUCCUCAUCGGAUGGUCGCUGUGGAAGGAGCGCAACUCAAGAACGUUUGACGGCCACACCUCCUCCGUUCAGCAGCUUUUGGCAGGCAUUCGCGAUGAGGCUUUGGCUUGGUGUGCCGCUGGCCACAAGCAGCUGAAGUUUUUGCUUUCCAGGUUGAGCCUUCGCUAGAGCUUUUGGCCUGAACCUGUUGCUUGUUGUUUCUUCUCAGGCUGUCUUUCUUGUUCCUUGUUGCUGGUGGUGGUUAGUGUGCCGAGCUGCGGCUCUGGCCGCUGAGUGUUUUUUGGGUCCCUGCUGUUGUUUGUGCAGCAAGUGGUAGCUUUUGGCUAGGCCUCGGUAACCGUGGUUACCGUCCCCGUUUUGUUGUAACUUCCUGUUUGAACUCCAGCCUGCUUAAUGCAUUACACGUCUAAGGCGUGUUCUAGAAAAAAAAAAUUUGCUGGCCUUGAGAGGCGUUGGGAGAACAAAAACACACCUUGGCGUUACAACCAGUGGCGAAGCCACGUAUAAGAUGGUGGAUGCGGAUGCAUCCACUAAAAUUUUAAAUAUCAAUGAAUAGAGUUAAAAUUUCACCAUAAUUAUGAUUCAAAUAUAUAUAUAUAUCUAUAAGGCAGCCGCACCCCCUGAAUUUGCUCUAGCUUCGCUACUGAUUACAACACUGCCUGGGCCUGGGAGCCUGUUUCUAUUGGCCUUGUUUAGUUCCAAAAAAUUUUGCAAAAUUUUUCAGAUUCCCCGUCACAUCGAAUCUUUAGACAUAUGCAUGGAGUAUUAAAUAUAGACGAAAAUAAAAACUAAUUGCAUAGUUUGGUCGGAAUUGAUGAGAUGAAUCUUUUGAGCCUAGUUAGUUCAUGAUUGGACAAUAUUUGUCACAAACAAACGAAAGUGCUACAGUACCUGUUUUGCAAAAUUUUUUGGAACUAAACAAGGCCUAAUACGUUGCAUUCAUCAUUUUCGACAUUAUAGAUUCGAUAAGAUCGAUCAGAAUAGUCAGCACCUCAAUGAUCUCAUUUUUCAUGCUACUGGAAAGAUACUCCCUGUGAUAUUGGAAAGAAUACACCGUCGGCAUUCAGUUCAUCCUCAAUGCUGCUGGGAUGGAUGUGCCAUGCUGGUCGGCUUCAGAUUUUUUCUUUCAUGGUCAAUUAAAAACAGGUCCACGUUCCUGUUCAAAAGGGUAGAAAAAAAUUCCCGAAUGAAAGUGGAGAAAACAAAUACAAUACGUAGUAGUUUUGUCCGUGCACCAAGAAAAAUUCCCAUGAAAAAGAAAGCAUUUUUAUCCAACACAUAUAAUAACUCAUUUUCUACUUGCUUUUUCAAUAAAAAUAAUAAGAAUAAAAGAGAGUAAAAAUGGACGAAUCAAAAUUGUGAGAAAGCAGACUCUUGUAUUUUCAGGCACUUGAAUUAGAAUAUUUCAGUCUGGAAAAAAAACAGAACCUUUUAUUUCCAGGCACUUCAAACAGAGUAUUUCACUUGGAAGCUCUGCAAUGCUGAAAAUUCCACCAAGCUGAACACUCAAACUCUGGAGUCUGGAGUACAGUACCAAACAACAGAAAAACAAUUCUUCAAUCCUUCUGCCAGGACUCUGAGAGAAGAAAAGCACUGAUUGCGCACGCAAGCUUCAGUGGCCAUCAUGUUUUUUUUUUGUUCAGUUUAGGAGCAUAUAGAGAGACCUGCCAGGACAAAUUGGACUAUGCACCAACAACAAUAGGUAAUAAAACUGUCAAUCACAUUUCCACUAGCCUGCCGCAAAAACAAAGAAAGAUUGCACAUCACAUCGGAGCACAACACAACACAUCAGUGGAUAAAUUUAGGUGUCCAAAUCACUACAAAGUGCCUUGAGAAGUCUGAACACAUCACCAUCAGAGUGCAUUGAGCACAGGAGAAAAUUGCUGGACCAAGCAUGGAAAACAUUUACACCAGACAGUUUGGAGACAAUACAAGAGGAGAUAAGGAACACAAGACCAAAAUAAGAUCCUUUCUACAUUCUUUAAAGUUUCAAGGUCCAAAUGGCAAUUCCUUUUUUUUUCUUGGAAAUAGUCAUUGUAAUAAUGAGAUGGUGCAGUUGGUUAACUAGUAAUGAUCUGAUUUGUGCUCAAGUUCAGCCUCUCUUGACAGAUGCAUGCAAGCAUACCUUGAGAAAUCACUGGUUUUCUACGUCCCAUUGGUUGUGAGUCUUCUCCACAAUUAUGUGUUUGGUUUCUAUGUUCCUUUCCAGGUUUUCCUUGUUAACUUCAAACUCCUAUAUCUAUAUAUAAAAAGAUGUAUAGUAGGGGGAUCCGACGCUUUAGAAAGGUGCACUCGUUCAGUUGAAUAAAUUGUAUAAAUGUGUCCCACAGACCAACAAAAUAAAAAGGUGGCGCAGAGCAUGUGAGACUGCCAUUGUUCACACAGGCAGGAUAGGAAGUGAAAUAACAGCGAUAUGAUAGUUUCCGUUGGCCUGAUAUUCUCCAUAGAAGAUAGAUGAACACGGUAUCAUCCUAUAGGAUUUGCUGUGGGUUUGAGAGGUGUUGGGAACAAAAACACGCCUUGGCAAAGGCAGAACAGCGCAAGAGAUGGCUCUCAUCACUCAGUUUUGGGAAACCUUACCUCUACACGUGCAGGACAGGCCUGUCCUUGUGAUAUAUAGCUGUGGCACUACUGCCUGGGCCUGGGACCGUCUCCCCCUGCAAGCAGCCUAUACUCAAUUCCAUCUUGCGGCUUCAGGUUAACCUCCAUGAAUCUGCAAAUUUGCCUGACUAAGUGCCUUCACUUUACCUGCAGACUGCCCUGUUUCUCCUAUGGAAACAUACUCGUUCAAAAGAUUAUAAAUUUUCAACAUUGCUGCUGGGAUGGUCUUCAGAUUUUGCUUUCACAGUCAAUUAAUUAAAAUAGGUUUGCCUCCCCGUUCAUAAGACGGGAAAAAACGUUUGAUUGAUUUCGUCGGCAUUCAGUCUAUCCCAAUGCACGAAUGUAACCUUACCCCUUCACAAGUGUAUAUGAAAAUAAACACAGUACGUACUUCGUUUGGGCACUCGGAAAACUCCCAAGAAAAAGAAAGUAUUUCUAUACGACACAUGUAUAGCUUAUUUUCUACCAGCUUGUUUAAUAAAAAAAAAGGGGUAAGAAAUGGACAAAUCAUAAUUGUGGAAAAAAAUAGAACCUUGUAUUUUUCAAGCAGUUCAAUCAGGACACUCUCAAUGCUAGAAACUACAUGUAGUUUCUAUACCUAUUAAUUUGUAUAGACACUAUAUAUAGAAACUAUAGUCCCAAUGGAUAGUUUCUAUAGAUUUUUUAUGCAAUCACAUUUAUUCUCUCUCCAUUCUGAGCCAAUCAUAUCACUUCAUGUCUUAGAUUUUGUGUAGACAUGGUUUCUAAGGUCAGUCUCAAUGUAUAGUUUCAUGACACAGUUAUCAAGACUAUAAACUAGGUAACCAAGCCAUAUGAGUUUCAUGGGGAUGAAUGACACAGUUACCAAGACUAUAAACUAAGUAACAUAUGAGUUUCAUGGGGAUGAAACUCCUCUCUUAUCUAAUGAAACUCCUUCAUUUUAAUGACCCUGCCAAGUCAGCAAUUAAAUAGGGUGCCACAUAAGUAAAAUUGUUGACUUGGCAGGGUCAUUAAAUGAAGGAGUUUCAUCAUAUUAGAGAAGAGUUUCAUCCCCCAUGAAACUCAUAUGGCUCGGUUAACUGUGGCAUAAAACUAUGUAUUGAAACUAGGCUAACUUAGACCCAAUUUCUAUAAUUAUUACUCUCUUUUCAAUAACAUUUGUCACAUCAGCAAAAAGAAUUAAUGUCUGUAUAAACCACCAUGGUUUAUGCAUUGAGAGGGAGUAUUUCGCUUCAAAGUUCUGCAACGCUGAAAAUUCAACCAUGCUGAACACUCAAAGCUCUAGAGUCUGGAUUAUAGUACCAAACAACAGAGAAAAGCAAUUCUUCAAUCCUUCUGCCAGGACUCGAGAGAAGAAAUGCACUGAUUGCGUACGCAAACUUCAGUGGCCAUCAUGUUUCUUUUAUUCAGUUUAGGAGCAUUUAGGGCUUGUUUAGAUGCAAAAACUUUUUGGAUUUUGACACUGUAGCACUUUCGUUUUUAUUUGACAAAUAUUGUCCAAUCAUGGAGUAACUAGGCUUAAAAGAUUCGUCUCGCGAUUUACAGACAAACUGUGUAAUUAGUUUUUAUUUUUAUCUAUAUUUAAUACUCCAUGCAUGUGCCGCAAGAUUCGAUAUGAUGGGGAAUCUUGUAAAGUUUUGGGUGCAUCUAAACAAGGCCUUAGAGCACCUGCCAGCACAAAUUGGACUAUGCACCAGCAACAAAAGGUCAUAAAACUGUCAAUCACAUUUCCACUAGCCCGCCGCAAAAACAAUAGAAAGAUUGCACAUCACAUCAGAGCACAAGCCAACAAAUCAAUGGAUAAAUCUAGGUGUCCAAAUCACUACAAACUGCCUUGAGAAGUCUGAACACAUCACCAUCAGCGCGCAUUGAGCACAUGAGAAAAUUGCUGGACCAAACAUGGAAAACGUCUACACCAGACAGUUUCGAGACAAGACAAGCGGAGAUAGGAACACAUGACACAGGAGAUAGGAACACGAGACCAAUUCAACAAUCAAUCGACGGAGACAUUUUGUGGAAAAAAAGGGUUACAGGAUGCAAAUGCAAAUCACACUCGAGAUACUUUUCCUUGUCUACUUGCUGUUCCGCAUGGCAAUACCAUCAUCCACUUGUCAAAUUCCUUUUCCGCACAACAUGCACAUCCUUAUGGAGAGAAUCAAGCCACGACCAAACUUCUCAUUAAUUGUUAGGAUAUUCACAUGGCCUAUCACCCUCACACAUGUUGCACACGCACUGCAACAGCAAUCAUGUUUCACGAAACAUAUUCUAAGUUGGAUUAGCAGAAUCUCAUAUAUGAUGAUCAUGUCUGACUAGGCUAUGCAGUAUUAUUCCACUAAAACAACUGCAGAAAUGUGCACAUCUCAACUUCUACACAUCAAUCAGCAUUGGUAGUGUGAUGUUGAACAAUAAAUAUGGAGAAUGGGGAGAUAAGGACCAUUACCUCCAUUUCAGAACUACUUUAACAACUCCCUAUAUUGCUAUAAAUUCCCUCCACUUCAUCAACUUGUCAGUCCGUGUUGCCAUGGUCACUGCAAGGAGAGGACUAUUUCCUUGAUGCUUCUCAUAAUUACCAAACUUCUGUUGUCAUAUUCAUUUCAGCUGGUCUGUCACUUCAGCACUCCUAUUGGUUAUUUGUUUGUACAAUCAUCAAUCAUUGACUAUGGUGUCUGACUGUCUGUAGAAAUGAAAACUGAACAUUGAUGUCAAAAUAAAUGGGCUCCAAAGAAUCAAAUGAUAGCUUAAUUAGACAGGAGCUGCAGCAAAGGCUUGAAUAGGAACUUGGCUACUAAAUGAUAUGGCAAAACCAAAGCCAAACAUUGUUGAUUCUCUAUACCAAAUCAGCCACAAAAGUGUUCCAGAGACAGUCCUGUUAUUCUCUAUAUCAAAUCGAACAAAAAAUUACAUGAUUCUCAGCAUCAACAGAAAAGAAACAUUGGGGAAAUAUACUACACAAAGUUCAAAAACUCCACAAUUGAACCAUUAAUUGUAGGUAUAUAUCAGUAAUCCACUAUCGUAUCUUCAAAAAUAAAAACAUCAUGGCAGAUCUUCCUUUCUUUUGUGGAUACCCACUAACAAGUAAUGAUUCCUACAAACAAUCCCUCCCAUAACUAGUCUUCUUCUUUACCAAAUUCACCGAAGCAAUCCCAAUUGCGGGUUACCCAAACAAUCCUAGCCUGAAGUUAACACUAAAUUAAGCCUUAACUCCUACCUCUUUCAAUCCGUGGCUCUCCCUUACCAGCAAUGCAAGCCCUUCCUUGACAUCACCACUCUUCUCUGUGACUGCUGCGGCAGCCUUCUCCACUUCUUGCUUCCUAUACAUCCAGGCCUCUGAGGGAGGCGUCGUGAUCACCCUGACUUCAGUGCCGCCAGCAUUGAUCUCAAGCACCUCCGGCAGCCCGUUCCCGCACCCCCUCGACAGCCCCACGUCGACCCUCACCGCCUGUGCGCUACACACUGCAUUGAUCCCCACUGUCUGAAUUGUGUGACCCAUCACCAUUCUCCUGGCACCAGGGAUCAUCCCAAGCACCCCUUCCAGCCUCUUGCAGUCGCAAUCGAAGCCGUCCGAGAACCUCCUGAGCCAGACGACAGCGUCCCGGCCUCGCACAUACUCUGGCGCCCUGGCAUUGUCGCCGCCCUCACCGCGGAUCCACUCGCUGACCUCCGCAUUGAUCCGCUCCAGGCCGUACUCGACGUUGGCCUCGAGGAGGCCCCCAUGGACGAACACCGAGUCGCCCACCACAAGCACGGUCGGGAGGUCGGCCAGGAACCGGCGCGCAAUGGGCCCGUCGGGCCGGAGCGCGGCGAGACGGGACCGCAUCCCGUCCCAGAACUCCGGCUUGACGCCGGGGAAGGAUUUGGGCACGCCGAGGAACGGGUUCCUGGGCUGCGGGUCGAGGUGCUCGCCGCAGCGGCGCUUGAUGGCGAGCCCCGCGCGGUACCACCCGGCCCAGGCGGAGAACUCCUGGAGGCCCUGCGGCGUGGCGAAGCGGAAGUCGCCGGAGACGUUCAUGACCUCGUGGUUGCCGAGGAUGGGGAGGAACGCGCCGCCGCGUGCCUCGGCGGAGAGCGCAAGGCGACGGAGGAGGUAGAGGAGGCGGAGCUCGUCGCCGCCGCGGUCGAGGAUGUCGCCGAGCUGGACGGCGAGGGUGGGCCCCGCGGCCCAUGAGGCGGAGGCGGCGGCGGAGGAGGAGGGGGAGGCGGCGGCGGAGGAGGAGGGGGAGGAAUCGAGGCUGCUGGACGGGGGCACGAGGCCGGCGAGGCGGAGCGCGGAGAGGGACUUGGGGAGGUCCCCGUGGAGGUCUCCGAUGGCGACGAGGCGGGAUGGGGACGGGAGGAAGGUGGUCGGGGUCGUCGGGGGAGGAGGGGGCGACGAGGAGGAGGCGGAGGUCGGGAAGAAGAUGCCGGACACGGCGAAGUCCACGAAGGCGUCGGCGAAGGCGGAUACGGCGGCCGGGAGGUCGCCGCAGGCGGGGACGGAGGGGGACGGGGACGGGGCCGCCGCCAUUUUUUUCUCUCUCUAUUUUGUGCUCCGGCACCGGCAGGGAUUUGCGGCGUGGGCGGGGUGGGCUGCGGAAUCUCAAGAUAGGUGGCGGCCCGCCUUUUAAAGAUGGGACAUCAAUGCACCCUGCUCCGCCAGUCAGUGUCCUUUGGAAAAAGUCAGCGGGCAAAUUUAAUGUUGGUGAACCACGCUCCGUCCCAUUAAAUGGUUUGAACAUACUAAAUAAUAGAUUAUUUAUAAAAUUAAAAAUUCAGCUAGAACUUAUUUAGUUCACUCUAAAAACCAAAAUUUUUUCAAGAUUUUUUGUCACAUCAAAUCUUACGGCACAUGCAUGAAGUAUUAAAUAUAAUCAAAAAUAAAAAUUAAUUACACAUUUUACAUGUAAAUUACGAGAUGAAUCUUUUGAGUCUAGUUAGUCCAUAAUUAGAUAAUAUUUACCACAAACAAACGAAAGUGCUACAGUGCCUCAAACCAAAAAAUUUUGGAAACUAAACAAGACCUUAUUAGAACGUAAUUAGUCUACGAUUAGACACGAAUUAUAAAAAAACAAAAAUACUAUAAUACUUGUUAAACUUUAACAACUCCAACCAAACAUCCCCUUAGGCCUUGUUUUAGUUCACCUCAAAAACCAAAAACUUUUCAAAAUUCUCUAUCACAUCGAAUCUUUCGUCACAUGCAUGGAGCACUAAAUAUAGACAAAAAUAAAAACUAAUUGCACAGUUUUCCUAUAAAUCACGAGGUGAAUGUUUUGAGCCUAGUUAGUACAUGAUUGGACAAUAAUUGCCAAAUAAAAACGAAAAAGCUACAAUACCAGACCUAAAAAAUUGUGGGAACUAAACAAGGCCUUCGUUCCCAAAAAAAUUAUAAAAAAAUCAGAUUCUUCAUCUUGCAGCGUAUGUGUGGAAUAUUAAAUAUAUACAAAAAUAAUAACUAAUUGCAUAGUUUGUUUGUAAUUUACGAGACGAAUCUUUUAAGCCUAGUUAGUUCAUAAUUGGAUAUAUUUGUCAAAUACAAACUAAAUUGCUACAGUGUCGAUUUUAAAAAAAACUUGUAACUAAACAAGACCUGAAUCAUAAAGUACUUGAGGAUUUCCACGCAUUACCUCGAUAUUAAGAAUGAAUAUAAAAAUAUAACUUUUUUAUUAAUAUAAUUAUGGAGAUUGUAUCCAUAAUAGAUGAUAUGUCUCGCACUUAUGCUAAUGAACUUUAAUAUAAUUUGUACUAAAUUGGUGAGGUGGACACUUUGUAUAUCAAGAGAAAUUGAUAGUGACAAAUGAUAUUAGAUUGUUAAGAUGGACGUUUUGCAUUAAAUAGAUAGUGAGAUUGAUAGUGGACUGCUGAGGUGGAUACUUUGUAUGUCAAGAGAAAUAGACAGUAGAGUUUUACUUUAUAAAAGUUAUAGAUUAUUAGUCUUUAAUUUCAAUACACGUGGUUAGUCACUAGUUAGACUAAAAAAUAAUCUAAAUUAAUUUUAAUUAGUUAGUAGCUAGUUGGCUAAAAACUAGCUAUAAACUGAUUACGAAAUUAGUCCAACUAUUAGUUAUCUUGUUUAGAUGUACUAGAGUUAAUUCGAGCUAAAAUUAGCAAGCUAACAACUAACCUCCCGUAUCUAAACAUGUCCUGAGUACUAGUAUUAUGAAAGACAUAAUUAAUAUGUGGUAGUGGAGGGCUGCAAGCCAAGUUACCAACUUGUGUGUAUUGCUCUUUUUUUAAUGAACCUGGGAAACUUCCGAUAACAAUUUUAUUGACUAUAUCAACUAAUGUUGCGUGUUCUAGACUUCUAGUUUUGUCAAUAAAUGACCCCAUCCGUGUUAAGGUACAAUGCAUCAAGAGCCGAUACUAAAUUACAAGUCAAUGGGAGCAAAUGACACGUACCAAAGCAUUUUUUAUUGACUACUCUUUUUGUCUUUGAAUAAAUAAAUUUCUAAAAUAUCUUAAAUUAAACUUUUAAAGCUUUGACUGAAUUUCUCAAAAGAAAUAUUAAAAUUUAUAGUAUCAAAUUAGUAUCACUAAAUUUAUUAUGGAAUAUAUUUUCAUAAGGUAUUUAUUUUAUGACAUAUAGAUGGUGUUAUUUUUCUAUAAAGUUAGUCAAACUUUAAAAAAGUUUAACUAAUACAGAUUGUAGAAAUAUAGAUUCUAGAAAUUGAUUUUUUUUUAAGUAAGAAGUUGAUUUAUUUAGAGACAAGGGAAGAAUAUCAACUAUUAGAUGUCCUUGUUGUAGUCGCCAUUACCAAGGAAGAAUAGCUAUAUCGUUAGCGACGAUUGGAAAUCUUUGGGUAUACCAUGAUUUACUUGGGUUAAAGAGGAUUCGUUGGGGCUAACUGACCUUCUACAAAGAGUUUCAUGGUUUUGUAGCAUUUUUAAGAGUUUUGUAUUUGUAGUUUGCAUUUGAGUAAUUUGCCAAAAAGCUCUAAAAAAGGUAUCCAACAGUUUUGCAUUUGGAGUUUGCAAUUUGGGCAACUUGGCAAAUGAGGGAGUAAAUUUGGCAACAAUGUCAAGUUGUGGACGGCUUUGCAAACACAAUCGCACGAGCAAAGUCACGCGCGAGCAAAGCGCGCGCACCUGAAGGCCUCCUAUUUUUAUCCUUUGCCAAGUCCAAAUACCAAUUCCCUUGGAGAUGACCUAUUUUUGUCCUUUACAUUUUGUUAUAGGAGUUUGCAAACAACAACAAAUGCCAAGUCAAUUUGACAAAGCCUUUGGAGAUGCUCAAUACUCCCUUAAUUCCAAAUUAUAAGUUAUUAUAAAAAUCUUGCAGAGUCAAAGCAUUUUUAAAUUUGACCAAAACUAUAGAGAAAAAUACUAAGAUUUGUAACAUAAAGUGAGUAUACUAUGAAAAUAUAAUUAAGGAAGAAUCUCCCUCCAUCUCAAAUUGUAAGUCAUUCCAAGAAUCUUGGAGAGUCAAAACAUCUCAUGUUUGACAAAAAUUAUAGGAAAAAUUACAAAGUUUCGUGACAUUAAUUAAGAACCUAGUGAUACUUAGUUGAUAUUAUAAAUGUUAUUAUCCUAUUAUAUAAAAUUGGUCAAACUUGAGAUGCUUUGACUCUCCAAGAUUUUUGGAUGACUUAUAAUUUGAAAUGGAGGGAGUAGUUGGUAUCAUAAUAAUUAUUUUUAUCAUAUAAAUUUGGUCAAACUUAGAAUAGUUGACUCUCCAAAAUUUUUGGAUUAACUUAUAAUUUGGGAUGGAGGGAGUAUUUUUAGUGGGGUGAUGGUGACUUUAUUCAAGUACCUGGUUAGUGCAUACUAGUGUGUUCAUAUAAAGAAAAACUGCAUAUGUUUUUGGGGAUCUACUGAAGAUGGUGCUACUUGUGUUAUAGUACGUAUAGUUGACUAUUUCAACAAAAUGCUACGUUGAAAUAAAAUUAUGUAUUUUCCGGGACAACAUUAUAUUGUUAAUUGCUCACUCUCUCCCAAAAAAAGAAUAGAAUUGUCACUCAUUGAGAAGACAAAGAAUCCUAAAUUUAAUAGUAAUAUUUAUGAUACACUAGCACAUGGGACAGAGAGUGACUAAUUAUAAUAAAGAAUGAGUUUCUACUAGUAAAUAAGCACUGAAAUAAGUCCAUCAAGAUUUAAACAAUUUCAAGCUAGGCACCAUAAGAUAGAGCAUGAUUUUAUUAGAAAAGGGAGCGUAUGCUAUAAAAACCAGCUUCGUAUGUAAACUAUGCAAACUCUCAUCGGGAGCGUAGGAUGAUCAUCCGAUGGUUAGAGGCAAUGGUGGGAUAUUUUCCACUUAAACCCCUCUCACUCAUCCUACCCUAAUUAAUUCUUUUGCAAAUCACCCCCUGAAACCUAGCAGAACCCACGCCGCCGUCACCUCCUCAUCCUACCUGGCCACGUCGCGAUGGAUCAACUUGUUGGCCUCGUCGCGAUGGUUUCUAGUGGUGAGGAGACCGGUGCUGCCGUCGCCGCCUAGGAGACAGGCGUUGUCGUUGCCGCCAUGGAGAACCUCGCUGCCGCAGAGGAGGGCAACGUAGGAGAAGGAGCACGGUAAGCCAUCGAUACGCCAAACACUCGGAUGCUUGUGAUCGUGUGCUUUGCCGCUCGUGUGCUAUUGUGUGCUUUGCAGAUGUUUGCAACCAGAACAUGCCCACCAGGGCGCUAAUGUUGACGCCGAUGAACAUGCCUUCAUCACGGUGGACGCCGGAGUUGGAGGUCACAUUCAACAGCCUAGCACACCUAAGCCGAAACCUUCUACAAGUUUAGUAGUAAGUAAUUUUGAACAUGAUUUUUUUGCAACCAACUAGUUUUUGCAUGGUCUAUUGCUCAUACAAUUUGAUACACUCACAGAUGAAGUCCAUGGUUGGAAUGACAUUUGAUACACUCAUAGAUGUGGAGAAAAUUUACAAAUCCUAUGCACACGACGCUGGUUUUUCUAUUCGUGUUGGAAAGUGAUUGGUUUUAUUCGUGUCACAAUGGAAUUCUGUCAUGACAGAUUAUGACCUCCUAGAAAGUGAUUGGUUUUCUACAAGGUUUGCAAUUCGGGAAUCAUGGAUUUUGGUAUACUUUCUGGACAUACCUCUAGCGGGAAUGCUUAGGACUAUAUCACGCUCGGAGAGUGCAAAUUCUUUCUUUAACCGUUUCAUUCAUAGAAAGUUGACCUUUGUUAUGUUUUGGCUAAGGUUUGACACAGCUUUGGAGUGUCAGCGCUAAGAGGAGUUGAAAGCUGACAAUGCAAGUCUGCACACAGCACUCCUAAAUUGAUGACACCAUGGGCCAUGGAGAAGCAGUGUAGUGGGAUAUAUACACAUGAAGUUUUUAGUAAAUUUUAGAGUUAACUUAUAGUUGCAAGAGACCAUUGCAUUAUUCAAAGAUUCUCUGAGUCGGAAGAUAAGAAAAUUGUGACCAUUAGUAGCCAAUCUAGAAAAGAGUGAGUGGUUGAGAUCAACAAGUCAAACAUGUUCUGUACGUGCUCCUGUAAAUAUUUUGAGUCCUAUGGCAUCCCAUGUCGUCAUAUCAUACAAGUGCUUAGAACCGAGAAGCAAAAUGAGAUACCAGUGGGUUAUAUUAUGAAGAGAUGGGAGAAAAGAUGUAAAAGGUACGUAUUUUUAGAGUUUCUAUAUGCCUAUUUUGUUAUGAUAUUUUUAAAUUUCCUAUGUUUGUUUUGAUACAGGGAAGUGUUAUUUGAUGACAAAGGUAACCUACUAGAUGAGAAGCCUAAAGAUGCUAAGGAAGUGGAAAUGCGGAAAAAGCUUUCAGACUCAUGCAACAUGUUUGAAGACCUUAUCCAAAAGGCAAAGAAUUCUGAACAAGGAAUGUACUUUUUAUAUUCUAGUUUGUCCAACCUAGUAGAACCUCUCCAAAAGAUCACGCCUGCUGCUACGGAUAAUAAACAGGAUGAGUAUGAAUCUUUCCUUGGUAGUACUAUUCCAAAUGAAGUCAAUAUACAUCCACCAACUGAUGUCAGAUCGAAAGGGAGAAGCAAAAGAAUUAAGAAGAGCAAAGAGAUGAGGGCUCCAAGCAAACGGAGGUGCAGAAAAUGUAAGCAAGUAGCGACUCAUGAUGCACGUAAUUGUCCAAACAACAUUGUUGGCUGACUGUAAUUUUCAUGGUUUCAUUGAGUCAUAUGCAUGGAUUAUAUUGCUGCUGCCAUUUUUUUAGAAAUAUUGAUGCUGUCAUUAUGUUGUGUACCUAUGAACUUUCUGAAUGAGAUGAAUUGUUUUCGUACUAAGAUGAAUUGUCGUAUUGCUACUGUCAUUAUGCUGCCAUUUUUUUUUGAGAAGUAUUGCUGCUGCCAUUAUUGUUGCCGACGGCAUGUAUGCGAACCGGGCGAACGGGAACCGGAUUCCCUCGCGUAAGUGACGGGGCGACAGCAUCUCGCGUAGGUGACGGCGGCGUGGGUUCUGCUGGGUUUCAGGAGGGUGAUUUGCAAAAGAAUUAAUUAGGAUAGGAUGAGUGGGGGGUUAAGUGGAAAAUAUCCCACCAUUGCCUCUAAUCAUCGGAUGAUCAUCCUACACUCCUGAUGAGAGUUUGCAUAGUUUGCAUAUAAAGUUGGUUUCCAUAGCAUACGCUCCCAUUAGAAAAAACUGAAACUUAGUUUCAUAAUUUUUCAAGGUAAAACAAAUUUUCUAAGACAAGACUAGAUUCUACUCUGUAGUAUUUUUAAUUGCAUUUUUUCAAGUAAAAAUAUUUGGUAUUUAACAUUUUAAUUCUAAGAAUUUAUGGAUAAUAGAAAAAUAUUUGUAGUCUAAUUUAUUUUCCUAAACUUUCAACUUAUAAGUACGUAUGAUUUAUCCUCUCAGACGUGAUGCCACAUCAUUGAUGGUUAAAAUUAAAUGGUUUUAAAGUUAAGGGGAUUAAAAAAACUAAAUUUGUAGUUAGGGAGCAAAUACGACCGCAAUAGUUGAGACGAUAAACUGAACUUUUUCCAUCCAGCCUACCAAGAUGGAGCUGAAUCAGACUAGUUACUAGAAAACCAGGCGCGGCUUUGCCAUGCCCUCGCUAGAGUGCCCAGCCGAUAAGGACAAUGGACAGUGUCACUGCACGAUUUCACAUAACAGCACGUCAUCAAAAUUGAAAUGAAACCAUCUAUGAAAUAACUCCAGCAAUGAAGCAUUUCACUUUGUUGUUUUCAAGGCUAAGCAAAAGCAUUUAAUUACUGCAAAAUGAUUGGAUCACAUGCAAUAUGGUGAAACUAUUUAGCCCUCAGUGGGGAUUUCAUCCCGUUUCACCGCGUGGGAAACAACGCCCGCGGGGUUUUACCAUGGUGAAACUACUUCCUUCUCUUUCCUCUUCGUUUCAUGCAAAAAGUGCAGCUUUGCUGACAUGGCGCUCUAAUAAAUGUGAAUAACAUCCUGGUGAAACCUCCACUAAGACUGACCUAAGGGACACGAGCUCCAAAAUUUUUAACAUACUUUGUAACUAUGUGGCUGUUGAUGUAGCAAUGUGCUAAUAUAUGCAACAAAUAUGUAACUUAAUAUCUACUUUUAGCAAUUGCAUCAUUAUCAUCUUAGAGAACAUGAUCUGCUAGGGUAGCUAGCCAGCUACCAGUAUAUUCAUGGAAUGUGUGCACUCCAUGGAGCUUGUGUUGUUACCUCUUCUUUGCAUCUUCUCAAACGUGUGUCCUGCUAGGACAUGGUGCCGGAAUGAACAUUUGGGAAGACAUGGCGGAGAGCAAAAAAAAAUCAGGUAGGUGCGUUUGCUAUUAUUCCUGAUAGAGCUCUCAUCUUUGACAUACAAAGUGAUGGAAACCAAGAAAUGUAUCAUUGUUAUCUCUAUAGCUUUAUUUGUUUCAGUAAAACAGAAGGGGCAUGCCCCUACUGUAGGCUUUAUUUGAGGCAUUAUUGAAAGUAUCAUUUCAAACAAGAAAAUUUUUUAGAAGGUCUUCACUUGCAAUAUAUGUAUGAUCAGGAAGCAUAGUAAAAAAAUGGUCUAUCGCAAGAGCUAACAAAUGUUAUCAUCGUCUUUAGCAACAUGGCACUUGUGAAUUAUGUGGCUAGCAAAAAAAAUUGUUUUCCAUUGCUUAAAAAUAUCAUGUGUCCACAUGUUGUUGCUCUACAACAAGCAUGACAUAGUAUUGGGCUCUAUCUAAUAUUGUCAUAUGUUAGUCAGGCCAGAAUGGCUACUUCUGAUUAUGGAUAGUAUGUAAUCAAGGUCAUCCAAACUUACUCUUGCUCCUUCGAUGUGUGUUUGGAGUGUAAGAAAAAAAAGAGUUGUAGAUGAGAUUUCUAAUAGUGAAGCAUGUUUUAUUCCAUUGUGGGGAUCGGAGGAAAUAAAUGCAAUAGCAUGUUUGGAAGGCCUGCCGCUGGCUGCUCCCAGGCGGGUGAAGUGGUGAUCCUUCACAUCCAAAAGGUUUGUUUUGAUUUUCAGUCAUUCACAUUAGAGUUCAUCACUUCCUUCAGCCAGAUGAUUAGUUCUGUUUUACUACUUAUCUAUAAAAACUUGCCUAUUUAGAGACACAGAGAAGUUUUGCAAAAGAGUUUGUCUGCAUAUUAUUGUAAUGCUUUUUAUGUAUUUUGUUUUAGAGACCGUUAAGGAAGCAAAGAAUGAGGGGCAAUGCGCAUGGAGGGCACAUGGCCUCGUGGACACGAGCUCUGCCACAACCUUGUCCUCACAUUCUCGGCCACCGGCGAGCCCUAGACAAGAGAAAUAGGUGCUGCGAGAGGAAGAAGAAGCAGGCUGUGAGGCUAAUGAGCGGGGUUCGCUCAUAUAAACUAACAACAUCUUUUUUAUGAAAUUUUAUCUUGUUUUCUAUUUUACCGUAGAGCUAGCAUAAGCAUCAUGGCACAUAGAAAGUUAUUAAAAGUCCCUCCAGAUUGGAGGCACCACAACAAUUCAGGCCUCGUGGCCUCUCCAGAUUGGAGGCACCACAGCAAUUCAGGUCUCGUGGCCUCUCCUGCGUUCGACGUACACACAUCUCCUCCCCUCCUUUGGAAACUGCCCACAAGCACACAUGCCUGUCCGGCCCGUCCUGGCGUCCCUGUUUCAUUUUUCCAGAUAGCCCCCUCCACCUGGGCUGAAGCCCCGAAGCCUAGGCUCCUUUCUCCUCUCCCCUUUCUCUCUCUUCUCCCUACUCACCACCGCGCUGGAUUCAGGAAGCCGCAGAGCUCCGUAGCAUUGACGGAUACCACAGCCAAGCAGGAUCAAGAGAAGCUACGCGACAUUAGUUGUUGGAGCCGACGGACAUCCCACGUCAGCAUGUGCGGGUAAUCCAACGAGGUGAGUUCCUCUACCACCAAAUCUGGUGUAUGGCCCCGAUUCAUCUCCGAUCUAUGAAGGGAGGAGUGUGGUGUGGUGGAUCCGAGCUCUUGACGGCUCCAUCUCGCCCCAUGGGCUAGAAGAGUCCAAGCACAUGAAGACCAACAGCUUCGUUGUUUCCACAAGAUCUACUAGCUCCACGGUCAUCAUGUUGGAGCGUUCCUGCUUCCACCAAAUCUGUGAGUUCUCCAUCAUGUGGAAGUAGAGAUCGGAGUGGAGACAGCGACCAGCUAGGAUGGCUCGCGGAUCUCUGCCAUCUAGCAGCAGCCGUGAGCGCUCCGACGCACGCUGGAGUGGCACACUCUGUAGGCAACAGCAUGCUGCAACGGGUUCAUCCCACUCAUCAGGUACUAUGAAUGAGUUUGGUUUGGGGAUUUGUCUAUCUGCAAACAGACUCUCUAAUUUUUUUAUCUGUUUCUUAGUUGAUUUAGGUAACAGUGGGAGCAAGUGAAUGCGGUGGGGAAAGGGGAAGGUUAGAGAAGUGGGAAAUUUCAUGAUAAUUUCUAAAUUAAAAUUAGUAGAUGACGAGUGGUACAAUAUAAUGUUGAAAUGUUACUCCUUGAGAUACAGAUAGUCAUUACUCUCGUAUUUGUAUUACUAACAUCUUUGCCCAUGUUUAGUUAUGACUUAGUGAUGCAGUUAUGCAAUUCUGCAAUCAGUUUGCAAUUCCACAAUCAGUUAUAUAUAAUGUAUCCUAUACCCAUUGUUCUGUUAGGCUCUGUUUUGACACUGACGAUACACUUGAUCCUGGAGGAUUUGUAUUCUGAUCUGAUUUACUUGCAAACAAGUGUAUGCAACCAACUUUGAUUUUUGAUUUAUCAAGUCCUUCGCCGGUUCUGCCGAUGUCAUGUAACUUGUGAAAUGAUUGUUUUUGCAUUGCAGUGCAUUAUGCUUCUGUGGCACUCCAGGAAGGGAUGUUUCUUUCAAGAUAUACUUCAUUAUCUUAAAGAAUGUAAUGAUCGAUAUAUUCCAGGAGUGUUGACACCAGUUUAAGUAUGUCACUUGAUGUGUGAACUUCCAUCAAAUUCAGGUAAUAAAGUACAUCUAAGUUAUGCGGACAUAUUUUUUUCUGACAUAUUUGCUUUCUGGCAUUCACAGUUUUUAUCUGCUUGCAAUGCUACUGCAAAAGUUGUCAAGAUUUCAUAGCUACACAACUUCUCAUAUGCACAUGUUUCAUAGGUACACAGAUACUUCUCUUGGCAUGUUUACUUCAACAAUAAGUUAACAUAACACCUCUAUAGAUAUUCUUUUGUUCGCAUUAUGUUGAAAAAACAAUUUUAUCUGUAGUUUUGAUCCCCCUAAUAAGUAGGUUGAUCUAGUUUGUGUUUGUACUUUGUAGCGCACCUAUAGCGCUAUAUCUGCAGAUUUGAAAGCCCUAGUUUGGUUUUGGAUAAUUGAUGAAACCUAUGUGUACUAACCUUUGUCAUGAGUGAAAUACAAAGAUAGGUUGGUACACACCAAGUGAUGGAGCUAGAUGAUGGUCAUGGUGAUGGAGAUGACCAAAUUAUGAUAUUCAAGUGCUCCAACUUUGAAAAGAAGAAAGAGAAAACAAAAUGGGCUCAAGGCAAAGGUAUUUUUAAUAGGGCCAUUUUGUUUUGCCACUCAAGACACCUAGAGGGUGUGAGUGGAUUUAGGAUAGAUAACCAUACUAUAAAGAGGGGAAAUCUUUAAUUGCAAUGGUUAUCUAGUGCCACUAAGUGUGAGUCUCUUUUGCAUAUGCAUUGCGCUUAGUGACGUGGUGAGAAUACUUGAGAAAGCCCUAAAAAUCAUUUGUGAAAAUGCUAACUUAAGUGCUCAAUUGUUUUUGGUACUUGGUGGGAAAGUUAGCACUUUAAAAAGGGGUUUUGAGUUGAAAAACCGAGCUAGUAGUCAUGCCCAAACAGCAAGGGGUCGAUCGGAGUUAUUCUCUACCCUACCUGGAUAUUCUGGUAUUUGUGCUUGCAACAGAGAGGGGUCGGUUGGAAUUUUAGCUGCCCCGCACUGGAAAUUUUUCAAAACUGGAGUUCACCCACGCCAACGGUCAAAAGCGUGUGCGUCUGGAAUUAUUUCCUACCCGCACUGGAAUUUCUCGCGAGAUUGGGCUGCUGCAACGGUCGGAUGAGUGGCUGGCAGAGGAUAAGGUCGGGUUUCACCCCUUCCUUUCUUCCUCCUCAAUCCAUUCCCCAUUCUUGCUCUCUUGAAGAACUCCAAGAAAAGAAAAGCUCUCCUCUUCUCCUCUCUCACUCCCAAGGAUUUGUGCUCCAUUCAAGUGAGAGAGAAAGCUCUAGAGAUCGAUUUGAGAGCUCCAAGAGGAUCUCCUCCCUUCCUCUCCAUUCCCAUGGUUGGUACUCUUUGGUGAGAGGAGUUGGGAAACCCUAGUGUUUAUGCAUUUGUGAUUCAUAUUUGUGGCACUAGUUGAUUGUUGGGAUUGUGGAUUUCUUGUUACUCUUGGUGAUUGCCGUCACCUAGACGGUUGGUGUUGGAUUGAUUGGUGAGGGGAUUUGGUGAUUGUGUCCGCCCCCAAUCAAGGUGAUAUUUGUGAGGGGUUGUUGUGGUUCCCCAUCGGAGUGCUAAAUUCCAACUCUAGUGGAUUGCUCGUGUCAUUGAGUUACCGCACUUGAGAGUGGGGUCUUGCGGUUUCCUUGCGAGGGUGGCUUGCAAGUCACACCGAAGAACCAUCUAGGUGUUGGUCGACACAACGGGGACUAGCUUACCGGCAAGUAAGUGAACCUCGGGAGAAAAAUAUUUGUGUCAUCUCUUGUUUCCCGGUGAAUUGGAUUGUUUGAUACAUAUAUUGUUGGAAUUAAUUAUUUGGUGAUUGGCAACAUCCUCUACUCUUCACCGUCGGUAUAAAAGUCAAAUUCCCUUCUCUUUCAUACUUGCAAUUUAUCUUGUUAGCUCUCUAAUUAGUUAGAGUAGAGACCUAGCCGUUUGAGUGCAUAGAGAUUAUAAUUACUAGAAUUGCAAUAGGUGGCUUGCCUAACAAUUAGAGCUAAAGCAAACCGCUUUUAUAGCCAUUUGUGUUACUAACAAUUUGCUCUAGUGUUUUAUAGAUUUUUUAAUAGGCUAUUCAACCCCCCUCUAGCCAUCUAGGACCUUACAAGAUUGCAAUAUGACUAUUUACUGCUAAUGUUAAGAUGUAAUCAAAUUUGCAAGGCAAAGCUUAAUAUAUUAAUCAUUGCCUGAUUUUAAUUUUUUUUUCUUCUUUAGUUGUGUUGUUCACUGCACAUUGAAAUAUUUACUUAUUUUCCUUUGCUACCAAAGACGCGUAAGCAGAUCAUGUAGGUAUAGGAUCAUGAAAUAUUUAUUUACUUGGUAAGUGAUGCUUUUGAGAAAAUACUUAAUCACCAAAAGAGACAAGAGCAACCAAAUGACAUAUUAACUAUUUAGAGUUAGGAUCCAGAUGUGUCGAUAGUCCAUAACUUUAUUGCCUUAUCAUAAUCUAUGCACAUCAUACCUUGUGCCGUUUUUCCAUUUACCGACAUGUUCAUCAUACCUAUAAUCACCUAAAGAGGAAGGCUACAUCCUUUUGCCUCUAUUGGUUGCCCCUAGCUGUUUAUGUGUGUUUGCUCACCUGCUGAUCUACGUCUGAUGUUCAGCACCAAAGGAACUUAGCACUAUGAUGAUCGACUCUCUGUCUUUUGCAAACCUCAUGGCGACAAACUGUGUAGUUCUCCGUUCUAAGUUACCAGCUGAAGUGUUCGGUUCUUAUGAAUUCCCGGUCAUAUAUUGUAAUCACUACCGGAUAGCAGGGGUUUGCCAUGUGCCUGGCGCACACGGCAAAGUCCAAAUUACACACGGCAAAGGCUUUGCCGUGUGUUGCUCACGGCAAAGAACACACGACAAACUCUUUCACGGUGAACCUUAUUUUUACCCACGGCCAAAUUUUGGGCACACGGUGAAACUUUGCCGGCGGGAGACGGCCUAACGGCAGGGUCACACGGCAAAGUCUCAAUGUUUGUCGUGUGCUAGGGUUGGGCACAACGGCAAACCCCAACGAAAAAAAUCCAAAGUCCUAAAUUUUUUUGUGGCCCAUGGGAUUUGAACCCAUGACCUCCCUCUCGCGCUUCUUCGCUCUUAGCCACUACACCACGCACCACACUAUGUCUUGUGUUUAUAUUACAUUUCGGUUACUCAAAUAUUAUAUCAAAUUAUGUGUAAAUUGAUAAUUUGAGAUCUUAAAUGAUUUCAAAUCAAAAAGUUGUCAACUACAAAGUUUCAUAACUUUUUGGGAUCUACAAUUUUCAUUUAGGGAGUUUCUCCAUCCGAGGUCGUUUACAAAAUUUGAAUUUUAAAUUUAAGAAAUCCAAACGUUUUUGCAUGACAAGAUGAUUCCAAAAUAAAAAGUUGUCAACUACAAAGUUUCAUAACUUUUUGAGAUCUACAAAGUUUAUUUAGAGAGUUUUUCCAUCCGAGGUUAUUUAAAAAAUUGAAAUUUUAAAAUUUUCAAUUAAAAUGCUGAAAAUAAUUAAGAAAUAGUAAACAAUUCCGAAAAUUUUCUAAACUUGGACACGACACAACCUAUAUGGUGUAGUGCCUAUAGAAACAGUUUUAAAAUCAAACUCAAAUAUAAAAGUCAAAUCUACUCCAACUCAGGCUUCUUCACUCAUAUCUGUGUGAAACUUCUUCGAAGGUUGUCUGGUUUCUAUACAUCAUACAUGACAACUUGUUCGAAAUCUUUCUAAACUUUUUUUAUGGCCUCUAUGUAUGAUAACAUGACAUAUGUAUAAGUUUUAGGAUUUACGGAAUAAAAUAGCAUUUAUUAGAAUUUUCGAAAUGUACCGACGCACAUUCUGCGUCGUGUCUCCUAAGCACGGCAUUCAAAAGUCAUUUCCGUUUCGAAUGUGUGUUAUCAGACAGGGUUGGGUAACAUGAAUAUCAUUUUUUCGAUAUUUUUUUCAACUAUUUCACUGACUCGUAGUUCAAAUUUGAACGUAACUGGAAAAAUGAAAAUAAAUAAUGUUAAUUGCAAAAAUAUAGCAAACAUGUUUCAAAUUUUAUGAAAUUUGAGUAUGGAGUUACAAAUGGUGAAUGUGUAGAGAAGAAAAAAUUUGGAGGACAAAAACUAAAAAAAGAUAAAUUGUUUGUCAUGUGUCGCACCCCUGACACGACAAAGUUUGUGUUUGCCGUGUGCCAGCCUCAAACACACGGCAAACCCAGGUUUUGCCGUGUGCCUAACGGCCACACACGGCAAAUGUUGACGUCUGGAGGUGGGCGUUAGCGUGGGUUAGUUUUUGCCGUGUGCUCUGUUUUUCCCGUGUGUUGCUCACGGCAAAAGUUUGAGUUCGCCGUGUGCCUGGUGUUUGCCGUGUGCAACACACGGCAAAGGACAGAUAUACCGUGUGUCUGGCGUUUGCCGUGUGCGUGGAUUAGACACACGGCAAACUCGACCUUUGCCGUGUGUUGCUCACGGCAAACGGGCUGACACACUACAAAGGCCGGCUCUCCGGUAGUGAAUGAACAGUUAUGUAAUAUAUAGUUCAAUAGAAUCAUUAAUGUAAUGAAGGGUGUGUAACAUAUAGCUGAACAGAACUAUGAGAGCUACAAUGGACAUAAAAACCAUAUCGUUGCUUCAUUGGUCUUAGGUACUGACUAUUGUGAUGAUGGCAAUUACUAUUUAUUAAUGUAUGUGACUGACAUCUUUUCUUUACCAUAUCUAAUUAUGGAGACAUGUCUAUGGAGCAUAGACUAGCUUUUGUUCUUCAAAUCGUGGUAGGGCGCCUGAUGUUCUAGUUACUAUGAAGCUUUCAGGCCUAAGUGUAGCAGUCAAGGCAGAUGCUUUUCACAUGCUGUCAGGGGUGUGGAAGACCCCUAUCGAGAGGUGUUUUAUGUGGUUAGGUGGAUUUUGACCGUCACAAGGUUUAUGGUCUCUCCUCACUUGUUCUUAUUGCGUCGUUGUGCUUCUGUCAAAGCUGAUUUCCUUGUUCAUCAUAGCAUAAAUCUCAUGCAUAUAAAUAUUAGACAGGUGAAUAAUAUUUUCGAAGGGCUUCCAAUUUAAGCUUGAAGUCCACCUGAACCACCUCAUGCAUAUCAAUUAAGCAUAUUUUUGCUGGAUUUGGCUCCUGUUGGUAGAUUGAUUUUUUAUGAUAUAUAUCAAUCAAUUUUCUCUAAUAAUGACAUCAAUUAAAUUAUUGGAUUACCCGAGUGUGUGAUUGGAUAACUCGAGUGUUUUAAGGCCUUGUUCAGUUGGCAAAAUUUUUAGAUUUUGGGUACUAUAGCAAUUUCGUUUUUAUUUGACAAAUAUUGUCCAAUCAUGGACUAAAUAGAUUUAAAGGAUUCGUCUCUCAAAUUAAAGGUAAAGUGUGUAAUUAGUUUUUGUUUUCGUCUAAAUUUAAUACCCAAUGCAUGUGCCGCAAGAUUCGAUGGACUAAAUAGACUUAAAGGAUUCGUCUCUCAAAUAGCAUCUUGGAAUUUUCUUUUCUACAAUUAUUAAACAAAUUCUAGCAUACGCUAGACAUAUUUGACCUUUUAUCUGGUUAAUUUUGGGUGUUGUUGGCAGUUUCGUAUGUACAUGCCUGUAUAUGUAAUUGAAUAAUAUUAUAACAUUGCAGGGAUGUUGAGGAAGCUAUAGCAUGCUCGAGUCUGACAGCUCGUGAGUUUUCUUUCUUUCUUUUUUUUUGUUGUGUGAUUUGUAUUAUCAAAUAUUACUGUAGUUACCACAGGCAUUGGGUAAAUCAUUUUUUGGUUGUAUGAUUUGCAUUACCAAAUGUCAUUAUAGCGCUAGCACGGACAUUAUACUAGUCAACCUAAGGUGAAACAACAAUCAGACCCAUAAAACAAAAGCAUUCAACCUAAACACAAAUUUGCCUAAGGCACAUCACAGAUUGGACGAGGCAAAUUCGAGAGAAAACACAAACUAAAAUAGCCAAGUGAUGCAAAGAAGCUCAGAACUCGUUGAGAAAUGAAAAUAAAUAGCGUGGAAGAAGGAGUUCUGCUCGUAUUUUUAGUUCCGUGUGUAAUACACGACUAUCUACUUGGGCUAAUUUCAUUGUUGCCCUGGCCCAUCUGAGCAGAUGCAUUCUCUCCUUUUCUUUUCUAUAGUGGAACUGAAAGCUCUACUACUCAUCGUCUCAUGGCCUCAUUGGGCUGAAGCUGCAUCCCUAGCCUUUCGAUACUCAUGGGCUGAAGCUACACCGAGGUUUUGACACAUCGGAACAGCCUUAUUCGUGAUGCAAGGAGACGUGCUAAGGUAAAGUUAAAUUGUUUUUGAGGACACGUGCUCCCACUUAUUUCAUGUUAGAUUCGUAUUGAGAAAUAUAUAUAUGAAUCGAGGUGUGUUUCUCAAUGCGAAUUUAAUGGUAGAGGCAACGAGAACUCUUAAUAGAAAAAAAAUUGCCUAUGAUAACUCUGUUACAAUGUUAACGGCAGUAUUUUGACAUCGUUAAAAAUUUCCAAUAAACACCAGCAUAGAAAAUCAUUUUUCGAGGAGCCUCAUUUUUAAAAGUAGAGGUAGCUCUACUAAAAUUCGUCUCUAAGAGUAGUUUACGCAGGUUCACUUCUAGAAAUCACUAAAACAUAUAUAAGUAAUCCGCCUACGUGAUAAGUUAUUUGCACGAUGACAAGCCAAAAUGUUGGGCCCAUAUGCCGAUCUUAUACCCCCUUAUCACCACAUGGGCCUAAAAUAUCGGUGCCAUCAUCAUGCAAACAGCAUGCUAUGUAAGUAGAUUAACUAAGUUAGGACAGUUUCGAUGGUCAAAAUUAUGCAUGAUUUUCAUAAAGCCACGUCAACAUUGAUACUGCCAUUAUGGUGCUUUAGGCCUUGUUUAGUUCACCGCAAAAACCAAAAACUUUUCAAGAUUCCCCGUCACAUCGAAUCUUGCGGCACAUGCAUGAAGCACUAAAUAUAGACGAAAAUAAAAACUAAUUGUACAGUUUACCUGUAAAUCGCGAGAUGAAUCUUUUAAGCCUAGUUACUCCAUGAUUGGACAAUGUUUGGCAAAUAAAAAUGAAAGUGCUACAGUCCCGAAAACCAAAAAGUUUUCAGAACUAAACAAGGCCUUAGACCUAAUGUGAUACUUUGAUCACUCAUCUUAUUCAAAAAAAAUUAUACAAAUAUAGCCAAAUUUAAAGUUAUUCUUGCAGAGGUUUUAUUAAUAAACCAAGCCACGAUAAAAUAAGCGGUAUUUAUAAGACCAGUCGUCAAAUUUGGUGUUAAAAAGGUUAAAUAUCUUAUAAUUUAGGAUAGAUUGAGGUGUUUUUUAAAAACACCUUUGCAGUGUGUAUGUAGAAAACAUCAAAAUGAAGAUACUGAUGUCCAUUACUUUUAUCACACCUCUUGAGAUAUUGGGAACUGGUUCAUGCGAUGCUUCCUCUCUAUCUCUCUCUCUCCCUCCCCGAUGCCCGACGUCAUCCUCUGUCUCUCUCCCUCCCUGAUGCCUGACGUCCUCCCGACGAUGAUGUAGGCCCUCCUAAAAUCAUGCGCAGAUGCGUCGAAAACACCACUCUCUUGCUCUCGCCAUCGCCACUUAGAUAAAGGUGACUUUUUUAAAUAUAUUUCGGUGCAGAAGGCAAAACACACACCACGGAGGCUAUGAACUUUGCUUCUGCUCGAUUGCACGGUUUGACGCACACUAAAGGUGCUUGAAUAAUAGGGUUCUGUCCUUUCUCCUUUUUAAAACAAGAAAUGCUAAACAACACCCAUGUGUUUUUUAUACAUUCCAACACAUGAAUUUUUCCGUGUCUAUGAUUUUAGGGCCCACACCUAAUUCCUCCCUCACCCUCUUACUCUUCCUCCCCUCCCUUUCUCUCAAUGCCCACCACCGCCACACCUGAGUGCCAUCGCGCUUGCAUGCCGGCGUGCCUGCGCCUCCCUUAGCGCAGUCCCUGACGGCGUCCAACAACAGUGCCUUCGUGCCUGCGCCGGCGCCGGCCACGGCGGCUGUGCCGCUAAUCUCCUCCUUCUUAUCUAUGAUAUGUGAUUGUGCUUGCAUAGAAAACUUUUGUAAUUUGUCCUUUCAUAGACAAAAUUAUUUCUUGUGAUAUGUGGUUGUGCUUCCACAAAAAAAUUAUGAUAUAUUUUUCCAUAGAAAAAAUUGUUUCUUGUGAUAUGUAAUAUGUGAUCCGUGGCUGAAGGAAGAAGAAGGCUUGAGGCUGUUGGAUCUUCAUCUUAUGGCUAACAAAAUUUUGUGUAUUGGAAUGCUAAAAAAACGCAUGGUUGUUAGGUAGACACUUUUAAAACACUCCUGCCUAAUGCUUAGUCCAUCUCUCAGUUAAAUAACUUUAAGACAAAUAAUGGGGGCCAUAGACAAUGGACUUUGCACCAGCCAUAUACGAGAGUAGUAAAACAGGGACGCCGGCCACCAAACCAUGUCGCGCGGUGGAUGAUGGAGACUGGCCAGGACAAAAUAAAAUGGCCACCGCCUGCCGCCUGCCGGCCGUUCGCAACCGCCGACGCCGCCGCCGUUGCUAUAUCCGUCACUAGCCAGUUAGCCACCAACUCGACUGGUCGUCGGUGCAAGUCCAGGCAUCCACCACCAACCUACCAUGGACGCCAAGCCGCAGAACCUGGGCGGCUCGCUGCCGGUGCCCAACGUGCAAGACCUGGCCGCGCGCCCCGCCGACGAGCUCACGCCGCCCGUGCUGCACCGCUACAUCCGCGACGACGCCGACGUCGACGCCGACGCCAACGGCGACGCGGCCGCCUCGGUGCCCGUGGUGGACCUCGCGAGGCUCCUGGACCCGUCGCACGGGGAGCAGGAGGCCGCCAAGCUGAAGGCCGCCUGCGAGGACUGGGGCUUCUUCCAGGUGGUCAACCACGGGGUCCCCGACGCGGUGAUCGCCGACGUCAAGGCGGACCUGCAGGGCUUCUUCGGCCUCCCGCUACCCGAGAAGAACGCGGUGGCGCAGGAGCCCGGCGGGAUCGAGGGGUACGGGCAGGCCUUCGUCGUCGCCGCCGACCAGAAGCUGGACUGGGCCGACAUGCUCUUCCUCUUCACGCAGCCGCCCGAGUACCGGGCCUCGCGCUUCUGGCCGGCGCGCCCCGCCACGUUCGGGGACUCGCUGGACCGCUACUCCGUCGAGGUGCAGCGCGUCGCCGCCGGCCUGCUGGCGGCCAUGGCCGCCAACCUGGGCGUGGCGGAGGCGGACGCCCGGAAGCUGACGAGGCUCGCCGGCGCACAGUCCGUGCGGAUCAACUACUACCCGCCGUGCCCGGACGGCAGGGUGCUCGGCCUGUCGCCGCACUCCGACGCCGUCGGUCUCACGCUCCUGCUCCAGGUCAGCGCCGCCGUCCCGGGGCUGCAGAUCAGGCGGCGCGGCGCGUGGGUCAGCGUGGACCCCGUCCCGGGGGCGCUGGUGGCCAACGUCGGCGACGUCGUCGAGGUGCUCACCAACGGGAGGUACAAGAGCAUCGAGCACCGGGCGGUGGUCAGCGCCACCCAUCACCGGGUGUCCAUCGCCGCCUUCCACUCCGCCAAGUUCGGCGGCACGUACGCGCCGCUGGAGGAGACGACGAUGGUACACGGCGAGCCGGCGAGGUACAAAACCAUAAGCGUCGAGGACUACGUCCGGCUGCUGCUGUCUUGUAAGCUUGAGGGAAAGAACAUCAUGGACGCCAUGAAGAUCAAUCCCCCUGAACUGCAGUGACAACAUGAAUUUCUCAAAUUUCAAACAAUGGAGCCUGCUGCAAUAUAUAUACAUGCAGAUUUGUGUUCUUGUCGUCGUCUCUGCUUGUUGUUUCGUAUCAUCUAGAUCUGUGCAAGACAGGAUUGCUCUAAGCAUCUUGGUCAAGUAAACCAUGAAUGUACAUGUUCCGAUUUGAAGGGACUCGUUCUUUCAGUUUAUUCAUAAUAUGCAAAUCCUAGUCCUUGGGCCUGAAGCAAGUAUGGGCCGAAUAGCAGGCCCAUCAGGCAGUUAUUACAAGAUAUUUGUGUCCGAUAUAUUUUAUUUGUGCUGUUCCGUUCUCCUCCGGGCCUGUAUAGUUCCAAAAAUUUUACAAAGUUUUUAAAACUUUUCAUUACAUCAAAACUUGUAGUACAUGCAUGGAGAAUUAAAUAUAGAUAAAAAGAUAACUAAUUGCAUAUUUUAGCUCUAAUUUGUGAGACGAAUCUUUGGAGUCUAUUUAGUCUAUAAAUUAUUACUAGCAAAUAUGCCCGUGCGUUGCAACGGGAGAAAAACAUCAAAUGGUCAUAAAAAGUGACAUAUCUAUUUAUAUUUAUAAUUUUUAUAAAAUUUAAAGUCCAUAAUUUAUUUUAUUGAUAACCAUGACAUCUAUGGUAUGAGAUAGUUAAUAUUUACAAUAUUAUGUAGCUUGGAGACAUAUUUAUUUAAUAAUAAAAAUAGAUUAUAUUAAAACAUGAGAAGUUUGUUGCUAGCUUUAUUUUUUUAUUUAGAUUAGGAUUCCUAUAAAAUAUGAUAUAUCAGCUAAAUAUAUGUAGAUUAUAAACAUAUAGGCUUAUGAAGUGUUCAUAUGAUAUAACAACACAUCGUGCAAAGGUAGUGGAAGCAUCUUUUUUAUAUUUUUUACACACUUAAAUUGAUGCUAAACUAUUUAGCUAGCAUAAAUUUGGGUAAAUUAGUAAAUCAGUAAGAUAUGCAGGAAUAGUGCUAAAACUUUUACCACAAAUCAAGCAUCACAUUAAAUAGGCUUCCAUAAAAUUUUUAUAAUAAUUAGAGCAAAAUAACUAUAAUUUCAAUUUUACCCUAAAAAGCAUAGGCAAGCAUCUCCAGCAAAAAAAUAUACUAAAAUUUAUGAUAUUUUUUGUUUACUACAUGGAUCUACAUAUGUGGAGCUGAACACAUUUUGUUUUGUAAUUUUUAGAUUUUUCUAUAAAUUUCUACGCAUUUAUUAAUUUUCAGCCGAUAUAAAGAAUAAAAGAAAAGUAAAUUAAUAGGACAAACACUUUGCACCUAUUUUUUAUUUACUGUAUGGAUCUACAUAUGUGGAGCUGAACAAAAUUUGUUUUGUAAUUUUUAGAUUUUCUAUGAAUUACUACGCAUUUAUUAAUUUUUAGCUAAACUAAAGAAUAAAAGAAAAUAAAAUUAAUAGGAUAUAGGAGAUUUUGCAUUGGGAACCCUGAAAAAAAUUUAUUUUCUUUUCGCUCUUCUAGCUAGCAACUCUAAGAGCGAUAGAAAAUGUAAAAGGAGAUUUUGCAUUGGGAACCCUAGAAAAUAUUCUAUUUUCUUUUUCUCUCUUACAAGUGUUAAAGGAACGGAGAGACCGAUUCCGGACGAGACGGGGCAGAAGAAAUUUUUGAGGGACUGAAUUUUUCAUAAUUUAUUAGUAGAUAUAUAUAGGUAUAAAUAUAGAUGUAUAGAUAUAGAUAAUUUUUUUUUCUUUUGCAAUGACAUGCUCCAAAUGUGGACUAAUAAUGGGCCUCUAGCACUCAGCUCAUCUGGGCACUCAAAUGUUGGCCCAAAUACAGGCCCAUGCAAUACAUUCACACGCGCCAGCCCAUCUGCAUCGGCUCUGCCUUUUCUUUCUUGCGGACCAAUACGAGACACGGAGGCGAAGGGUGGUCGGAGUCGGGAAGGCGUCGGCGGCAGCUCUGCUCGGUCGCGGCGCUUGUGGGAGCAGAGAAGAGGCUAGGACUCCGAAGGCAGAAGAAUAUUUUGGUAGACAAAAUUUUUCACAAUUUAGUACUAGGUAUAGAUAUAGAUAUACACAUGCAAACAAAAGUGCUACAACCAAAACAAAAAAAAAGAACUAAAUAGCCCAUUCCUCCUAGGGACUCUUGCCCGGCGGGCGCACGCUCAGAAUGAUGUUGACACACACGCGCUGGGAGCCAACAGCAACGCGCGCAUGUUGUCAUCUGUGGAUCCUGAAGCAGUUUUCGUUCUUUCUUCUCGUGUCUAGUUGUAGCUCUACUUCCUUCCUUCCUUCUCAUGUCUGAUUUUAGCCUAGUUUUGUUUCUUCCUUCUCGUAUCUAGUCUCUACUUUAUACGAGUUGAAUUACAAAACUAUACGGAUAAUACGUGCUGAAUUGGCCCAAUUGCCAUUUUAUAUUUCUCCUACGUACCUAGAUUCACGGCCCAACAUUUGAAUUUUAUAAGCUUUUUAUUUCUCUUUCGAGAUAGCGGAAACGUGGGAGAUGAAACGGACGGGAGAAUGGUUUCACAUCUCUAUGGAUGCAAAACAAGUAUAUACAAAGUUAAUAUUAUCUCAUUUUAUGCUCCAUAAAAAUUUUUGCGAGCUUAUUCGAGUUCAAAUUCAGGAACUUUAUACUACCAUAUUUAAAAACUUUGUAUUUUUAAGAUUUAAAAUUUUGUAAUUUCAAACUUAAAUUUUAAAUUCAGGAAUUUUAUACUAGCACAUUUAAAACUUUCUACUUUAAAAUUUAAAACAUCGCAAUUUUAAAUUUUAUUUUUAAGGUUUAGGAACUUUAUACUAGCAUAUUUAAAACUUUGUAUUCAAGCUUCAAAAUUUAUAAUUUUAAACUUAAAUUUUAAAUUCAGGAAUUUUAUACUAGCAUAUUUAAAACUUUGUAAUUUUAAAUUUUAUUUUAAGAUUUAGGAACUUUAUACUAGCAUAUUUAAAACAUUGUAUUUCUAACUUAAAAACUUGUAAUUUCGAACUUUACACUUUAAAUUUAGGAAUUUUGUAUUGGCAUGUUUUAAGAUUCAAAACUUUCUAAUUUAAAAUUUUAUUUUAAAAUUUACGAACUUUAUACUAGCACAUUUAAAACUGUGUACUUCAAGCUUUGAAACCUUACAAUUUUAAGAUUUAAUUUUAAAUUGAAGAACUUAUACUAGCAUAUUUAAAACUUUCCACUUUAAGAUUUGAAAUUUUAUACUUUUAGUUUUUUUUUUAAAAAAAAUCAGGAACUUUAUACUAGCAUAUUUAAAAAUUUAUACUAGUACAUUUAAAACUUUAUACUAGCACAUUUAAAACCUUGUAUUUCAAACUUUGAAACUUGUAAAUUUAAAACCUUACACUUUAAAUUUAGAAACUUCAUACUACCACGUUUUUAUCUUUUACUUUAAGAUUCAAAACUUUGUAAUUUAACAUUUUAUUUUAAAAUUUAGGAACUUUAUACUAGCACAUUUAAAACUUUGUAUUUCAAGUUUUGAAAUCUUAUAGUUUCAAACUUUAUUUUUAAAAUUCAGGAACUUUAUACUAGAUAUUUAAAACUUUCUACUUUAAAAUUUAAAAAUUUAUACUAGCACAUUUAAAAUUUUGUAUUUAAAACUUUGAAAAUUGUAAUUUCAAAUUUCAAACUUUGUAAAUUUAGAAACUAUAUACUAGAACAUUUUAAACUUUUUACUUUACGAUUUAAAAAUUUGUAGUUUUAUAUUUUAUUUUUAAAAUUCACAAAAUUUAUACUAGCGUAUUUAAAAUUUUAUAUUUCAAGCUUUAAAAAUUUUGUAACACUCCAAGUUUUGAAACUUUGUACUAUAAUAUUAAAACUUUAUACUCCUAAGUUUAAAACUUUAUCAUAACGAAAAUUGUUUUGAAACAUAUCCAACAUUGAUAUACUUUUAUAGAUCUCAUCAUAACAAAUGUAAUGGUGCAAAAAUUAGAUACUUGACAAAAAAAUUAUCAUAUUUUAAAGUUUUGUGUACCAUAUGCAUAUUUCGUAUAAACGGGAUCAGACAUAGAUCAGAAAUGUGCAUGCGCCUCCCGCCCCUCCCAUGCGUCCACCCUCCAUGAUCAGUGACAGGGAAAGAAAGAAAACAAACCUAGAACGGAAAGUGGAUACCCAAAAUAGAAAGUGGAUAUGUACUACUUAUAGAUGUAAAAGAAAACAGAGCUAAAAUAGAAAGCGUGCAUGUGACUGGCGCACACAUGCUGAUUAAUGUUUGGGGCCCCUCCUCUCAGCCCUACCCCCUCGCACUCGCUGACACUCUACUCCAUGGCAAGUCUAUCCUCUUUCCCCUAUCUCUCCAUUGGUCCUCCUCUUUCCCCUAUAUACUACAAGAAACUUGUUAAUCCGUGCGAUUUUUUUAUAACAAAUUCACAUUUCGUCAUUGAUAGAUGCAAUCUGUGACGAUAAUUUUUAUUUCGUCAUGGAUAUUGCCCAAUGGAUAUUUUUAGCCCGCUAUCUCAGGACGAUUUUAUUAGAAUCGUCAUAGUGUAUGAUUUUAAAUUCGUCAUACUGUAGUUAGCCUAAAACAAUCGGACUGCUAUCAUAUGUUUGUGGCAAAGAAAAAAAUAAAAAUGUGUUUGCAAAAACAUUCAAACCCAAAUGAUGAUUUGUUAAAUUUUUUGAACUAGGUAAUUUUGUUACUUUGUUGCAUGUAUUUGGUGCAUAUGGUAAACCUAAAAAUAUGAUGCAUAUAUAGGAUGUGCGUAUGAUGUGAUUCUAACUCUAUUUUAUUUGUUUGCUGAUGUUUUGUGACCACAGCGGCGUGGCCCAUUCAAUCGUGCUCAGCAAGGCCAAAUGGGAGUCGAACCCAGCACAAACACAAAAAAAACAAACAUAUAUACCACCGCACCACCUGUUCACUCAUGGUUGAGUAGUAUUCUAUUUUACUUUUGUCCAUUACGGCAAGGGGCAAGGGCACAGGGCCCAGUGGCCCAGUAAGAUACCGUGAUGGCUUUUGUUCUGUUCCCAGUUCCUCACGAUGUGGACGGCGACUGUGUCAAGUCAGCUCGUGCUUCCCCUCACUAUUCCCCAAUCCAGCAAACCCUAAACUCGCCUCUCCGUUCUUGCUCGGCUCUAGCGAGCGGUGGUGCUCGACAUCGACGAGCGGCAGCAGCCGCCAGGGCGGGCGGACGGCAACCGGGGCGGGGCCUCCUGCUGGGCGGUCACAGGAGCGGCGGCAUGGCAGAUCUGCAGAGCAGCGCUACCGCGGCCGGGCAGCGGGGACUGCAACCUGCUAGGCCUGCCGAGGGACGCCAGGACAAUGCCGCCGACCCGCCGUGCAAGCAAGCAGUGGAGGUGAGGGACGACCACCGCAAGUAAGCAGCGGCCUGCGUGCAAGCAAGCAGCAGCUCUGUAGCUGAGCUGAGCAGCAGCGCAGCACCAGGCCACUUGGACGACCAAGAGCUCGAAGGUGAGGGAUUUCCCAAUUAGCUCCUCCACUUUUUUCUGAUCUUGUAGGUCAUCUAUUACUUUGCUAGAAGUUUAAUAAUUUUAAAGCAUAUUGGACAUUUUUGAUGGUAUGUAGGUAGUAACAGUAGCAUUUGUUUUUCAGCAGGCACACAAAAGGCAAGCCUGGAAAUCGGGAUUUCAGAAAAGUUUGCUGGUUUCUACUUCAACUGGUAUGUCUUGGUUUCUACUUCAACUAGUAUGUCUUGAUUUAUGAUAAGUCUGAUUGGGAUUAAGGUGAUAUUGCCUUGCUCUUUUGUUUUGUUAAUUUCAGUAGCAAUAGUGGCAUCGAUGGCAGGAUAAAAUUCCAUUCUCUUUGUUUGUCUACUAGUAAAAUCUAUCAAGUGUUAGCUUAAAAGUUGAAAUUUUAGAGCUACAGAUGAAUGACUGCUCCAUGUGUAUGUAUCUUGAUGGUUCCUGUUAGAAGAAAGGACAUGUAUUUCUUUGCUGUAAACUACAGCAGAAAUUUCUUGAACUGAAACUGACAGCCCAUCUACUACUUUGCUAGUAGUAGUUAAGAUUGAAAAGUCAUUUGCUUUGUGAGGGUGACAAAUAUGAAAUGAUUUUUCUGUCAGAUUGGUUUGAUACAUGCUAGUUUGCUGCUGCUGUUACUGUCUUCUAAAUCACCAAGCAGUAGUGUUAUAUUAUCUUGUCAUUGCAGUGAUAUUUGUUCUUGGAAUCACCAUUUGAUUGAACAUUUCUUUUUCAUGGUUUUCAGGAAAGGAAUUGGUGGAUAAACAAUAUGAAGAAGUGCUUGAUGAAAGAGCAUUAUUCGAGCAUCAUUCUACCGAGGCGGCUGCAUUGAUUAUUUGCUUAUUUGCGGCAUGGUGGAGAGACAAUAUUGGCUAUUUGAAUUAGUGUUUUUUUAAAUUGCCUCAUCAUCAAUGUGUAAACCUUGUGUAUAUAAACAUAUUUACCAAAAUAGUUGUAAAUCUAUAAUUUGAAAUGCAAUAAAGAAUUGUCAAAUAUUUCAUAUUUGUCAUUCAUAAAAGUUUGGGAUUUCCUACAACAAAUAUAGAUGGGCUAUCUAGUGAUAUAAGUAUCCAUGUCAUCAUCCACGUAAACAGUCUAGAUGAUGUGGCAAUUCAUUUGUGACGAUUUAGAACUGUCAAAGGUAAUGGGUUUGGGUUGGGCUAACUAGGUCUUGGGCUCAACUGUGACGGUUUGAGAUCGUCACAGAUUUUGUUAAUCUAUGACAUUUUUGUGAAAAUCGUCACGGAGGUUAAUCCAUGACGCUCAAUAGGUGACGUUCUUUGAAACCGUCACAAACGCUACAUAGUGACGAAUUUUUUGUGAUCUGUGACGGAAAUUUUUCAUCAUGGAUUAACAUAUUCCUUGUACCCCUUACAUCUGGCUAUGCGUGAGAGUAAUGGAGCCAUAAGCAUCACUAUUGCUCUUUAUCUCAUUCUCUACUGCUCUCUCACCACCACUAACCACGCAAUUGUCGUCCACUGCAUUGAGCCCCACCCUUUCACGGAGUCUUCCCUACCUUCAAGAACCCCUAGAGAUGAGUUCUCUAUUGCCUCCUGUCUUCCCGUGGUUUUUCCAAAGCCAACCGAGGCUUUUAUGCCAUUUUAAUCUCUGGAGAGCUCCCCACUACCCUUCGCGUCGCUCCUCACUGGAGUAACUGUUUGGGCCAGCAUAUGCCCCCAACUCCCUAUAGUCAUUGUAGACGGUAUUUAUGCCUUGUUUUUCACUAUCAUAACCGUCAACAUUUCACUCAUAUUGGGAAGAAUCCACUAGACAAGUAGUGACAUAGAUACAAAUAACAUGGUUCCACAUGUCAUUAUUUGGAUGAAGGUGGUCGAUUAGGUACUUUUUAGGGUCUUAGAGCUCAAAAUGAAAGAAGUAGCAAGACUACAAGUUUGCUACAUAAAUUUCAACAUCACAUAAGCAUAGAGCAAGAGAAAUGGAGCAAGGCUGACACCCUGGCCCCACAAUGAGGGGGUCGCCUGACCCCCACCCUAUGGGCCCAGUCAGUGUCAAGCUGGCACAAUCGAUGCUAACCUCCCUAAGCUAAGUCCCAACCCUUGGAUCACAAGUACAACUCAAACAAUAAUCAAGGAGCAAAGUACAAGGAUCAAUGGGCCCUUAACACAGUAACCAAAGCAAAUCAACAGAUGGCACUCUCGAUGACAAGCGGAGACAGCAGGAGAAGGAAGCUGGUGGGACCACCCUAACAUAAGGGGAUCAGCCGAUUAGAGCAUGUAUCUUAGGAAGAAAGACUACACUUGUAGCUUUAGUGUGAGAAUAGAGAGAAGAGAGUGAGGAGUUCCAAGGAGGAGUCCUGGCCUAUUAGGAGCUUCUCCAAGGUGCGCCUCAGCAGAUGCGAGUCUUCCUAUAAGUCUUACAUUUGAGUCUUUUAUAGCAUUUAAUAUUUUAAUCUAGUUCUUUGCGUAUAAAUCAUCUUACUGUGUGCACUGUUUUACUCUGGUAAAUUACUCGAAGCAUUAGCUACACUUAGAGUAAUAAGAUUAGUGUAGACGUGGUGUCUAGACUACAUAUUAUCAGUGUGGGCUGCUUGUCACACUACAAGACACCUACAGCGAGAGUGAUUGACCUCUCUAGGUGGAAAGUUCCUUGUUCGUGUGUUAGGCAAGUUAACUAUGGUGAAAGUCGGGAUGAGUAGGGUGCCGCCUCGGUAGGGGAGGUGGAAAACCUCUUUAACUCGAUCUACCAUUUUGGACACUGCCCCUAGUAAGGGAGGAGGUGGUAAACCUCACUUUAGGUAGAGUAUCAUCACCAAAUAUUAGUGCUAGUUAGACCUCUCUAUACCCAACAUUUACCCUUUGUUCACAUCCUAGCGAUCUUGAACCUAGUUAGUUCACUUCACGUUCCCUGUGGAAAUCACGAUACUUGGAAUACUCCGGGUGAACGAAGGCUACAUUGACUACCGUACACUUGCGAUAUAACCGUUUGCCACUUUUGGUGUCAACAGUCAUCCGAUCCCUACCCAGCCAUUACAAUUACAUAUCCAUUUAAUCUCAUUAAUCGGUCCACCGCGGAUCUGUGGAUAAGGUCCACCGCUCCGGUCCACCAUUGGGUUGCCGCCUCCACCCAAUCUCUGCAAGCGCCACCUCACCAAUGACCCAAUCACCACCGAUAGCCGCUAUCAUAUUUGUGAAAAUCCCCUCUUUUUCCCCUUUAUUAACCUGUCAUUCGUUCUCUUUAGAACACUGCUACAUGAUUGAUUUUGGGUGGUGUCACUUUUUUUUUUGCAGAGGCGGGCAUUCAGGAUGGCUUCCUCGGUUAUUCCAAGGCCGGCCGACCACUGAGCGGUCGCCUUGGUUAAUUUAACGGAGGCGGUCGCCGGUCGCCUUAUUGUGACCGCCUCGGUUAAUCACCCAUUAACCGAUGCGGUUAAUCACUUAUUAAGAAUUGUGUAGUAGUGGAAAGUAUUUCUAUUCUUGUUUAGGUCCCUUCCCUUUUUUGACUUUGAAGCCGUCCAUACCUCGGUGUAAAAUCAAUUUUGAUGUCUUUUAUUUUGAAAACAAGUACCAAUUAUUCACAAGAAUACCACCGGGCCCUAUUUAGGGCUUUAGGCUAUAAUAACUUCUCCGCUAUAGUUUCUUGACUCCAUGUUUUUUGCAUCAAUGUGUUCGUAACAAUGUGUAAAAUAUUUAUAAAACCUUUUCAUUCACCCUAUAUUUCAAGACUGAGAGAGUAGUACAUUUUUUUAAGGAAUGAGAGAGUAGUACAUGAUGGGAUGUCUCAAGAACAAUUUAUACAUACCCAAUUUAUUCGUCAACAAGAUUACAAUCCGAAUGCAUUAGUAUAUUAUAAAUUUCCGUCACAAAUACAAAACAAUACACAAGACUUCUGUUACGUUUAUAUGGCCCAGCGUACACGCUAUAUACGUACGCAAGACGUAUUACAUAUACGUUUUUUUUUAAGGAACUGGAGGGGCCUUGGCCCCUACAGGAAUGUAUUACAUAUACGUUGGCAAAGAUCAGAUGCUGGCUUAUUUCAUGGACGACCGGAAUUCCGGAUCAGAGCGCGCGCGUGUGGUGCCAUUUACGAGGCGAAGGAGGUGAAGCCGCCGGCGUCAGCGCCACCGCCGGCACGGCGGAACCGUGAGACGGCGCAGUCCGUGGCGAAGAGCCCCGAUGAGCGGUACUUGUCGGCGCCGCCCAUGACGGGCAUCUUGGCGCUGAUGUCGAGCUUGUUGACGUAGUCCGGGCGGUAGGUCUGUCCGAGCACGCCGUCGACGUCCUUGGUCAGGCCGCCGUGGAACUGGUAGGAGACGUCGAGGUGCACGAGCGAGUCCUUCCCCGUCUUGCCGUAGGCGUGGACGCGUGAGUCCUCGUCGGUGAUGGGCACGGCGUUGGCGGAGAUGGCGAACGCGCCGUCGAGCUCGACGACGACGGCGUUGGCGGCGGCGUCGGUGCGCGUGACGGUCAGCCCCGGCACGGCGCUCGACGCCCACCGCGCGCCCUUGGACGGCUCGACGUCGACGGGCUCGCCGUCCAGCGCCACCACCACGUGGUCCUCGUCCUCGUCCCACUCCGCGGCCCUGCGCGCGCCCACGUAGAGCCUGUGGCUGUGGGUGCCGUCGCCGGCGCCGAAGGUGACGCCGAGCGCCUGCACCCAGGUGAAGUCGCGGCCGGAGUCGGCGUUGUGGUUGCCCAUGAACCGCGCGUUGAUGUGGAGGCGGUCGUCGGAGACGAGGCAGAAGCUCUCGUCCUUCUUGCCGUGGAAGUAGAAGGUGUUGCCGUCGGCGCCCGUGAACCGCGGGUCGCCGCACGAGGUGCCCGGCAUCAGAUCACACACUGACGACAUCACCGGACAAGAUGAGAGUUAGUUCAUCAUGAAAUCUGCGACGACGCCAGAAAAUAGUGGAAUAUAUAUAUAUAUAUAUAUAUAUAUAUAUAUAUAUAUAUAUACACACGGUAGCGCUAUUCUACACCCUAGCAAGCCAAAUUUAAGCAGAAAAAAUACUGAGCAGUACUGAACAUCGUUCAGUAUCAUCCAACACUACACUCAGGACCACAAAAUACUGAAAAAUACUGAAACACGGGUACUGAACAAUACUGAAAUUUAUUAUGUAUAACACUUUGGUGUAGAAUAGUAUUCUACACCUAGGGUGUAGAAUAGCACUUAUAUAUAUAUAUAUAUAUAUAUAUAUAUAUAUAUAUAUAUAUAUAUAUAUAUAUAUAUAUAUAUAUAUAUAUAUAUAUAUAUAAUAUAAUAUAAAACACUUACUGCAGAAGGUGAGGCAGUAGGCGCAGUAGGCGAGGCACUUGUUGGGGCAGCGAGCAGGGCACUUGACGUAGCAGGAGGCGCCCCAGUCGGUGGUGCAGGUGAUCUCGUAGUUGCGCUUGUGGUGCCUGUUGGCGACGACGGUGGUGAACUUGCCAUUGCGAGGGGGCUUCUUGGGGUCCCCCGGCGUCGACGUCCUCUGGGGCUGCUUGCUGGGCUUCCGGGAGACAAACUGCGCCGACGCCGACGACGACAGCGCCAGCAACGCCACCAGCAGCAGAGCGGCAAUGGCUCCUCCACGGAUGGCCAUUGCUGCUAGCUGGACCUACUAGGACCGGUAGAGGUGAGUGAGUGUAGCCAAGCUGUAGACGACAGAGAUGAUGGCUGGCUGGAGAUGGGGAUGAAUUUGUGUUGUGUGCUCUCUGACGACCAUGGAGUCUUAUAUAUGAUCGAGGCGUGGCUUUUCGAGGGGCUGGAUGGAUUGGAUUGGAGGUGAAGUGGCUUGAGAGGCAAGUGGCGUAGUAGGCGGCAAAGUGAGAGUGCAGGCGUGCAUAUUCGUCGUCGUUCGCCCAGCGGCCGGAAUUAAGGGGUCGUCGUCUCACGGCGAUCGAGCUCAAGGUGGAAAUGAUGGCACGUAUGUCGUCGUCGUCGUAGCCGACUAGCUGUACGCGGCAGCCGGCAAAGCUACUGUGCAUGUUACUGGUAUGAUAUAUACCGUGCGCUACGCAACGUACGUGUAGUAUAUGCAGUCUCGGCUAGUCCAGCUUUUUCUUUCUCUGAGAUGACGAGGAUGGGAUGAGUUGACUUGCAUAAGUCAUAAAGGGCAUUUUAAUUUUUUUACUCUAAUAUUUCAUAGCGUUAUUUCUGAGACUAUCACAUUAACUAGCUUAUAAUAAAAUCUAGAUAAAACAACAAUUCUUAAUAUAUUGUUUCAUUUUGUUGUUUUAUAUAAACUGUCCAUAUAACAUUAACUACAUACAUGGCCACAUGGGUAAUUAGUGCCAUAUUUCUAGCUAAAAACAUCCGCAGGGUUAUCAGGGUCAGUUCACUACAUGAUAUAUUUUUUUUUUUUGAACUUUAGUCGUAGUGUUUUGCUAAAGGUUUUAUAAAUUUUAUCUGGAUUAACUGAGCCCAAUAAAUUAAACCCUCUAAAGUCUCCCUUUGGAAUAAUGUAGAUUGAGAAAACUGAGCCAAUCUAAGUUAGUUCUUGACUCCCUUCUUGAAAAUGUUGUCAUAUCAUAAAAAAUGCCUAUGUGAAACCAACUGCCCGUCUUUAGGAAUCAACAAUUUCUAAAGGCACCAAUCUCUAGUAAUCAUUUUACAUAAUUUGAUUUAGAACUUCGAAAGUUAACUACCACAUAUUACUACAUCACUACCGGGUCUAAACCCAGCAUCAAUCCGGGAGUGACAAGUGAUAAAAAGAAAAUGUGGUCCGUGAACUUAUACUAAGUAUUUGAUCUUAUAAACCAUUUCAACUUGUGAGGACUUAAAAUAGAAUUCCCAGGUCCUAAAUUUCAUAUGAAAAGUAGUAAACUAUAAAGAUGUAAAUCUCGUUAGGUACUGUAACUUUGAUUUAUCAUUUUCUCGAUCCAUCCGAUGUCAUUUUUUAGAAACUUCAAAAUAUUGAAUUUCAAACUAUGAAAACUUUAAAUAACAUUUUUGUGUGAUUUCAAAAUGUAGAGGUCAUAACAACAAAUUUGCAGAUUUUUUUGGUACUAUAACUUUAAUAUAAAGUUUGUCUUCAUAUGACUUUAUUUAUAAAAGUUAAAAACUUUACUAUGCUCCACCUAUUUUUACAGACUGGCUAAAUUGUUAACCGCCUCUAUAAAUCUCUCUGAGAUGGCAUGAAAAUAAGGCUGAACCACCUCUAAAAAUGCUAUUUUAAAGAUAGUUCAGCUUGCCAGCUAUCUCCAAAAAUCAAUCUAUAGAGACAGGUCAGGUAAGAAACUAUUUUUAGAGGUAGAUUCUAAUAAAGCUACCUCUACCACAAAAUAGAGAUGCCUCUAAAAAUGGUUUUUGUAGUAGUGUAUAUAAGUGUGAGCUUGUGCUGGUUUUUGUGUUGAAGUGUAUAUAAAAAAAACAAGUCAAAGAAAGAAUUGAGGAUUCUAUUUUUCUACAUACUUGGUAAGUCCAGGAAAGGUCAAUUUCUAGCAUUGUACCAAGUUAAAGUAUCUUAAUAAGUUUGACUAACUCUACGUAAAAACCACGUCAAUAUUUAUAAUAUCAAAUAAGUAUUGGUAGAUUAUCAUGAGAUAUAUAUUAUUAUAGUAUACUUAUUUAUCACCAUAAAUAUUAAUAUUUUUAUCCACAUAUUUGGUUAAACUUUAGAAAUUUUAACUAAUAAUAUUUCUAGAAUCACAUUCUUUGACCGAGAGGUAGUACAUAUCAAGCUUGUGUUUUUUUGUUGAAAGUCCAGCCAUCUGAAAUGAGAAAUUUGUGAUUCCGCCAAAUUCCUAGUCAAUAGAAGUCCUUUGCAUUUGAAGGAAAAACGAUGUAGAGUGUUGACCAAACUAAUGUUAGAAAAUUGAUUAUGCUAGGUUUUACUUUCAUUCUUGACUAGAAUGAGCUAGGGAGGAGGAGUUGACCUUCAUGUAUAUACUACUAUGGGAUUCGACUAAUCUACCGCAAAUCUUUGUUACCUAGCAUGUCCUAGUGAACUAAUUUCCUCUCUGUCCGAAGUCAUGCGUAUUUGUCUCGUACUAGCGCACACACACACAAACCAAGAACGGGGUACAUAUAAAAAUAAUAAAUUGGCUGUGCACUUUUUAAUUUUGAAACUUCUUAUAAUUGGGUUAGCCCGCGAAACCAUAUAUAUUUAAUUUUGUGGGGCGCAAAAUCCUAUAUAUGAGUUUGUAGGUUAGAGCAGGUAUAACAAUGGGCUUUUAUAGCCAAGCUAAUGCUGAUGUGGAGGAGAGAAGAGAGGAGAAAGAUGAUAGUUUGGCUCUCAGGCUAAGCUCAAUACAUGUUUCAUGAGAAUGUCAUAAAACUAUGCAUUGUGAGACUGGCCUCAUGUAAGCACCAAGCUGGGCACGGAUGCAUAGGUAAUGAUUGGUCCAAAUAGCAAGUGUUGUGACAAGGAAUAGGAAAGAGAAUAUAUUUUACAGAUAAGUAUGAGACAACUUAUUGUAUAACUUAUUGGCUCUAAUCACUUGGCUUAUAGCCAAGCACUUGGCUCUAUUAUUGACCUUGCUCUUAUAGCCCAUUUACAUCCAUUACUACUUACCUAUAAGCAACUAAAAGAUUGACUAGCAGACACCACAAGCAAAGUUACACCCGACGGCAAUACAUCGUCACUUAACAUUGGAAGAAUACCGUCAUUUCUUCGUAGAAGGGGGGCAAAAAAUCCACACACCACAUGCAUGCACCGAGUCGACGAGGAUUUGAACGUGUAAGCAACUGAGCUGUAUCCUCUGUAUGUUCACAAUGCAACCACACACAUCAACCUAUCAAAUAGGACAAAACAUAGUCAAUUGAGUGUGGUUAUAAGUUGGGCGUAUGCGUAUCUAUCCGUGUUCGAUCGAGUGACCCUUCAACUAAACACUUUCUUGUUUCAGAUGUAGCGCUGGUGUUCAUUUGAGUGACAUGCACUCAAAAUGCAAGUAAAGAACAUGUUGAGCCGUCUGGAGUCGUGCGCGUUUGCUAGUCAAACUAACCCAAAUUGGUGGCGCUCGCGUACAUGCAUGCGCCGGCCGGCUAUAGAUCAGCGCCAUGCACCACACCACCAGCUGAAGCCGGCUGGGCGUCGGCACAGCCGGGAGUAGCACGUUAUGUUACGCGCACUAACUUUUUCCUUUCUGAGACUCGUACUAACUGCCUAUAUUGUAUAUAUGCAUGUACACACAAAGAAAAGAAAUUAUUUCCUUGGCCCUAAAAAAUGCUGCUUAGGCUUUGUUUAGUUCGCGAUAAAUUUUGUGUUUCGCUACUGUAGCAUUUUCGGCUUUAUUUGGUAAUUAUUAUUCAAUUAUAGACUAACUAGGCUCAAAAGGUUCGUCUCGCAAAUUACAAAUAAACUGUGCAAUUAAUUAUCUUUUUUAUCUAUAUUUAAUGCUUCAUGCAUGUGCUGUAAAAUUCGAUGUGAUGGGGAAUCUUGAAAAUUUUUGAGAACUAAACAAGGCCUUAGUUUUGUAGCCUCUUUUUUUCCCCCGAAUUUGCUUAUUUCACCCUAAAACGAAUUUUCUUUGGUUUCUUGGCCCUUGCGUUGGGCUAACAGUGCCGAAAGCAACAGUUCAGCAACCUACAGUCAGGUCUUUCAUGGUAUCUACUAUCAAUAAUUUUUCCUAAAAUAAAUUAUAAUAUUUUUUCAAACAUGGAAUCAUUGUUUUUAUAUAUAUUUGUAUAUGACAACAUCACACUUGGACAAACCUUGCAACUUUUAUAUGUAUUUGCAUUUUCCCAAAAUAAUGUUGUCAUAUGCAAAUAUAUAUAAAAAAUAAUGAUGUCAUAUGCAAAAAUAAUGUUUUCAUAUGCCCUUCCGUUACAUUUGCAUUUCCCAAAAUAAUAUUGUCGUAUGAAAAUAUAUAAAGAACAAUAAUGAUUCCAUGCAUGAAAAAUAUUGUACCUUAUUUUGGUAAAAUUAUUGAUAGUAGGUAGCCUGAAAGACCUCAAUAGAACAACCAUAGGUCGUUGAACUAUUGGUUUCAUUCGGGCACAAGGGUAAAAAGGGCCAAGAAACCAAAGGAAAUCCAUUUUAGGGCCGAAUAAACAAGUUCGAGAGAAAAAGGGCGGGCCCUGUUUUGCUGGCUAGAAAAAAGUUGUUGUUGAUGCUGAUUUAUUAUGAGAGAAAGAUAUUGUUCUAUAGUUAAAAAGUAAUACCGAUAAGUUCAAACGAACAUAAAGUAAGCAACACUACUUUGUUUAGGGCCAAGAACAACUUUUUUAAAAAAAGGAAAGAGAAAAUAGAAGAAGGGCCGGUAGUAAACAUGGACCGAUCCGCUCCUUAUUGGGCCCUCCGCGUGUGGGUGGGGACAACCGAACGAGUUGAUUGUAUUGGUGAUGCAAAUGAUUCGGCCCAACACAUAAACGUGAAUUUCAAACGCAUGAUAGAGGAUCUGCUAAUAAUAAUAAGAGUGGCCCUUUAACUUGUCAGCCUGUGCCACUUUGGUCCAUGAACUUGCAAACUCGAAAAAGUGACCUCUGAACUUGUCCGCCUGUGCCACUUUGAUCCAUGAACAUGCAAACGCGAAAAAGUGCCCCCUGAACUUAUCGACCUGUGCCACCUUGGUCCAUGAACAUGCAAAAACGAAAAUAACACCAGUUGCAUGGUAUUGUUCUGCCACGUGGCCGCCUCUGGUAGGCCAUGCAUGGCACCGUUUAUGGUGUUGACAUCAGCGAUGAUGUCAGCACUUCUUUUUUAAUUUACGAAAUUGAUAUAUUUUUAUUCGUAGCCUCAAAUAUAUCAAAUAAUAUAUCAAUUCGUUGCAUUUAUUAAUUAAAAGAGAUAAUUUUAAAACAAGCAAAAAUUAUUCGUUUUCUAUGUUUCAUAUUUUUCCUAGGCAUAGUACAUCAUGAAGAGGCUUCACAAAACAUUUCAUGAAUUUAGCAUUUCACUAAUAAUUAGUUAUGAAAUAAACAAAUAUUUGUUGACGCGUUGAAAGAGCCUUUACACGCAUGGACCAAAGUGGCACAGGCCGACAAGUUCAGGGGUGAAAGGUCCUAAUAUGGCUAGAGGGGGGGUUGAAUAGCCUAUUUAAAAAAUCUACAAACUCACUAGAGCAAGGAGUUAGUAAAUAACAAAGCAAAGCUUUUUGCUCUAGCUCUAAAAGGGUGUUUGCAAGCCACCUACCCAACAAUUCUAGUUGCUAUGAUCACUAUGCACACAAGAACUAAGCUACACAAGGCAAAGUAAGCAACUAAACUAAUUACACUAGUUUGCGGUAAGUAAAGGAUAGGAUGAGAUAUUUAUACCACCGUGUAGGGGAUGAACCAAUCACCAAUAUAAACAAUCAAGCACCGGGAGAAUGCCAAUCAAACAUAAUUGAGACACCGAUUUUUCUCCCGAGGUUCACGUGCUUGCCGGCACGCUACGUCCCCGUUGUGUCGACCAACACUUGGUGGUUCGGUGGCUAAGAGGUGUAGCACGAACCUCGUCCUCACUAGGACACCACAAGAACCUACCCACAAGUGAGGUAACUCAAUGACACGAGCAAUCCACUAGAGUUACCUUUCGGCUCUCCGCCGGGGAAGGUACAAGACCCCUCACAAUCACCGGGAGAUGGCCACGAACAAUCACCAACUCGUGCCAAUGCUCCUCCGCUGCUCCAAGCCGUCUAGGUGGCGGCAACCACCAAGAGUAACAAGAAAACCGCAGCUAGAACGAUCCCCAAGUGCCACUAGAUGCAAUCACUCAAGCAAAUGCACUUGGAAUCACUCCCAAUCUCACAAAGAUGUUUAAUCUAUGAAGGAGAUGAGUGGGAGGUGUUUGCUUAGGCUCACAAGGAUGUCAAGUAUGCUAGAAUGCCAAGAGUGUGAGCCCCAAGCCAGCCAAACACGUAUUUAUAGCCCCUCAAACAAAUAGAGCCGUUGGCUCUUUCACUGGGCGAAAUACGGGGUCACCGGACGCUCUUAAAGGGGCACCGGACGCUCAACACCAGCGUCCGGUGCUCCAACGUCAGCCACGUGUCAUGCUCGUGUCAGAAUCUAACGGUCACCUGCAGUGCACCGGACGCUGAGCAAGUGAGCACCGGACGGUCCGGUGCACACCGGACUCAUGCGCAGAGAGCUCUGCAAACUUGCAUGUUCACCGGACGCGAGCCACCGGACGCACCCUCAGCGUCCGGUGCUCACCGGACCCAUGCGCAGAGAGGGUCGCAAAACGCCCGCACACCGGACGCUAACCACCGGACGCUCAAGCCAGCGUCCGGUGCCUGUCGUCCGGUGCCUAACCCUAACCGAGUCAGGCAGCCUGCACACCGGACGCUCAGACACAGCGUCCGGUGCCUCUGAGCCAGCGUCCGGUGAGUGUUUUCUCAGCGAGAAACACUCCCGCGACUUCUCCAAAUUUCCCACCGGCGCAAUAGAAAAUAUGCACUUCAUUUUCUCGAAAAGCGCCGAAUCCCGCCUCGCAAGCUCGGCGGGAGGGAGAGAGGAACCCAUCCCCUCUCUACUCUUGAAACUCCACCUCCUUAUCAAAGUGUGCCAACACCACAACGUGUGUACCAAACGAGCGUGCACGUGUGUUAGCAUUUUCACAAUCAUUUUCUUUGAAGGAGUUAAGUUAGCUCACUAGGUUCUAAAUGCAUGCACAUGAACAAAGACACCUAGUGGCAAUUGAUAACCGCUUAGCCAAAGAAUUCCCCUCUUUAUAGUACGGCUAUCUAUCCUAAAUGUGAUCACACCCUCUAUGGUGUCUUGAUCACCAAAACCAAAACCCUAAGCAAUACCUUUGCCUUGAUCUCCAAAGAGUUUUGUUUUUCUCUUUCUUCUUUUCCAAGUUGAGCACUUGAUCAUCUUGUGGUCAUCACCAUCAUCACCAUGAUCAUUACUUGCUCCAUCACUUGGCAUGUACCAACCUCAUUAAGUCUACACACACUUAGUAUAGAGGUUAGUACUAGGGUUUCAUCAAUUAUCCAAAACCAAACUAGGGCUUUCAAGGGGCCACUGUUUUGCGUUUGUAAGUUCAUAGACCAAAGUGGCACAGGCGGACAAGUUCAGGGGUCACUUUUUCGGGUUUGCAAGUUCAUGGACGAAAGUGGCACACGUUGACAAGUUAAAGGGCCGCCAGUGUAUUUUACUCUAAUAAUAAUAUCUACUAUAAUUCACCUAACAGAAUUAUGGUUGGUCCACCAAAAAAACUACUCACGUUGUGGGCCUCAAUCACUAUGUAUCUCUACUAUAAUUUAUCAGACAGAAUUAUGCUUGGUCACAAAAAACCACCCCCGUUGAGGGCUAUCAUUAUGUAUAUCCAGGAAACAUAUACAUAAUUUUGUCUCCAUCAAAAUCAAUAUCUCAAAACCAAUCAGAACCAAAUCCAAUGACUGUAGAGAAAAAUUUAAAGCCUGUAUCAAACUCCUCACCCCCUCCCGCGCUCCUUCCCCCUCAUGCGAUCGAUGCUAGUGCUCUACUCCCACGCCCGCAAAAAUCACGGACAAAGGGGCAGCGUCGACUAGCUCCGGAAGGAUCGGCGCACCCUCCCCCUCCCCCCACCCGGCCCCCGAUUGUGAGAUCCACAUCAACAGCGGUAGAUCACCGCCAGUGCCAUUCUGCAACUCGUGCUCGGUGCCGAGUGCAGGGCAGAUGCAGGGCCUCGCCCCGCUCACGCUCAACACCGGAACUAAAGAUGAAUUUUUACACGAAAUUCAAAACCCGAUAGGUAAUUACCUCAUUAGGGUAAGGGUAUGACAAUUUUUUUACCCAUAGGUAAGAUAAUAGGAAAAAAGCUUUACCCGGCGGGUAAAGCGGGUGGAGUAUGGGACUGCAUUGCCCAUACCCAUUAAGCCAUGUGUAAUUUUAACCCGAUUCAAUAAGUUAGAAUCAUGGGCCAAAAUCACCAUACACAACCCAAACCCAGUAAAAUCAUAUAUAAUGCUGUCAAACCCUACGCCCUCACCUUAAUACCUCACCCACUUUCCUCUAUCUCCUUGCGGCGGCCACACAGCACAGGAACUUGUGAAAGUUGCCACUUGUUAUCUAGUAAUGAUGGAUUUAUCUAUUAGAUUACUUGAUCAGGUGUUCAUGGAGCUUGUAUAUUUGAUAAUUUUAUUAAUGACUUGUGAUGCUUUGACUGAAAUUGGAAGCCUGAAAUAUUUAAAUAUGUAUUUAUUUUUUGCAAGUAUUCUUGGAAUCAUGGGUAAGGAUAACCCAUGAGUUACCCGUUACCCGCGUGGGUAAGGGUAUGGGAAAAAACUCUUACCAAUACAUGGGUAUGGGUAAAUUAGUGGGUAAAGUAUUUUCUCGUAGGUAAAGAUAUGGAUAGCAUAUACACAGCGGGUAAUUACCCAUUGCCAUCUUUAACCAGAACGGGCAGCACUGUGUGUGUGGUGGUGGUGGAGGGGUGGGGGGCUAAGAGCGUGGCGGUCAAUAGGUGAAGGCAACGCCAGGACACCAAUGGAGCGCCUCCGACUCAUAUCCAACCCCCACCGAUGCGAAGGCACAUGAGCUAAAGUUUCAGUCAUUUGUGAGAAGGCGAGCGAAGACUGACGGCGGCACGUGAGAUGAGAGCAUGUGUGGGUGUGCGGCCACACCUUGGGGCCACGCUCCUCUUGCGGCAGUCUGUCACUUACGCCUCUGGUGUCACUCUCCCAUGUAGACAACCGCCCCAUCUUUUCUCUAGCAGGGUAACAGCACCAGCUAUUGCUUUGCUUCUUCCCUGUCUAUUUGCAUCUGCGGUAAGGCUUCACAGAAGGCUGGAGAGUUUAUAUUUCAAGUCUCCGUCUCAUGUUAUCGAAAGUUUAUUUUCAAUUUAUAUUUCAAUUUCUUUGGGCUUUGCAGGAGGUUGACAAAGUGCAAGAAAAUUUGGAGAUGAUAAAGAUUCUGAGCACAAUUCUGAUAGCCUUGAUGGCCCUGACACUGCGUCCUUCACAACAUUCUUGAUCUCAUUUUGUCAUCAUCGAGCUCUGAUAAUGAUUCAAUGGAGAUCAUUCCUGAACAGAAUGGGGACAUGGGAUACCCUACGUUAACACCCAUGGGGAAGGGGAAGCAAGGGAAGAAUAGGUCUGAUAGGUAAGGGGAAGCACUCAUGUGGGAGCCUCCAGCACUGGGUCUGCCCUUUUUAAUUAAGGCGCCAAGGAUUGGUGUAAUUGCAGAGCCAAAAAUUGACAGGGAGGCAGCAACUCAUAUUGAACCAGAUGCACCUGUAAUGGAGAGGCAGAAACCAAAGGAAGUUGCUUACUUCAGUAGUUUGCCAACUAUGCCGGAACCAUCUGUUCUUUUGUCAGAACUGAUGCAAUCGAUUCUUUAUGCCUCUCUCCCGGUUCUUUGCCUAGGGAAGGAACUGGGUCUUGCGAGAUAGGUUUAAGAUAUCUCCUAUUCUGAUAUGUUCUAACUUUUGAUCAUGUGUCUCUACUAUUAUCUAAUUUUUAUGUUCAUAGUUGUGCAGUACAUGGAGGCAUGGCAUAUCUUUAUCUACUUUAUAAUUGUUCAGAAGGAGCAUGCUUUGCCCUGGUUUCUCACUCUUGGUAAUGUUACUAUUUCCUAAGUAGCUCAAAUGUUAUGUUUUUUUUUCACUAUUACUUCAGAGACGAUAGCCUAUCUCACUAUUUUUAUCCAUUUCAUGGAAAUCUUCACCAUCGUCUCUUGGCAAAUUUAGAAGCAAACAAAUGACAUAAUAUUUGAUAGAGGAAGGUCUUUUUAAAUUCUUGGAAGGUUCUCUUUCUUGAGGAGGCUAAACUUUAGGCACAUAAAUUUCUUGAUGAGGCCAAACGAGCCACUUUUCUUCUUUGUGUAGAGCUUCUUGUUUAGUUAUGUUUUGUUUUUCUUUUGGCCUUUUUAGGCCGGCCCCUGCCAAAUAUGUUUGUAUAGUUUUUUCUCUCUCUUUUAAUAAAAGCCUACAGUGGGGGCAUCCCCUGCUAUAUUUAAUGUUCAAAAAAAUAUUUUUGAUGUACUUUUUGGUUAAAUUUAGCUGUAUAAUACACAUUCUUUUAAUGGCGUAUUGGCUUAGAGCAAUUCCAACAACUUGGGUAUUCUUGUUGUGGAGGCUAUUUUGGAAUUUGCAUAACAAAAAGUAGACUCCAACAGAUGUGCUAUCUAGUUUUGUAAAAUAGAAAGUUGGCUAUUCCUUAAUUUUCGCUGGCCAUGUAUAGCCAACCACUGACACAAGCUAUAUGAUUUUGUAAAAUAGUAAGACUAUUGUGGAUCUAUUUUUUUUUUAAAAAAGUUUUCUACUUUACAAAAUAGCUAAACAAUAGAAUUUGGCUACUAAUUUUAGCCGGGCUCUUGGAGUUGCUCUUAUGUACCAAACAAAUCUUUCCUAUAAUUCACUUAAUAGAAUUAUAUACUUGGUCCACCCAAAAAAACCACCCCCGUUGAGAGUCUCAACCAUUAUGUACCUAGAAAAACACAUAUAGGAUUUUGUCUCUAUUAAAAUCAAGAGCUAUAUGAGCAAAACAUUAAAUAAUAUAUAAAAAAUAAUAAUUCCGGAGACCAAACAUGGUAGUUGUACCAAGGAUGUUGGUGAUAUCGGGCGUAGACAUUGCAAUGUCCCAGAGCGUGUUGUCGUAUGUGAGAAUACCGCCGCCGCGCAGAUCAGCCGCAACAUCCGCUCGUGAUAUCCUAAUAUUUGCCGCAACAGUCGUGGAUCAGCCGUCAACAGCCGCGGCCAUCCACAAGAAACGGAUCGCACGCUGGAUCGAUGCUCGGUUCGUCAGCUGGGACGUCGUCCCGAUGGCCGCUGGAUCGUGAGCCUCUGAUGCAUGCGUGCGACGCUAGGGCCGAGCCCUGGGAGGCUGGCGGUGGCGUAUGCUUCCGAUGUAUUUGCGUCAGUCAAAAAGAGAACCUGUGGGCCUCCAGCCCAAACGGUGCAGCGAGAAUUGACUCAUAUUCUUUUUAUCAUAUAUCUAAGGCCUUGUUUAUUUCCACUCAAAAAUCUAAAAUUUUUCAAGAUUCUCCAUCACAUUGAAUCUUUAGACGCAUACAUGAAGUACUAAAUAUAGAUAAAAAUAAAAACUAAUUGCACAGUUUGGUGGAAAUUUACGAGACGAAUCUUUUGAGUCUAUUUAGUCCAUGGUUAGACAAUAAUUAUCACAAACAAACGAAAAUGCUACAGUGUCACGAAAUUUUUUUCCUUCACCAACUAAACACGGCCUAAGCAAUCUAAAAUUAUAUAGCACACGUGAUUAUCAUCUUAUACUUGCGGUUGUUUCUAUAAAUUGUUUUAUGCCACCUAUAAAAAAAUUGUCUAUGAACUCAAAUAUCUCAAUAUCACUAUUCUUAUUUCAUAGCUACGUUCCAGGUAUAUCGUCCCAAUUAUUUAGGGAUCCCAUUCCUCGUCAUGAACCAAUCGUCCCAAAGAGGCAUACCCCUUACGAACCGGGAACUUAAAAUUAUCGAUCCACAUCCCACGUUCCUCGUACCUACAUACCGGAAACUUUUGUGAUUGUGCUUCUUUUAUUUUGGAUGUAGCUGUCUUGCAGUACAUGCUGUAUAAAAUUCCCAAAAUUCUUUGGAACUUCUUGCGCUGAUGUAAAAACAGCAAAAUACAAAUGUAUUUUAUAAUCUCCUUUACUCACAGCACAGCCAUUCUUGUUUCUGUGGCUAAAUAUAUUUUAGUAAUCUCCUCCCCUCAUCACUGAUAAUGUCUAAUUGUGUGAUGCACAUGCUAAGUGGCUAACAAUGUAGUUCAGGAAAACAUGCAAUAGGUUAUUAGAAGAAUGUUGAGAUGACCAUUCAUAUAUAUUCUAGAAAUGAGUAAAAUAGGAAACGUAUCUGGUGCAAACCAUAACUUCAUGAAAACCUAUGCAAACCAUGACAAAAGAGUUAUCUGAAUUCACCAAAAAAAUCACACAAGUAGAUGAUAUGAUGAUACACAACCUUGUAAAAUAUCUUAUCCAAACUCGAAUUCGUUUAUGAUAUAUAAAAAUAACAAAUUUCAAUAAUCUUUUCUUUUUGUGUUUGCUUUACUGACAUGUUCGUUCACAUUAACCUGCAAUGCAGUACAGGUUAUUACUAUAUGCAUGUUUUCAUUCUUUGAACUUGCACCAAAUUUUGUUAACCUAAAUCAGUUCAAGCUAUUAGAGUAUGGCUAUCCCGCUUACUUACUCGAUUCUCUUGCAAUUAGAGUAUGGUUAUCCCACUUACUUACUCAUCUCUUGCAAUUAGAGUAUGGAUUAACCAAACAUGUUUUUAGGAGAUGGUGGUCAUGAACUCAUGAUCACGUUAGGUGAAGGCUUGGCAAAUCUUCGACAGCCACGACAACCCCAAUGUCGAGGUGCAUUUUGCUGUCUUCCAAGGACUGUGAAUUUUUGAGUGCUCUGUGUUGCAUUGUUCCUCAGCCAGUGGUUGGCUUGCUUAGGUGUGUCGAGGGAUUUGAGUGGUGAGAUUAGUCGAUGUUCUGUUGCUCAAUGACACUGUGUCUUUGUUGGUUGUGGAUUUUGAUUCAAAAGAAGAGUUGUCCCAAAAAAUCAACAGAAGGGUUAAUCUUAAUAGCCCUUGUUACCAGAGUUUAUAUAUAGUGUUGCAGUCACUGAGACUAAAUUUGAUCAUUUGGUCAAUUUUGAUGCAUGGAUAGAGGCGUCUUUCUUCCUGUAUGUUGCUAAGUAUGAUUCCACAAUGCUUGUCAGUAUAGGAGUCAUUGAGACGCCUUUUCGUACGAGAAUAUCUUUCUAUUCAGAAUGCAGGAGUCGACGCCUUUUUAUAGAUAAAUUAUCAGUAUAGGUGCCUUGUGUCAGUUUUGCUUGUGCCAAAGUUUUUGUGGCUUCAGUUAGUUGUCAAACAACAUUUUAGAAAUUAACUGUUGUGACUUCAUGAUUGCUGCUCUAUUUUUGACUUACAUAUCAGGUUUCUUUUGCUCCUUUACUGAGCAGCACUAGGGCAACAGGUGGCUGUUGACACUUCUUAACGCAAUUCCUAAAAAUAGACUUUUAAACCUAUCCCUAGCAACAGCGUCAAAAUUACUUAAUAUCACUUAAGCUAGGUUGUCAUCCCUAACAUGAUGUAGAAGUGCUGGUAUUAAAUCUAUAUGCUUUUCUAGGAAUAAAUAAAUAAAGGAUCCGCAAGGGCACAAAUAAUACCGAUGUAGUAUUUUAACCAGGAGUAUUCCAGGUAUCAUUAUUUAUAUUUUUACCACUAGGAAGGGACUUGCAAUGGAUAAUGAGCAAUGAGCACCGCAUGUAAUCAUGGAGACCUUAACCAUGCCUUUAUCUAUCUCUCAUGCAGGGUAAGUGUCACAUAAGAUAAAUAUAUGAAUAUGAAUAAUAAGUGACAGAUGAUAAAUAAGAAUUCAUAGCCAUAAGAUAAACAUGAUAAUCAUCUCAAUUAGAUUACUCUAAGUCUAUAACACUAGCAUAGUAUUAGGACAAUCUACAAGAAUAAAUCCUAAGUAUUCUAACUAUAUUGUCAAAGCAUACUUUAAUUAGUGCAAGUACACUUAGCAUCGUCACUAGAAAAUGUUAUAUCUAUGCAUAGUGAUAUUAGCAAAAAAGAUCAGGAACAUAACAAUCACUUUCCUGUAAUAAUGGUGCUCUACAAUCCUUAUAAUCGGGAGAAGGAAUACAAAGGACUCAAUAGGACUGUCACUCCCGUGAUCUAUCUCAAGCUCCAGACUAUAAGGGGUAAUCGCAGAUAAAUACGGUCUAGGUACCUCGCCUACACAAUAUCUAUCACUUACCCAUCGGCCUAAUGAGUAAGCGCUAUAUGAUCCUAUGCAUAAACAUAAUUCUAAUCUAACUACGCUAAGCAUAUAAUCAAAGUAGUCUAAGAACAAUAUAAUUGAGAACAUAAGCAAAUAGAAUAAAGUCAAUUAUGAUAUAAUCAAAUAGAUCAAAGUCAUAUUCAUAGUAGCAAGAACUAAUAUAAAUAUAACAAAAAGAAUAAGAGUUUACCAAGAACUGAAGAUAGAUCCGGACCUCAAGAUUGACUUGACUCCAUCUAGAUCUAUUCCUAUGUAGCUAUGCUAAAGAACUAUAGAGAUCUAAUUAAGAUGGUGGCUAAGAACCUAUAGAGAUAGAUCCAAUCGAGGGAUCCCUCUCUGUCUAAUUCUUCUCAGAGAAUAAUGAACUCUUAUUAUUAUCUCUUCCUCCAGGGGGGUCAUGGUAUUAUUUAUAGCUCCCUAGGAAGCACCACAGCCUUUGGAUCAAACUGACUUAAACGUGCGUUUAAGAUUAAUCCUCAAAGUCGGUGGAUGCAGGAUCCACGAGGUGGAGCCUGAUUGGCUCUACCCACUGGGUGGCCACCCCUGACAAGGUGGGGCGCCCGCCCCUGCCCUAUGGCAUGUGGACCCCACCUUUCAAGUGGUGUCUUCCCAUGUCUUCUAGAGUAUUCCUGAGUUGACGUUUCACGUAUUCUCUCUAUGUAAAUCUAACAUGUGAACCUCCUUUUGUUCUUAUUUCGAUAACCCCCUGCAGAAAUAGACAAUCACCAAAACUUGUGAAAUUCUGUUAGUGAUAACCCCUAUAGCUAGAUAGUCUUCUGAUUUAUGUCCUUUCUCAUGCUAUGUUGACGGUUAAAAAGAGUACUUAUAUCGUUUGGUCAUUUUAUGUGCAUCCCUGAAAUGAAGUCGUGGCAUUAGCACGUGCACUCUACUAGUUUCUAUAAUAUACUAAAAAUGAUGCAAUGAAUUGGAAUCUCUCUAAGUUGUCUUGUUAUACUCAAUUUAUGUUACGAAAUACCACCGUAGUUCAAUUAUUUUUCAUUUGCAUCCCUCACCUUAGUUUAGUUUUUUCAUAUGCAUCCCUCAAAUGAAGCCGUGGCGUUAGCACGGAUAUUAUACUAGUAAUAAAAAAAAGCAUGAUAGAGGAGGAUAAGAGGAUCCCUGUCGCCAAACAACGGAAUCAGCACGCGCCUGGCGCCUUCCCUCGCAGAAGCCGCACCGUGUGCCCACAACGUUUGUCAUCAUUGGGGGAUGGAGGCUAAAAGGGGGCUAGUGAGGCAGACAUGGAAGAUACGAAACUGCACUACAAAAGGAGAGAGGGAGGUACAGAUCGGUUGAGGGGGGGAGGUAUAGGGAAAAUGGGUCAGGCAAAGGCUUGGAUCAAAUUAUGGGUCCAUUGUUCCUGAUCACUGCUAGCUAGCAAGUGUAAAAAUCUAACAGUGAUGCAACCAAUGCCGAUUUUUAACUUCGACUGAUAGUGACAAUGAGCUAUCACUCUUGGUGGAUUUAUAAAAUUCUUCAACUGAUAGUGACAAUAAGCUAUCACUUUGGUGGAUUUAUAGAAUUGAUAGUGAUGCUCAUUCCCCUUACAAAAGAUAGUGAUAACUUAUCACUGUCAAAUUUGAUGAAAGUAAUAAUACUAAGAGUGUUAUGCAUUUUUGAGUAGUGAAUGAUGAUGUAUUACUAUCGAUGUUUUGCAUAUGAAAUUUGGACUCUAGAUAAAUAUUUGUGAUUAGGAAUACUAAGACUGAUUAAUUAGGAUUAGCACCAUAUUUUGGGUCCAUUUGGUGGGGCUUCGGCUCUGGCUUCUCACGUGGAGCAGCUUCUAUGGUCGAGCUAAAUCCAUUUUGAAAAACAUUUGGCAAAAAUAGCUCUAGUGGUAGUUUUGUAAUAAUUUGUAUUAGGUUUGUAAAGGAGUCAAGAGAAACCACGUUUAUGUGGCUUUGACUCUAGACAUAAACGACUCUAGCCCCUUGGGCUCAUUGCAAGAAGCUGCUUUUAAUGGCCAAUAGCAAAGCUCCUUGUAAGGAGCCGUGAGAAACCGGAGUUGUAGCCAUGCUAAAUGGGACCUACUAAUUCUACCAUAUUGGACUAGUAUUAGUAACCAAUAAAUGCAUAUGAUAUUUAGACACUAGAUAAAUAUUUAUGGUUAGGAAUGGUAAGAUUGAUUGAUUAGAAUGAGGAUCAUAUUUGAUGCUGCCAUACUGAUAUAGGAGUACUAUUAUUAGCAACCAAUAAAUGCACUAGAGACAUGAUACUUGAGUUAGCAGCGAAUAAAUGCAAACCUAUAUCAGAUAAGUGUGUACCAAAUGUUUUGGUUUCAAUAUGGUAGAAAUUGACUGGCUAUGAUUAAUUUGCUUGUGGCUUCGGUCUAUAUAAGGAAGGACCCGCACCAUGAAAGAGCAUCAAGAAACCAUUAAUCUCUCACUGAAGAAGAGAUUAGCUAGAUUAUAUUCAUGGCGCUACUCAAGACAAGCUCCAAGAGUACUCUAGUUUUCACCAUCACAUGGCUCCUAAUUGCACUUGUUGCUACGACUGAAGAUGGUGACACUACUCUAGAUAAGCUCGGAGGACUCUGCGAGAAAGUAGCAAAAGGUCCAUGUACAGAAAAGGGGUGUGGCUCAAUGUGCGCCGUCAUAGGCUUUAAUGGUAUCGGGAACUGCAACGGUCCCUACUGCUGCUGCAACCCAAAAUCCUCCAGGCACAUCGGUGUCCCCUAGCUAGGAACUAGCUUUCAAUUCCUUUUCGAUCUAUCCAAUGUUUGUUAGAACAUUUUUCAUUAAUGAACAAAUAAUAUAUGGUGCGUACGUGAUUGCUACAUGCAUGUCAAGAUGCCAUAUGACCAUUUCCAAUAAUCUUAGAAUAGUCUUUGAUAAGAAAAAUACAACACAUUCUCAAUUUUUGGUAGGCUUGAGGUUCAUACACCUCUUGUUGUCUUUCCUACUCCAUGGCAAUAUAUUUAUGGUGUGUUUGGUUGUGGAGUUGCCUCAUGAUUCAUGUGGUGAUGCAUCAUGAGUUCAUCCCGUUUGGGUGGAAUUAACUCAUUUCUCAUGUAUAUACUAAUUAUUAGCUUAAGAAAGGGGAUGGUGAUGGAUCAACUCAUUUCAUUCCACAAACCAAAUACAAAAAGUAAGAAGUGAGAAAAAAUGGACCACCUCAUUCCUCAAACCAAACACACUAUAAACUAGCAAGUGGCCAAGUUUCCUUCCCUACCAUUUAAGUUGCGUACAAAAAUAUACAACUUUUCCACUAAAUACAUUUUUCACUAUUUCUUAUCCAAGAUCUAGAACACCCCCUAAUUGUACUAAAUAAGUCAAAAUAAGCCAAAAGCAAGAUCCAAGGUGCUCUAAAAAUUGUACUAAAUAAAAGUAGGUACUUCUAAAAAAUAGCUUAUGAAUUCACCCAUUUGGUUGGCUCUCUACUCUUUAGCAGAAGAAGCACUUUCUAGGAAUUGGACUGAAUGCAGCCUGAGUCAUCCUCCUCAUCACAUUGUUUUGUCCUAUUGGCCACAUUACUGCUAUUGUCGACUUUGCUCUCAUUCUCGGCAACACGGCACACACUGCCUAUACUCCUCCUCAUUGACAUGCCAUAGCCACUGCCAUCGUCUUGAUGGAUGCUAUGUGAGGCAGACAAACAAGUCAUGUGUUUGGUCUUGUGUGAUUCUUGGAGAUUGAUAGAUCAAAGGGGGUGAGGCCAUGGGGCACAAAGAGGGUGGAACAACAAUGUGUGCAGAGGCACCAAAGAGUCCACUUAUUGGUGACAAAAAACACUCUAGGCAGGGCAAUCUAGUAAUGCAGAAAUGCUAAACCUUUGUUCUUUUUAGGCCAGUCUCAAUGAGGAGUUUCAUAUUCUAGUUUCCAGCACAUCUGAUUUUGGAAACAGUGCAGAAGAGUUUCAUACGGAUGAAACUCUCUCUGCUCCCAUAAAACUCUUACCACCUCUCACUUCAUUAAUACAGUGCCACAUCAGCAUAUUUAAUACCCAUGAAACUCUGAUGAAAAUCACAUUUAGACUAGCCUUAGGAGUAGAUUUAUAGAACAUGAACAAACUAUUUCUAUAGUAGUGUUCCAAGUUGGCCAUUGACCUUCAUUAAGUAACAUGUAAUCACUAUAACAAAACCACAAAACACUGUCAGUCUCAAGUUCGCCAUCACUGUCAGUUAUGCCAACUAGACAAGCAGCAAUUGUAGCAUUGACUAUCUUUGCUGGUUGAACUGUAAGCUACAAUCCAGUAGUAUUACCUAUUUCACAAAAUAAAAAAAUAUAAAUAGCCCACCUGCACACUGUGCCCACCACAACCAUGCACUACCAAGUCUGCCACCUGUCGCACUUGUCGUUGAUGGCUACUAGGUCAUAGACUGCCAUGCUCGUUGUCAUUGGGUGUUAUGCCGCACACCCCGCCUUGUUUCUAUUGCAACCACAGCCACCUCCAUUGUGCCAUAGUGCCGCCCAUGCAUUGAAGCCACAGAGCAGUCUGUCGCCCAUAGCCACACCAUGCGCCAAGCAUUGCCAUUGCCUCCCAUGCAAUUCCAACCGCCACCCGCCCCGCUCCCACAGCAGCCAUGCCAUGUGCCCACAACAUUUGUCAUCAUCAGAGAGGGUACAAGGGGGGCUAGUGAGGCAGAUAGGGAAGAUAGGAUGCUGCACGACAAAGGGGAGAGGGAGUGCAGAUCAGUUGAGGGGGAGGGGGAGAGAGGUAUGGGGAAAACAGGUCAGGCAAAGGCUUGGAUCAAAUUCUGGGUCUAUUGUCCUGAUCACUCGGCUAGCAAAUUUGAAAAUCCAACAAUGAUACUACUAGUGUUGGUUUUUAACUACAACAACUGAUAGUUAUAUUUUUUUCUUGAAUACAUAGGAGAUUUGCAUAUCAUUGCAUUGUAGAGAGAAAAGGAUCGACCCCUUACAAACACCACCACCUCACUCUGGACCAGGCUAUGAGUCAUUAUUUCCUUACAUCAAAAAACUUAAACUAAAAGAACUAAGAAAGGGGUGAUCCCUUACAACAAAAACACCAUCCAGCUAAACUAAGGUAGGGUAUCCAAGCCCAACACCAUGACCUAGACCAAGCAUGCACAAGCCGCGCGCACCCACCAAACACCAAAGGUGAUGCUCGCCUCUGAACUCUUUGAGAAGCCUAGUAAUCGAGGGGUGAGACCCUUAAAGAAACAAGCAUUAUGGUGCUUCCAAAGGAUCUAGGAACUUAGAAUGAUAAUUAUGUUCAACCCCUUCUUCUCCUUUGGAAUUCUCUUGGUUACUUUUCACCACCAAUCAGCCUGUGAUUUUUCUUGCCUUAUGGGAGUCUGAUCUUGUAGUCCUAAAGGAGUCAAGAUCCGUGACCAAAAUUCUCAAGCGAGGACACAUGUAGUAGUAAGUAGAUGCUGGACUGUCUCAUCUUCCUAAGCACACAAGGGGUAGUGGCUCGGAUGAGGUAAACCUCUCUUGGAUAAUCGGUCUGCCGUCCAGCACCUAUUUUGGAUUGCUAACCAUAAAAAUAAUUUGCACUUUACUGGUGCCCAGGAUUUCCAUAGACAUCGCCAAGGCACAAACUUGAUGGAGCCAUUGAAGAAUGCUCAAUAUAUGCAGAUUUUGAGCUAAGCUGGCCUGACCCUUCCAGUCUCGAAAUAUUGACAUUGUCAUCCUGAGAGAGGGUUGUCUCAUGCAGAAUCUCCCAUAAUUGAAAAUAUUCAAAGAGACCCACCAAUGAGUGACCCCACGUCAGUAGGCCAAGUAUGAUUCUAGAGGGUGUCAGCCAUCGUGCGUUGUUUGCAAGUAUGAGAUGGAACUGCAGCAACUACCGCUGGUGCCAAGUCCAUCAAACAACAACCCAUGAGCCACUUAUCCUUCCAAAAUAAAGUAUUUCUUCCAUUACUAACCUUAAAUUCCAAUGCAAUUUUGAAAAGAGCUACAACAUUUGGACAAAUAUGUAUGACAUUAAGGCCAGUCCAUGCUCGAUUGCGAUCUGUUUUCUUGAACCAUAGCCAACAGAUUUGAAGUGCCCAACUCAUGAACUCAAGGUUCAAUAUCCCAAGUCCGCCCAAAUCAAGGGGUCACUAGACCUUACCCCAAGCAACCACGCAAGCACCACCAUACACUUGGCCUCUCCCUUUCCACACAAAGGCUCUUCUUAUCUUAUCAAUGGUCAUAAAAAACAUUUGGGCACCUUAAUCGCUAUCAAGACAUAGAUAGGAAUAACUGAAAGGACGAAGCAGACCCAAGUAACUCUCCCAGCCAUGUUCAUGAGAGCAGCAUUCCACUAGGGAGUUUGUCAGUAAUCUUCUCAAUCCAUUUGAGUAGCUCUGCCUUUCCUAUUUUUCUAGUUGAGACUGGUAGACCCAAAGAAGUGCAAGGGAAGUCUACUAGCGCACAUGGAAGAGUAGAUGUCACAGGCUCCAUUUGUGUCGACUCACAUCGAAUAGGUGUAACACAACUUUUUUUACAAAUUUGUUUGAAGACCAGAUGCCUCCCCAAACUUGUCUAGGAUGCUCACAGUGAGGUUCAUCUCUGCCUCUUGUGGCCAAGUGAAUAGGACAACAUCGUCAGCAUAAAGAGGGAUGCGCUGACUGGGACUUCCUCGAGACAGUGGUUGUAGCAGCUCCAAAUCUCCCGCCUUGGAAAAUAAACUAUUGAGCACGUCCAUCAUGAGAAUAAACAACAUCAGGGGAGAAGGGGUCAACUUGUUGAAAACCUCACUGGUGUCUAAUUUCUGGACCUGGUUCACCAUUAAGAAGCACCCUAGCGAAGGUCGUGGAAAGCAAGUUAGCAACAAGGUUAUAGCAAAGUUGACCGAAACCCAAAUGAGUGAGGACUUCUAGUAAAAAGGACCAAGAUUCUGAGUCGAAAGCUUUAGAAAUAUCUAGCUUUAGAAAGAGGCUCGAGACUUGUCAAUGAUGGAGGAGUUUAAUUGUUUGCUGCACCAAUAUAUAGUUAUAAUGAAUACACCAUCCUCGAACGAAAGCACUUUGGUUAGCAGCUACCAAAUCAUUUAAUAGAGGAGCCAAACGGUUUGCCAUGAUUUUUGUCACUAGCUUCGCAAAGCUAUGGAUGAGGCUUAUCGGACAAAAAUCCUUGGGAUGCAGAGCCUCAGCUUUCUUUGGAAUAAGAGUGAGAUAUGCUGAAUUAAGAAGCCAUAAUUUACUUACAUCUCCCUGCAGUACCAUGAUGGCUACCAUGAAAUAUGCCUUUAUCAACUGCCAACAUGAUUUAAAGAACUGACCUGUAUAUCUAUCCAGACCGGGUGCUCUAUCCGCUAGCAAAGAUCACUACUACAAAAAAACUUAAUAGAGGCGGGCAAAAUCGAUUAACGGAGGCGGUCUUGCCAACCGCCUCCAAUGAAAGGUCACGAUUAAUCCAACCUUAACGGAGGCGGUUGGCUCCACUACCUUAGUUAAUCAAUUAUCCGAGGUGGUCGUUAUAACGCAACCACCUCGGUUAAUACCAUUAAUGGAGAUGGUUACACUAAGCAGCUGAUGAGGACAUGACACAUUCAGAUAUAACUAUUGAUUAUAAGGUGAGAUCAUUCAUAUAUUUAUAUAAUGAUUUUUGAUACAAUUCACUUGGUUCCACAUGUACAUGUCACUAUUUGAUUGUAGCGCAUGUACAUGUCACUAUUUGAUUGUAGAUUCAAAUAUUUCUCAAAGUGCAAGUCAUCAAAGUUGAACUUUCGAUACGUCGGCAGUCUCAUAGUUCUUUAUUGGGAAGGCCAUAACUCAUCCAUCCGGAAUGAGAUUGAGGUCAAUGAGCACUUGAUAGAAAGCUUGUUUGAUAAGCUUUCGAAUAGAUCCAGUUCUACCUCAAUAUCACAUCGGCUAGGCUUUCAAAUUGUUAUUAUAUUCUAUCGCUGUUUCUGCCAAGAGCUACUUUAUCAUCAUGGACAUGUUUUUUAUCCUUUGGACCCUAGCCCAAGUGGGAGCACAUCCCAAGGAGAAGAAGAAGCCACCAAGGGAGCCCUCGGACGUCCUCCUCCUUGGCCACCAUCUGAAAAGGUCAGCAAGGUCCUUCAUGCCAAGUCAGAGGCCCAAUCCAUAUCAUGUUCGAGUCCAUCUCAUUCUCCAGGACCACCAUGUAGUAAAACGGAUGCCCAGAACACAACCGGACUUCGUUUUUGAUGAUCCACAUAUGGAUGGAAAGAUAAUUUCAUAAGCUAACCAAUGGCUUUAGUUUGAGGCCCAAAUUCUAUCGGAGUAAACAGGAAUCGUUGAAACAAGUUGACGUCCAGAAUCUGUCACGGCGUUGCGUUGCCGUUUAUUUGGGCUGUUGGGCCUUGUAACGUGUUAGGGCACCGAUCUUCCGAAAGGUUCUGGUAACUCUCGAUUUGGUGGAAAUGAGACACAAAUCAAUUCGGCUUCCGAACAACACGAUCUGAAACCCUACAAUCGCAUCACCACAUCUCCUCUGGUUAUCAACCGGCGCUGCGCGGUGGACCUCACCAAGAAGGCUAAGUCCUUUGCCUGCGAAUCGAAGAACACAAGCAAGAACAAGGAAGAAUGCAAACAAUUUGCAGAUGAAAGAUUAAUCUCACGAUUUGGGGUCUCACAAACGGAUAACAGUGAAACUGUUCUUAAGAGAAUAAUCUAAGCAAAACCCAAACCCUAAUAUAGGUGGCAGCUUCUAAUUAUAUAGCCUAAGGGACGUCUAAGGACCCCUCUUCAUGUCCAUAAGGUUCCCUAACACGUUACAAGGCCGAACAGCCCAAAAGACAGCGACGCAGCGCCCCGACAGAUUCUGAACGUCAACUUGUUUCGACGAUUCCCAUUGACUCCGAUGGAAUUUGGGCCUCAAACCAAAGCCAUUGGUUAGCUUAUGAAAUUAUCUUUCCAUCUAUAUGUGGAUCAUCAAAAAAAAGGAGUCCAGAUGUGUUCUGGGCAUCCAUUUUACUGCAUGCUGGUCCUGGAGCCCGAGAUGGACUCGAACUUGAUAUGGAUUAGGCCUCUGACUUGACUUGAACGACCUUGCUAACCUUUUAAGGUGGUGGCCAAGGAGGAGGACGUCCAAGGGCUUCCUUGGUGGCUUCUCCUUCUCCUUGGGAUAUGCUCCCACUUGGGCCAGGGUCCCAAAGAUAAUAAAAAACAUGCCCAUGAUGAUAAAGUAGCUCUCGACAGAAACAACGAUAGAAUAUAAUAACAAUUUUAACACCUUGCCGAUGUGAUAUUGAGGUGGAACCAGAUCUAUUCGAAAGCUUAUCAAACAAGCUUUCCAUCAAGUGCUCAUUGACCUCAAUCUCAUUCCAGAUGGAUGAGUUAUGGCCUUUCCAAUAAAGAACUAUCGAGCUGCUAACGUAUCGAAAGUUCAACUUUAAUGGACUUGCACUUUAAGACAUAUUUGGAUCUACAAUCAAAUAAUGACAUGUACAUGUGGAACCAAGUAAAUUCUACCAAAAAUCAUUAUAUAAAUAUAUAAAUGAUCUCACCUUAUAAUCAAUAGUUAUAUCCGAAUGUGUCAUGCCCUCAUGAGCAGCCUGCCUUGGUUAAUAGAUUAAAAAAUAAAAAACAUCAAGGAGCCCCACGAGCCCAUCCAUGAGGCCCACUGAGCCCAUCGACGCCUUGCGCCAUCGCUUGUUGGAUCUGCUACCACCCCGAGAAGCACUAUUGGGGCUGUACACCUACUUGCCAAGCAUCUGCUCGCCCUGAUAAGCACUGUUGGGGCCGCGCACCUUCUUGCCACGAGCCCAUCCAUGAGGGCCCUAGCUCGGGGCGCCGUCAUGAGCCGCUGUCGGGCACCGCACCAUCAUGAGCCAGGUUGUUGUCGUGAGCCACCACCAAAGGUGACAGAGCCGCUGCCAUGGGGGAUUGGCUCCUGCUCAAUGCGCCCUAACGAGCCACCGCCGAGACCGUGCACCUGCACGCCACACCCUAGGGAGCCGCUGCCAGGGCUAGGCCCCGCUCGCUAUGGUCUAGGGAGCUGCCGCAGGGGCUGAGCAGCUGUUGCCGAGGUGGAGGUGGAGGCGCUGCCGUGCUAGAGAUGGAGGUGAUUGGCUAGAGUUGGAGGUCGAGGGCUCGCCGGAGUUGAGGGAGAAGGGUCAGAGAGAGAGAGCGCACGCGUUGAGAGUGGGCACGACCUUCAUACGAGAGAGAGAGGAGCUGCUCGGGUGUUCAAAUAGGGGCAAGAUAUUUCUCAUUUCAUCUGGUGUUCUAUCCAUAUCUUGUAGGGUCCGCUCGUUAUACUCAAUGAGGAAGCACAAAAACAUCAAUGAUGGACAUGUCUCUACGCGGCGUCCUAUCCAGCCAUCCAUAAGUCCACGUCAACAAUUCGAGACUCCUGCACAGCUGUGCACGUACAGAACCCAGAAUGGACGAGCACGGUUUCCCAUGGGUGCAGUCUGUGUGCUAAAAUCUGUGUGGUCAGAUGUGUGGCAGUUAUUGUGUAUCCAUUGAUAUUGCGCCACAUGUUAGAGAUUUCUCAAAAUAGAAGGCACAUCCAGUGGUUUUUUGAAUCCAUGCAGGGAACCAUGCACAACAUACAGUCCAGACGUUGAUUUUUGGAAAGGUGUGUGGCAGAGAGGAAACAGGUAGGGCCAGGCGCACAUGGUGCACACUGAUUUGAUUUUUGGAAGUGGACGUCUAUAAUUUUACCGUGACAAUUACUUUUGACCGUCUCUAUUAAUCUAUUAACCGAGACGGUUGCAUUAGGACAACCGCCUCGGUCAGUAGGCAUUAACCGAGACAGUUUUUUUUUUAUAUUGUCACCUUGGUUAAUACAUUUUAGGAGGCGGGUAGUUCUAACCGCCUCGGUUAAUAAAAAAUAACCACAUCGGUUAAUCAGGGCAUUCACCGAGGCAGUUCAAAAAAUUGCUUGCCUUCGAGGCUGUUUUGGAAAGGUCACUGAAAAUAUUUUAUGUAGUAGUGGACUUUUAUUGUAUCCCACACUUCCUCUUAUGAAAUUGCUGCAUCCAAUGCCGAGAGAUCGACUCCCUCCCUAUGGAUGAAAUUGAGGUCAAGAGAAGCACGGUGCAAGGCAGAACCUAACAGACCAUCAAGAGUGUAGGCACGGGGCAAGGCAGAACCUAACAGGUCAAGAAAUCGACUCUCUCUGCUUGUCUUCUUGGCUGGUGACAACCUGGUACUUAAUUUUUUCCUUUUGCGGAAUCCUGCUUGCCCAUGGAAAAGAGCUGUGUUGGCAUUUCCAUCUUUCAAGAACCAGAUGUGUUACCGAAGGCAAGCGAUCAUCCUCUCAAGGGAAGCCAAAGAGCUACUCCCUCCGUCCCAAAUUAUAAGUCAUUCAAAGAAUCUUGGAGAGUCAGUUUUUCAAGUUUGACCAAAUUUAUAUAGCAAAAUAAUAAUAUUUUUGGUACCAACCAAAUAUCAUUAGAUUUUUGGUACCAACCAAGUAUCAUUAGAUUCUUUGUUAGUUAUAUUUUCAUAGUGUACCUAUUUUAUGACAUAAAUCUUUAUAUUUUUCUCUUUAUUUUUGGUCAAACUUGAAAAUGCUUUGAUUCUCAAAGAUUCUUGGAAUGACUUAUAAUUUGGAACGGAGGGAGUAUAUAUCAUUGUUGGUGGAUUUAUAAAACCGAUAGUGAUGCUCAUUCCCCUUAUAAACAGAUAUAUAACCACUGUCAAAUUUGAUGGAAGUGAUAAUACCAAGAGUGUUAUGCAUUUCUGAGUAGUGAAUGAUAAUGCUUUUACCAAUGUUUUGCAUAUGAAAUUUAGACUCUGGAUACAUAUGUGUUUGUGAUUAGGAAUGCUAAGACUGACUAGUUAGGAUCAGCAUCAUAUUUAGGGUCCAUUUGGUGGGGCUAUGGCUCUGGCUUCUCACAUGGAGCAGCUUCUCUGGUGGAGCUGAAGCCAUUUUAGUAAACAUUUGGCAAAAAUAGCUCUAGUGGUAGUUUUAUAAUAAUUUGUAUUAGAUUUGUGAAGGAGUCAAGCGAAGCCACAUUUGUGUGGCUUUGGCUCCUCUAGACAUAAAUGGCUUGGGCUUCUCGGGCUCAUUGCAAGAAACCGCUUUUAAUGGCCAAUUAACAAAGCUCCUUGUAAGGAGCCGUGAGAAACCGGAGCUAGAACCCUGCUAAAUCAGACCUUAAUUCUGCCAUAGUGAUAUAGUAGUAGCAUUAGCAACCAAUAAAUGCAUAUGAAAUUUGGACUCUAGAUAAAUAUUUGUGAUGAGGAAUGCUAAGAUUGACUGAUUAGGAUGAGGAUAAUAUUUGAUGCAGCCAUACUCAUAUAGGAGUAGUAUUAGCAGCCAACAAAUGCACCUAGAGACAUGAUACAUUAGUUAGCAGCGAAUAAAUGCAAACCUAUAUCAGAUAAGUGUGCACCAAAUGUUUUGGUUUCAAUAUGGUAGAAAUUGACUGUCUAUGAUUAAUUUGCUUGUGGCUUCGGUCUAUAUAAGGAAGGACCCCGGACCAUGAAAGAGCAUCAAGAAACCAUUGAUCUCUCAGUACAGAAGAGUAGUUUAGCUAGAUUCAUGGCGCUACUCAAGACAAUCUCCAAGGGUGCUCUGGUUUUUGCCGUCACAUGGCUCCUGAUUGCUGCAGUCCUUGCAGCAGCUGAAGAUGGUGCUACUCAAGUUAAUCUCGAAGGGGCCUGCGAGAAAGUAGCAAAAGGUCCCUGUACAGAUAAGGUGUGCGGCGGAAUGUGCGCCGUCGUAGGCUCCAGUGGUAAGGGGUCAUGCAACGGCCCCUACUGCUGUUGCAACCCAAAAUCCUCCAGGCACAUCGGUGUCCCCUAGCUAGGAACUAGCUUUCAUUUUUUGAUCCGCCUUAUGAUUGUUAGAACAUUUUUCAUUGAGAAAUAAAUAUGUAUGGUGCAUGCUUGUUACAUGCAUGCCAAGAUGCUAGAAAAUAUCAUUUGCAGUACAUCUUACAACAGUCUUUGGUCAAAAUACCACACAUUCUCAAUUUUUGAUACGUUUGAAGGUUCAUACACCUCACCUCAUUUCCUUUUUCCUCCCGUGUGGCAAUAUACUUAGCCGAUGAGCGGGGAAGUUUCCUUCCCUGCAAUUUAGGUAAUGAACAA